rnacentral:lncRNA from 1 species
AUAACGUUCUGAAAGAAAUUUGUAGCCACCUUCAGCCCAAGAAGUAUGAUCAUGCCGAUAACAUUAUUGAAAAGGGUUACCCAAUUCCAAUGUUGUUGAUUGUGGAAGGAAGAAUAGGCCAAGAAGGUUGGGUAAAAGACGCAGGAGAAAUCUAUGGAGAAGAACUUCUUGGUUGGUCAUUCUCGACCUCUUUCCCUGGCGAAGUACCUACAGCAGCUGAGUCGCCUUUUGUAAUUACGGAUGUUGUUGAAGCCCUUGUUCUGACGGCCAGUGAUAUGAAGAGUGUAGCCAUUGAAUUCCGGAAGCAUUUCAUAAAAAAAUACGACAAAUUCGUACAGACAUGGGCAUUCAAACAGAAAUGGCUUUUCGACGGUUUUACUUACGAUUAUUCUGAAGGGGAUAUUAAGGAGGCCACAAUAAGCUACACUUGUUUGAACAAUCCAAAUGAAGGAGGCUAUGGAACAGUUUACCACACAGAAUUAGGUGGAAGAGUUGUCGCCAUAAAAACGUGCAACAGUGCUACUGGUGACCCGUUCGUCCUGAGUCAACGUCUUGUUCAUGAGGCAUUUGUUGUUUUACAAAUCAGACACAAAAAUGUGGAGAGGCUGUUAGGUUGUUGUUUAGAGACAAGAUGGCCUAUAAUGGUUUAUGACCGCACCAAUGCUUUGACUCUUGUUGAGCACUUUCACAGAAACAAAUCGGAACUCUCGUUGGAAUCACUAAUGAAGAUAUUAGCAGAAACCGCAGGAGCUCUAGCACACUUGCACUCCAUCUCAGUCAUACACCGAGAUGUGAAGACAGCGAAUAUAUUAAUUGAUCGAACAACUCACACGAUAAAACUUACCGGUUUUGGAGCUUCACGAUUGCUUCAUGAAGAUGAAGGUGAAAUGGAAGAUGAAGUAUCAACUUUGCCAGGGACAUCGAGAUGCUUAGACCCUGAGCAUCUUAAAUCACACGACGUCUAUAGCUUUGGAGUUGUUCUAGUGGAGCUACUAACAUGUCAAGAGGCAGUUUCUUAUGACGGACCCAAUAGAUCCCUAGCAAACGACUUUGUUCGUUCAGUGCAAGAGGAUCGCUUGGGCCAUAUUCUCGAUGGUGAAAUACACAGAGACAAGUUAAGUUUUUUUGUUUUUUAUGGAGAAAGAGACAAGUUAAGUUUUGAGAUAGCCAAAAAGGUAAGCGGGCUUGCCGUGACAUGUUUGAGGUCAAGGGGAGAGGAAAGGCCUUCCAUGGAAAAAGUAGCUGAGGAGCUUUAUGGAGUAGUUCCCUACUGUAGAGCAUUGUACAGUGGACGAUAAUAUAUCUUCGGCUUCAAGAACUUCCGAGUGAAGUAUUGAUGUGAACCCGUGCGGCUGGUUUCAGUUUGAGUGUGUGCUUGUGAAAUUAUUGACAAGUAAGAUGCAUUUGGUAGUUUGAGUAAACCAUGGAACUUGGAAUUAGUAUCAAACUAGAAAUAGUGCCCGCGCGUUGCUGCGGGAUUAGAAACCAUAUGGAAAAAUAUGUUUCAAAGCUAUAAUAAAAGAAUGUAAUAUAUGAAAGUUUCGUAUGAAUAAUUCAAACUUGCACACAUUUAUGCGUUUUUUACCAAUUGUUAGAAACUGCUAGGAUAACAAUUGCUAUCACAUAAUUGGUAUGCUGUUAACAUAAUGAAAUCUGUGAAGCAAAAAAAUGAUAUGGAAUUUUAACUUAAGAUGCUAAAGAAGCUGUAUAAGAGUAGUUGGGUCGUCUGUGCUUUAUCCAUCAAAGGCAUUGCAACGGUAGAUUGUGGAAACUAUAAAAAUUGAUCCAAUCGAGAGACAAAAUUCAAUAGUUAUGGGUAAGGUGAAUUUGGAACCAUAAAUGUAAGAUACAGUUGAAAAAUUUGCAAAUUCAUUACAAUUUCAAAAAAUAUACGUACUAAAACUGAUGAUCUUAAAUUCAUAAAGUAUCCAAAAUUUGAUAAGUUUGUUAAAAUAAGUAUUCAUCACAACUAGGGAUGGACAACUGUUAUAGCGGACGGGUAACCACGGUUAUUUAUCCAUGACCGUUUAUGUUCAUACCCGCAUAACCAUUUACCCGUUGGGUAAUUAUAUAAAUGGUCAUACUCAGAACCAUAACCGUUUAUAAACGGUUAUCCAUACUCAUAACCGUGUAUCCAUUUAACCAUACUCAUUUACCCAUUUAACCAUAAUCAUUUAAAUCCUCAUAUAAUUCCAAUAAUUGAAAUAAUAAUUUACGAACGAUAUUUUUCUGCUUCACCCAUAACCGAGAAAUCAGGAUAAAAAAAGUAAAAGAUUAAGAAACAAACAAAGAUCACGGCCCGAAACGACAAUGCAUGGAAGAACAUAAAACCCAAAACGCCAAAACGAUGACAAUUCAAUGUGAGUGUAUAUAUAUAUAUAUAUAUAUAAAUGUACAAAGAAGAAGAAGAAAAAGAAACGUACCUCUCUGACCUCGGCAAUAGGGUCAAAAGAGAGAACCAACUUGGCAACAACGGAAGAAGACUGCUGCUGAUCAGAAGCGGAGGCAAGCAACACAUCACCGAUGUGCCCUAAGGGAAGCAACAAAUAAUAGUAACUUACAAGUUGUAAGUUCUCCAAGGGUUUUUAAUUUUUUUUUUUUAAUUUUACAUAUAUUAAAUUAAAUGGGUAAAUGGAUACCCGUUAUAACCGUGAAUAUUACCCAUAACCGAUGGAUACCCGUUAUAACUGCGGAUAAUACCCAUAACCGCCCAUUUAAAUUUCAUGGAUUAACGGUUAUACCCAUAACCGUUUAUUUGUCUAAACGGUUACCCAUAACCAUAACCGUCAACUUUAAAUGGACGGGUAACCGCAGUUACCCAUACCUAUGAGUAUUUUGCCCAUCCUUAAUCACAACAAUAGCACUGAAAUUGAGUUCUUUUGUUUGCCAAGAUUUUUCCAGCAACUAAACAGAUGAAAGUACAGAUAAUGAAACAAUCAAUUGAAUGAAAGACAUUGAAUUGAAUCAUUAUGACAACAAAGUUGAAAAACAAUUGAUGUUGUUGUAGGUCAUUUUAAAUGAAAAGAAGAACAUUGGCUUACAUAGUUGGAGGCAUGUAGGUGAUAUGAAAUCUGUCAUCUAUGUAUGCAUACUGCAAAACAUUACGGAAGUAGCAAAAAACAAUCCUCACAGAUGACAGUAAAAUAAUAAGAAGACAGAUUUGUAUCAAACGUACAAACAGGACAAAUGCAUAUUAAGGGGAAAAUAACCAAGCAAUAAAAAGAUGAGGCUUUUUAAAGCUUACCAAAUAGAAUCACCAAGGGAUUUUUCCAAAGCAUUAGGUGAUUUUUUGUAAUCCUUCUUGUAAUUCUACAAAAAAAAACACAGGAAUAACCAUAUAAGCUCCUAAUAAAAGUUAAAAAGCUGAUAUAAAUUGAAAUGAAAAAAAAAAUUAGCAUAAAUUGAAUGAUUAAAAUCUUUGUAUAUCUAUAAAGUAACGAUUGUGAUUUUUUCCUACUUGUCUUUCCUAGUAGCUAUCUAUGGACUAAUUCAAAGAUUUGUUCUUCCUGGAUGUCUAGGGAAAGGAAUAGCAUCUCUAAUGUGGUCAAUGCUGGUAGCAAAUAAAAUCAUCCGUUCGAAUCCUAAACCAAAACCAUAAUGUUUGAUGGUCCCAAAGUGUGGCAAGUCAAUGUACCACUCAUACGGUUCAGUAGGUAGACCCAUUUCCUGAAUAUGACUCCACUGGAAAGAAUUUCAGUGAAAGUACCUCAUCAGAUGUCGUUUGGAAAUAAAGAAAUCAUUAAAUAACAGCUGAGUUCAGUGAAGCAGGAUUAUCAUAAGAUAGUGCCAACUUAAUUAAUUGUGGUACAAAUGCGUGUUUAGACUACAUAAUAGCGAAGAUACUUGACAGCGAUUUUUAUAAGCUUUCGAUAGACUAACAAAGUAUGUAUUGUAAAAGAGUGCAAUUUUUGGUAAAACAGUUGUUGCCAGCAUCAAAAUACAUCUGUGGUGCCCUUUUUCAAUCAUAUGGAGCACGAUAGUUGUAGUAAUUUGUCAAAAAUGACUUGGAUACUACCACUAUUCCAAUUAACAGACUGAAUGGAGCAGGAUUGUGAGAGUAUGAUUAACCAAAUGGAGAAAACUAAGUUAGUAUCUAUAACACAUGGCACCUCACUUUCUCACAGUGGCUUAAUGUGUUCUCGACCAUUUAGCAACCUGUUUAAUUCUAGUUAAUAUUACUUCGAAAAUACCAAGACCAUAUUAAAACUCAUUUAUGCAGAAAUUAAGGUCUCGUUUGAUAACCAUUGUGUUUUUAUCAACUUAAGUUAACUUCUUAAAUGUAACAGAAUGCAAGGUUUUCAACUCAAACAUACUUAAGUCAACAUCUGCAGGAGUAAGAGUAGAACUAUAAUGCAACAAAAGGGUUAAGACUACUCAAAAGAUUGUAGUUGAACAAUCUAUGUUCUAAUUAGCACUAAUCCUUACAUGUAUACACUAAAGUUGAAAUUAAACGAAAAACAACGGAAAACAGAUGUAUGAUGACAGGGAGACACAAAUGUAAAAAACAAUCAAUACCUUUAACUCUUUGUUGAUAAACAACUCGGUAACUCAUCAUUAAAGUUGUAACCUCUCUGUUUAAAGGGUCAGAGGGAUUGGGAUAUAGCAGAAGUUGUGGUGAGAACACUUUAAAUAUGCUGGUAAGAUCUGGAAACACAGGGUGAUGUAAUUAGAAUUUGAUAGUAUUCCUUGUUUGGUUCAAUUAAUAGUGCCACACAAUUUAGAGUAGUAGGAGUUUAUGAAAGUGAGCAUUUUAUCAACAUUUGGGUGGUAAGUCUUAUUGGCAAAGCCUAUUGAGGGAGAUUUAUAGGGAUAAGGAUCUGGUAGCUUAGAUGUUAUCCUCCACACACUUCUCUGAUAAAUAUCUGUCGCAAUCCAUAAUAUGGAUGAAAUGGGGGGAUUACGCGAUGAAAACAAAUCACGGGCAAUCCAAGUAGCUAUUUUGGAAACCAAAAUCAUCAAAACAAAUUAGAGCAAUUACCAAACAACAAAUUCCAUUAUAAAAAAAAUAAAAAAUAAACUAAUGAUUGGAUAAGAACAGAUACAAAAACUGUUUCCAAUGAAUAACAAUGAGCAUAAAUAUAAUCGUUUCACAUACAAUAAGGUAGGCAAAAGAUGACGGUGAUUAAUACAAAAUUGUAACUGCUAAUGGUUAAGAUUGAGACGGAGAAGUAAAACAUAUUGAUGCUAAAUUUGGUUCUAAAGGUUGGUAACAAUCACAGAACAAUGCUGGAUAUGAUUAUAGCCCAUGGUGAAGUUACUUUUGUAAUUAUUUAAUGACUAACAUUGGAUACAUGGUGUAGUUCAAGGUUUUAUACGUUUUUACCACCAACGAAGUUUGGUUCCAAUGUGAAGAAAACGAAAAUAAUAUGUUGGGGUUAACACUAAACACUUUUAAGAUCAAAGUGGUUAAAAUAGUUUAAAACGAAAGAUAUCGCUUGAGAAUAGAUGGGUUGAUCAAGGGGAACUUUAACGAAAAGCUCUCCGGUACUGUUCACUUUAACGAAAAACCAUAUUUUUACACUAAAAGGUCAAUCCUGGUACUAUUCACUUUACCCUUUAUUUUGUCCUUAUCGUUAAAACUUAAAGUUUUCAAGUCAUUUUCAUUAGUUUUCCUUUGAUCAAAUUUAUCCAAUGAAAGAUUACAAACUAAGGACAAUGGGUUGAACAAAAGCGAAAGAGAAGCGGAUAAAAAAGGGAAAAAAAAUUAGGAAGAAAAGAGAGGUCCCAACGAAAGUAACAGAAAAUUAACAACGCAAAAUAUUUGAUACAUUGAAUACUAAAUGGUUGAACGGAUUAUAUACCUUCAAUAAACAGCGGUGGUUCUUGAAAGUGAAGAAGAACAAAAUCAGACAGUAAUACGAAGCAUUUGAUUACGAAGACAAAAUCUGCAGCAUGGCAAAAUGAGAAUUUAGACAUAAAAUUUAUCUGUAAAUCAGAAAAAAAAAGAAAGAAUAAUAAAUGAAAAAAGAGACACAUCAAGAAAAGAGGCCUUACAACAGCUUCGUUAAGCGCCAAUUCAAAACGAUUACAGCUGGGAAACUAUAUUUAACACCAUGCUGAUAGGAUGUAGAAAUGGCAUGAUCAAAUAUUAACAGGCAUGGAGAAUAGAGAGGUUCAAAAGGCUUAUAAACAAAAUCUUCAAGUUGUAGAAUGCAGAUACAAAAGGCUAAAAGUUGUUUAUUAACAUACAGACAAAAAAAUAUUUUAGACAUGUGUUAGAUUUUAGCACUUGGAACCAUCCUUCAAGCGCAACCAGCAUUUGGAUACAAAAAAUUGAAGUGCUGGUCUAUGUACAGGCAAAAAGAUAUUUACAUGGCAAACGAAUAGGAUAAAUAUUGUUUCAUACACAUUAACAAAAAAGUAAUUAACACUUUAAAAAUCACUCCGAACCCCAAAAAUGUAAAAAGUAAUUAACACUAUAAAAUAAUCCGGAACAUACUAAAAAGUCAGUAGUUACUUUGAAAAUCAACACCUCGGGCUCAUUUGAUUAGUGUGAUGAAGACUGAUGUUGUUGCACCAUAUAUUUGGUUAACUUCAACUUGGAUCGUUUUCUUAUGCAAGAUUCUUUGCUUAAUUUAAAUAUAUAAUCAAACAUCCCUCCCUAUUUAAAAGCUUGUGGUACCAACUAUUUCAUUUGACUGAAAAUUAUGUGUUUGAAUACUCACGGGCUGCUUGCUUGAUAGCCAUUUUUCUAUCUCAGUGUUUUUCAAAAUCAGUCAUAAUCAUUUUGGUCCCAAUUCUAAAACAGAAAAAUGGCAAGAAAAGGUCUUUUUGCCAAAGCAUAAGUACAUACCAAUUCGAUAGUGAAUUCUCGUGAUUCCUCCUGGGACCUUGAUGAGAUUAUUGCUGGUGAUCUGAAGAUAGAAAGCUUGAAUUAGGGUGGACACACCCUAACUACAAAUCCCAUGGAUCAAAAGUUUAACCCAAAAGAACACCCCCCCCCCCAAAAUCUCUCUUAUCAAAUGAAAACUCCGAAAGCAAUUCAAUGGUUGAUAACAACCCAUUUAACAUUGAACCCAAAAAAUUUUAAAGCUUCUACCAUUUAAAACUGAACAAAACACAAUCCAUACAUUAUAACAAAAACUGCGUGCAUAAAUUCACCAAAACCCACAGCACUGACCAACACCCACAAAAUCAGCCAAAAUAUACAAAAUAGGGUAAAAAAGCUAAAUCUGGAGGAAAAAAAAGGGAGGGCUGCAAAUAAAGUCGCAUGAUUGAUUUCUAGCAAGAAAACGGGUGUUAAUAAUGGAGAAUCGCGAACAAAAUUCUAGAGAGGGCGAGAGGACUCACCGUGAAUUCAUAGCCACUUGAAGAAUUUUCUUCAAAUCGGGACAGAAUCUGCGUCAGGUCGUCAUCGUUGACAAAGAGCAUAAGAAAUCUUCUUCGAUAUUGAGACCUUACGAAAUCUUGGCGUCGGGAACGUCGGUGACCGAGUGCUUCUCGACCUCGAACUGGAGCUGGUGACCACCUAGGAGUUCGAUGUUCUAUUUGACCAAGAAUUUGGAGCUUCGGAGAGAAAGAUAUGCAGGGAAGUUAAAGUAGAUGGAGUUCACGAAGGGUAGCUAAAUCGGAGUUGGACGAUAACGGCAAAUGGAGAACGAAGGGUUUCUGGUAGAGAGAACAACAGAGAAGAAGGGAGAGAGAGCAAACGAAACCAAAACCACAGAAACCCAAAACAAACGAAGUCAAAUUAAGAGUAAAAGAAAAAGCAACAGAAGGAAAAACAGUGAAAAGAAAGGGAAGAUGCCAGAACACGCUGCGAUAGCCGACAGCUGGAGAGGAAAGGCAAAAACGCCUUUUCACUGUAGAUAAGCCAAAACAAAAGGCAGCCAGGACAGCAUUUUAAGGAACCAGGAUCCUGAGCAAUUCCCUAAGAAUCCUAGGGAUUCCACAAUCAUGUCCGUUCAUCUUAUAUCUUGCGAUCAGAAAUCAUUUAAAAUUUAAAUUUUAAAAUUCAAAUAUAAAUAGUACCUAACGAAAACUGACCGCACGAUAUAAAAUGAACGGACAAGAUUGCGGGAUCCCUAGGGAAUUGCUCAGGAGAAGAUCCUGGUUCCAUUUUAAGGGCAUUUUCACCAUUUUACUGUUUAUAAACAGUAACCAAGAGUUUGGAUUUUAGUAUAUAUAAAUUGUUACUUUUAUAUUUUUGCCCAUUUCAUUUGUCUUUGCACUUAUCUUGGUUCUAACCUCUUGAAUUAUGUAUUGGCCCCCGCAUAAAUCCAUAAUCUCUUAAAAGAGAUGACCAAAAUUCAGAACUAGAGAAUCAUAAAUAGAUUCCACUAAAAAGUGUCUGAAUAAAGCAUUAUGCUGCUUUUUUCUUUUCAUAAGCAAUGUUUGAAUCCAUAAUGCUAAAGAAAGCUAUCUUUUAUCUCUCUCUCUUUCUUUUUUUUUUUUUUUUUGGCAUUAUAUUUACAAAUUUACAAUGUCAAACAACAAACCGGUGGCUAGAAAAAGGAAAAUCACUAAUAAAAAUCAACAACUAAACCUAUACCCCAACCAAGCAAAAACCAAAUGCACACUGAUAAUAUCUUCAAGUAUAAAAAUAAGGAACCAAACAAAUGCAACAAAUGUAACAUCAUUUCAAUUAGGGGUGGGCACUUGAAACCGAAAACCGAAACCGAAACACGAAUCGAAUCAAACCGCACCAAACUGUUUGGUUUUGCGGUUUUGAAACGGUUUCGGUUUCAAAACCGAACCGCGGCACACAAAACGGUUUGGUUUCGGUUUUGGGUUUUCAAAACCGCACCGAAACCGAAACCGCACCAUAUAAUAAAUAAAUGUUAUAUUUUAAACUUUUUAAUUUUUAAUUAGUUCAACUAGGUUAUAGAUUUAGUUUUGCGGUUUUGGGUUUGCACUUCGACUCCUGAGUGAGUCCUGACUAGUCUGUGUCUGACUGCUUCUGCGCCGCCUCCUUGCAUCUCCGCCUCUGCCUUGCCUUUUGGUCACCAGGCUGCUUCUGCUUCCAUCUCUGCAAUCUGCAUCUCUGCGUCUGCCUCUGCGAGCGACUGCCUGCUUGCAUCUCUGGAAGCGGUGGAAGUGAUCGGUGACUGCCUGUUGGUUGCAUUUGUGUUUUCAGUGGUGUCCAGACAAAUCGUCUGUCUUUGGAAGUUCUGCAGAGGAUGGUCUUUUAAACAUUUGGGAUUAUGAGAAGGUAUAUGGCCUUCAGGAUGGUCUUUUAAACAUUUGGGAUUAUGAGAAGGUAUGUCGGGCACUUUCUUUUCUUUUAUUUUCCUUGUAGUUUGUUGUUCAUGGUUUGCUUAACUUUAUAACUGUAUGCAGGGACAAGGUUGUUGAUUUUCAUUGGAAUGCAUCUGAUCCAUGGACUGUUGUCAGUGUGUCUGAUGACUGUGAUAGUACUGGCGGAGGGGGUACAUUGCAGGUAUCAGAAUGUUUGUUCUUGUCGUUGUUGAAAGGGUUUCAUUUUUCGAGUCAUAAAAUCAUUUCUAAGAAUAUUUCAUAAGAGUACAUGUGAAAGCUGAGGGAGCUAUAAUGAGAAACCAUAUAAGAUUGAAUAUUACCCAUUAUAUAAGAUUAAGAAAGAUGUUGCUAGUUUAACAUCGCGGAGAGUUUUUUCUACAUGAUGAAUUAUUUGUUGGUAUUGACAAGUUUACUAACUCAAUACCAAAAUAUGUGGGUGAUAAGUUUACAAACUCUAUCACACCUCUCACUUUCUCUCUCUAACAAACGAAGAAGGGAUAGGAAAUAACAAGCUUCCAACACACUUUCUUGAUAUAUGAAAUAAAAGGCAGUUUACAAACUGAUGAAGAAAAAAAAUAGAAACUUACAAGCUUAUGAACCUGAGAGAAUACAAUCAGAAAAAUGGGAUUUGGAUGGGAUGAUUCUAAAACCUUACGAGAGGCUUCCUUAAAUACUACACAACCUACACCUUUACACCAUCAAUUGACAGCACACAGACAGCAGCAUAUCUGCUGUCUUUAACACAUGGGAACGUGAAAAAUGAAGAGACCAAAAGUGCUCCAGGUUGUCUACAUUCGGCAAGUACAUGGCAGCACCAUUCCAGGUUGUAGUCACAACCUUUCAGCUAGCACAUGGAGGAACUUUUAGCCUUUAAAGUUGCAGCAUGUGUGGAUACAUCCUGUAAAGAAACUAACAGCCAUUAGCAACCUUUUACAGCCUGUUUUGAGUUGAAUUUCCAACACGCCCCCUCAAAUCAAAACGCCUUCAUGCCUAGCAUUUCACGCAAUAACCUGAAUGGUUCAACUGGCAGUGGCUUAGUGAAGAUGUCAGCCAUUUGUUCCUUUGUGUGACAAUAGACAAGUUCGAUUGUCUUUUGCUUCACAUGGUCCCUCAGAAAAUGGAACCUGGUAUCAAUAUGCUUGCUCCUUCCAUGUUGGACUGGAUUCCUAGCAAGCUUGAUAGCUGAGAUGUUAUCCACAUGAAUCACAGUCGGUUCCACUUGUGGAUGACACACUGACUUCAAUAGAUUUCUUAACCAAAUUGCCUCACACACGGUUGAGGCUAAAGCAACGUACUCGGCUUCACACGAUGACAAAGCAACAAUUGAUUGCUUCUUUGAAGUCCAUGAGAAAGCUGUUGAUCCUAGAAAAAACACAUAGCCAAUUGUGCUUUUCCUUUCAUCUUGGUCACCUCCCCAAUCACUAUCUGAAUAACCAAAUAAUUUUGCAUCUUCACCAAAAUUAUAAAAUAGACCAUAGUUUAGAGUACCUCUUAUGUACCUCAAAAUUCUCUUGGCGGCCAGCCAAUGAGACUCCCUUGGUGUUUCCAUGUAUCGACUCACGAGUCCAACACCAUAAACUAUAUCAGGUCUUGUGAUUGUAAGGUACCUUAGACUUCCAACCAAGCUUUUGUACACGGUUGAGUUUACAAACUCACAUUCUCCUUCCUUGGACAGCUUCAAUCCAGUUGCAACUGGAGUGUUGACAAUAUUGCACUUAUCCAUAUUGAAUUUCUCCAAUAUAUCUCUCAUGUACUUUUGUUGAGAGAUGUAGAUACCGUCACUUUCUUGCUUCACCUCUAUGCCAAGAAAGUAUGACAUUAAUCCAUUGUCAGUCAUCUCGAAUUCACUGAACAUGGAUUUCUUGAACUCACAGAACAUUGCUUCAUUGUUUCCUGUAAACAACAAGUCAUCUACAUAGAGACAAAUAAUUAAGAACUCCCCUUUUGCACCAUUCUUCAUGUUAAACUGAAUGCUCGUAUGGACAUUUCUGAAAUCCAUUUGGUGAAGGUAGUUGUCAAUCCUUGAGUUCCAAGCUCGUGGUGCUUGCUUAAGGCCAUACAAAGCCUUCUUCAAACGAUACACCUUAUCUUCUUUUCCUUGUACUUGAAAGCCUUCUGGUUGUUCCACGUACACUUCUUCCUCAAGUACUCCAUUAAGGAAGGCUGACUUGACAUCUAGUUGAUAAAUUUUCCAUUUAUGAUGAGCGGCAAGAGAGAUUAGUAAUCUUACCGUGUCAAGUCUUGCAACUGGAGCAUAGACUUCAUCAUAGUCCACUCCAUACUUCUGUUUGUAGCCUUUGCUACAAGCCUUGAUUUGUACCGAUCCACACUCCCAUCUGCAAUGCGUUUGAUCUUGUACACCCACUUGACACCAAUUGCCUUCUGAUUUGGUGGGAGCUUUGUCAACUCCCAAGUGUCAUUCUUCUCGAUGGCAUGGAUUUCUUCCUCCAUGGCUAUUCUCCAACGAUCUUCUUCCACAGCUUCAUUGAAUGAGAGAGGCUCGUGGUCUGCAUACAAGCAGAAAAAGUUGGUUUCUUCUUCUUCUUCUUGUCCAUAUAUUUCGGUGAGACUUCUUAGCCUCACUGGAGUUGAGGAGCUGCUUUCUUCACUAGAUGUAGGACCACUCCUUGCAAUUCUGUGCACUGGAGUUGUUGUGAUUGUUUGAGCAGGUUGUUGCUCAACAGGUGGUACAACUUCUGGUUCUUCAAAAUCAGUGGAAACGAUCUUCUCUUUACUGACUUCUUUGUUGUUCCACUUCCAUGCCUCUUCCUCACUGAAGAUGACAUCUCUACUAACCACUAGUUUGCCAGUUAGUGGGUUGUAGAGCUUGUAUGCCUUGGACUCUUCACAAUAGCCCACAAACACACACUUUUCACCUUGAUCAUCGAGCUUUCUCCUCUUGGCUUCUGGAACCUGAGCAUAUGCAACACACCCAAAAACUCUUAGGUGUGUAACACUCGGCUUGUAUCCACUCUAAGCUUCUUGUGGUGUCAUCCUCUUGACACUCUUUGUUGGACAUCGAUUCAACAAAUAAAUCGAACAAGCUACAGCUUCUGCCCACAAUUCUUUUGGCAAAUUCUUCUCCUUAAGCAUUGACCUUGUCAUGUCAAGGAUGGUUCGAUUCUUUCUUUCGGCUAUCCCAUUUUGUUGUGGGGUAUAGGCAGUAGUAAGUUGAUGCCUAAUUCCUUGCUCCUUGCAGUAUGCUUGGAAAGCAUUAGAGGUGUACUCUCCACCUCUAUCUGAUCUCACAGCCACAAGCUUGUGGUUGCUUUCAGCCUCUGUGAGUGCCUUGAACUCCUUGAAGAUUUUUAGGGCAGCCGACUUCUCCUUGAGAAAAUAAACCCAAGUCUUCCUACUGAAAUCAUCAAUGAAAGUAAUAAAAUACCUAUUACCUCCAUAAGACAUGGGAUCCAAUGGACCACAUAUAUCUGUGUGCACCAAACUGCAGUGGUGCCUUUGCUCUCCAUGUAUCACCAACAGGGAACGAUAGUCGUGCUUGCUUGCCAAGCACACAACCUUCACAUACUUGGCGUGUGGCUUCAAUUUGGGGUAGACACAAAACCAUUCCUCCACUUGACAGCAACUUUAGGCCAUUGAAAUGAAGAUGGCCAAAUCGAAGAUGCCAUUUUUCCAUGACUCAUCUUCCAUUAUACCGAUGUUGCAGCUUCCAAUCUUUGUGUUCAAAUUCAACGGGAACAUCCGGUUCUUUGACAUUCGAACACGUGCAAUAAGCUUUCUCCUUGCAUUCCUGAGAGUGAGAAGCAUGUUCUCCAUAUGUAUAAUGUACCCUUUCUGGAGCAGUUGACCAAUGCUCAGAAUGUUGCUCUUCAUACCUGGUAUGUAGUAGGUAUCGGAGAUGUAUUCUUCUCUACCAUCCUUCUGGAUGAUCUUGAUCUUCCCUUUGCCUUCAACUGGCAACUUUGAGGAGUCACCAAGACUUACAGAUCCAUAGGCCCCAUCUUUGAGUUCGGCAAAAAAACUCCUUCUUUCCACACAUGUGAUUGCUUGCACCAGAGUCCAAAUACCAAACAUCUUGUUGGCUACUGGAAUCAUGGUGUGCUAGCAAGACUAUAAGUUCUUCAUCAGUAUUUCCACUUGAUUCUGCCAUGUUGACAUGCUCACCAUUUUUAUGUGAACAUUCAUUGGCAUAAUGUCCAUAUUGCUUACAGUUGUGACACUGGAUAUGCGCCUUUCCUCGAGUAGAUCUCCACUCCUGAGACUGACCUCGAUUUUGUGCAUAGCCUCGACCUCUUCCUCGGGCUCGUCCUCGGCUACGGUUGGAUGAACUCCCACGACGUGAGUUCCACUGCCCACGACCUCCAUUUGGUUUGUCAAUAUUCAACUUUGACUCCAAAGCUUGCUCUAGCGUUGUGGGGCUUGCAUUCUUCUGAAUGCGUUGCUCGUGAACUAGGAGGGAUCCUAGUAGCUCCUCUGCGCUCAUCGCCUCCAAAUCCUUGGAUUCCUCAAUGGCAGUCACCACAUGCUCAAACUUAGAUGUGAGUGACCGGAGUAUCUUCUCCACAACUCGUACUUCAUCGAGUCUCUCGCCAUUUCUCCUCAUUUGAUUUACUAUCACAAUGAGCCUUGAGUGAUAGUCGGAGAUGCUUUCCCCUUCAUUCAUGUGAGCAGUUUCAAAAUCUGCUUGAAGUGACUGUAACCUCACUUUCUUGACUCGAUCUACUCCUUUGUAGAUUGUACUGAGUGUGUCCCAUACUUGCUUGCUCGUUGUUGCUUCUGCAACCUUCUCGAACGUUGAAUCUUCUAAUCCUUGAUAGAGAAGAUACAACGCCUUCUGGUCAUUCUUUCGUAAAUCCUUGAGAGUGUUCCUUUGAUCUGCAGUAUAUGUGGCUUCUUGCUCGGUAGUGGGUACAACAUACCCAUUACUGACAACUUCCCAUAGCUCUUGUGAUCCAAACAAUGCUUUGAAUUGGAUGCACCAUCUUUCAUAAUUUUCUUUCUUCAAUGUGGGAACUUGGAGCUGCACUAAGUUGGAUGCCAUAACUGCUGCACCUGCCAGAAUGGUAUUCUGGCUCUGAUACCAACUGUUGGUAUUGACAAGUUUACUAACUCAAUACCAAAAUAUGUGGGUGAUAAGUUUACAAACUCUAUCACACCUCUCACUUUCUCUCUCUAACAAACGAAGAAGGGAUAGGAAAUAACAAGUUUCCACGAAACACACUUUCUUGAUAUAUGAAAUAAAAGGCAGUUUACAAACUGAUGAAGAAAAAAAACAGAAACUUACAAGCUUAUGAACCUGAGAGAAUACAAUCAGAAAAAUGGGAUUUGGAUGGGAUGAUUCUAAAACCUUACGAUAGGCUUCCUUAAAUACUACACAACCUACACCUUUACACCAUCAAUUGACAGCACACAGAUAGCAGCAUAUCUGCUGUCUUUAACACAUGGGAACGUGAAAAAUGAAGAGACCAAAAGUGCUCCAGGUUGUCUACAUUCGGCAAGUACAUGGCAGCACCAUUCCAGGUUGUAGUCACAACCUUUCAGCUAGCACAUGGAGGAACUUUUAGCCUUUAAAGUUGCAACAUGUGUGGAUACAUCCUGUAAAGAAACUAACAGCCAUUAGCAACCUUUUACAGCCUGUUUUGAGUUGAAUUCCAACAUUAUUCUGCUGCUAACCCCUUUUUUGAAUUUUAGCAUUUCGAUAAGAGGUGUUUAAAAGCAUUAUGGAGAAAAUUUGUUAGGAAGCAAAUUUCCUUUAAAAAGUUGAGCUUACACCAAAUUUUACUGGUGUACCAAUGAUGUGUUUUACCCUUACGUCCCUCCCUUCCUCGGAGAAAUGCUGGCCUUAGAUUUUACUCUUGACUUGGAAAUUUUGCUUUCUUUUCCGGCCUUAGAUUUCUUUUCCAGCUUUUGUUUCAGUGCAGUUUUUUGCUGCAGGUUUGGUGUAGUUUUUGGUGUUGUCUUGCUGCUGUUUUGUGUUGUUUUUCUGUGUUUUCUAUGCAGUUUGGCUGCAUUUUUUUGGCAGUUUUGGAGCUGUUUUUUUGCUGCAUUGUUGUUGCUGUUUUUUGUGCAAUUUUGCUGCAUAUUCAUUAAUUAAUAUACAAGGAAAAUAAGACCGUCUUAUGCAUAAAUAUGUGUAUAUUUUAAAUUGUACAUUUUUUUCUCAAAAACCAAACCGAAACCGUUUGAAACCGCACCGAACCGAACCAAACCAAACCAAACGGUUUGGUUUCAUUUCGGUUUUGGCUUCAAAACCGCACCGCACCGUAAAAAGUUUCGGUUUCGGUUGUGGUUUCACUCGAAAUCGCACCGAACCGCACCGCGCCCACCCCUAAUUUCAAUAGCAAAAAAGAAAACUGACAUUUGGUUCAAAAGUAUUAGAGGGAGUAUAGGUCAAGGAUUUAAAUAUCGGUAAUAUCGGUAGUCCGAAAACACAGAAAUAUCGACGGAAAUAUCGAUAUUGAUAAAAAUUACAUGGAAACCACGGAAAUUGUAAGAAAAACUUGAAAAUUUUUAUUGAAACUUUGCAGGAUGUUUAUUUAGUCAAUUAUCUAUUAGUUUAUCACAAAAAAUUGGAAGGAAAUGCAUUGCAUGAUGGAUUUAACAUUAUCAAGUUGAUUAUAUAGCGAGCUGACAAACAUUGUGAGUGUAGAAAAUAUGUAGUAAUUAACGAAAGAAGUCUAAACACACACACAUACAUGCUAUUAUUCGUUGUCCAUUGUCUGCAAUUGUAAAAAGUGAUUGAAAAAUUCAUGAGGUGAGUCAGAUGGGGUCACUCAACCACAGAGGCACACACACACAGAGACAUGCCAUCACACACGCACACAACACACGCACACAUAUCUCACACGCAUACGGCUCUCUAUCUCUCUCAUUCUCGAUCCUUCUCUCUUCUUCUCUGAGUCUGAGGUGUCGGACCUCUCUUCUCCCCCUUCUCCAUUCGACCCACACACACAGAGAUCUCCCCCUUCUUGAUCCUUCUCUCUUCUUCUCUGAGGCCUUCGAUCCUUCUCUCUUCUUCUCUGAGGCCCUCGAUCCUUCUCUCUUCUUCUCUGAGGCGUCUGACCUCUCUUCUCCCCCUUCUCCAUUCGACCCACACACAUAGAUCUCCCCCUUCUCGAUCCUUCUCUCUUCUUCUCUGAGGCCCUCGAUCAUUCUCUCUUCUUCUCUGAGGCCUGACCUCUCUUCUCCCCCUUCUCCAUUCGACCCACACGCACACAGAUCUCCCCAUUCUCCCACUUUCUCGAUCCUUCGCCCACUCUCUCGAUCCUUCGCUGCUGUUGAUCGUGGCUUUGGCGAAGUCGGACUUGGCUCAGUCGUCUCUGGUGGUGCGCCACUGAGCAAGGAGUUGGCCCAGUCAUCGAUUUUUCAGGUGAGAUUCCAUUGAAACCCUAAGCCCUAAACCGACAUCACAUAUGUUGAAUCGUUGAUGCAUGCGUGAAAUUUGAAGCUUAUAUGUGAAAUUGAAGUUAAAAAUCGUGUUUUUGCAAGGUUUUUGGGACGAAAUCGGCUCGGGAAUAGGCACACCAUCUCCGGCGUUCGAUAUCGGAGUCCGAUUGCACCGUUCAACAAAAUAUCUCGAUAUUUCCAAAAUAUCGCGAUAUUAUCGAUAUCGAUAAUAUCACGAUAUUUUGACGAAAACCACACAGAUACCUAUUUAAAUAUCCAUUCCCCGAAAAAUCGAUAUUAUCGACGAUAUUUCGUCGAUAAUAUCGAUAUUUAAAUCCAUGGUGAUGACACAUAACAUUUAUAUAACAUUUAUAUGAAAAGCCCACGCAAGUGGGUGGUUUUCAUAAUUUAAACCAUACCCUUUUAAGUAGUAGCUGUCCACCCUAUUUCACAUCACCCAAGGUAGACCUCAAUCAUCACCAAGUGAAAUGUCAUUUGUAUAACCUAUUCGUUUCUUCUUCUUUGUCUUUUUAGAACCUCAAAAUUUGAUUAGUCAUCACCAGCUUUUUACCUUGGAAAGUGAAAUGUCAUUUGUAUAACCUAUUCGUUUCCAAGGAUGAAAAUAUCGAUAUUAUCGGCGAUAUUUCGCCGAUAAUAUCGUUUUUUUGAGAUAACGAUAUUUUUACAUAUAUCCACUUAAUUAUCGUCCAAAUAUCGCAAUAUUAUCGAUAAUAUCGCGAUAUUUUCGAUAUCUUUUCGAUAUUUUCAAGAUACUUUCGAUAUUUUCGCCAGGAGGAUGCUCCGACGAGGAAGAAGAAGGAGCAGAGCUGGAAGAGGCGGAGGAGGGCUUACUGAACGGUGGAAAGGGAGUGGAGCCAUCGGAAUCCGCCGAGCGCGGACUCCUCUGGACCGAAGGUGCCGAGCCAGACCCGGGUCUUCUUCCACGGGUCACAGAUCUCGGCAGCAAACCGGCCCCACGGUCUUUUCUGAACCCCUCGGUACCGGACCUCUUUUCCAAUACAGGGUCUAGAUCCGGUGGAUUCGGCCGGCGGCGCUGCGUGUCUCGUAGCGGCUCCUCUUCCCCUCCUCAUGGCCAAGAAUCGGGCUUUUUAGAGUCUGAUGGUCAUAGAAAGAAUUGGGUGUUUGAGAGAUUUGGAUUGGGAAAAUUGAAAGAUGGGUUUUGCAGAGACAGGAAGAGAAGAGAGAGAGAGAGAGGAUAUGGGGGAAGGUUUGCUUAGAGGGAUGGGUGGGAGAAAAACUGGAUGGCACCAGCACCACCUUCCCUUCUACACAAAAAAUAUAUAAAUAAUAAUGAUUUUUUUGGUUUUUGGUUUAUGGGAUUAUUUUUUUAUUUUUUUUUUGGGGUUUCUGGCUGAGAUAAAAUUGGCUUUUUUUUUUUUUUUGAACUUUUUUCCGGGUCAAAGAAAAGAAAUAGGGUAUUUUGGUUGUUUCUUUUUCUUUGGUUUCUUUGUUCCUUCCUUUCUCGAUUAGUGUAGCUUCUGUUGCCCCCACAAACCGACCAGACUCGAUUUCUUUGCUUCUCCCUUUAUCAUUCUCGUCCUCCCAUUUUAUUUUUUUCAAGUUUCGUAAAUUAUGAAUUUUCGUUUCUUCCCUUUUCGGCUUUUCCACCGCGUUCCAAAUCUAAAAUGUUUUAUGUUAUUUAGCAAAACGAUUAUUUUUUGUUCUUUGUAUUUUUAAGUCAAAGUCAAACAGUGUCCUAAGUUUGACAUCAAAUUAUCACGAAUUCAAUAUCAAUUUUGUUUUGUUGGUUUUUUUAUGUGUUUAAGUUUACAUAUUACAAUUAAAUGAUAAUCAUCUUUAUUUGUAAGUUAAUAAAAUCUUAAAUUGGAUGCCAAUUUAUCACAAAUUCUAUACUAAAUUAUCAAUGUUAGCACUUGUGUGGCAUGACCAAAAUCUACACUCCUACAUUAAUUACAUAUUCUCUACACUCACAAUGUUUGUCAGCUCGCUAUAUAAUCAACUUGAUAAUGUUAAAUCCAUCAUGCAAUGCAUUUCCUUCCAAUUUUUGUGAUAAACUAAUAGAUAAUUGACUAAAUAAACAUCCUGCAAAGUUUCAAUAAAUUUCCAAGUUUUUCUUACAAUUUCCGUGGUUUCCAUGUAAUUUUUAUCGAUAUCGAUAUUAUCCCGAUAUUUCCAUCGAUAUUUCCGUGUUUUCAGACUACCGAUAUUUCCGAUAUUACCGAUAUUUUCUUCCUUGGUCAUCACCCACUUACAAGUUUGAGAUAUAUAUUAUAUAUAAAUGUUAUAUAAAUUAUAAAUUAAUUAGAUAAUAUUGUGUUUUUUUUCCGAGGCAAUCAUAUUAUAUAUGUACAUAAAACAUUCACAUAUGUAUGCUCUUCUAUAAGAAAUAACAUAUUAUUCAAUAAUUAUUUACAUCUGAUACAGUAAUUUUAAUUCAUUCAUAUAAUAUAUAAGCAAUUUACCUAAAUCCGCUUAGGCCGUCUAGGCGCUUGCCACCUAGACCCCACCUAGCCACCCGACUAGCGCCAAACGUUUAGAAUCUUGAUAUAAUUAUGACUUAAAAAAAAAGCUUAUUCAUAAACAGAGUUUCAUUUGUCUUAAAAGAGAUAUCAAAGUAAAUAACUUGUACCUGUGUCUAAUCGCGUAAAUAGCCUCUGACGAUAUUACCUCUCUCGAGUCUUUGGUGGUUUUGCAAAACCAAUAUCAUCAUCUAUGGCAAUCUGUUGUAGUCAACGUGUCGUAGUCAUUUCUUAGCCACGCAGAAACAGAUUUGAGUACACGAAGUUCACCAUUGAGGAGAUCCCGAGCCAUUUGCCUCCGGAUAGAAAGUCUUUCGCAUGCAAUGGGAGAACUUACGCGUCCCAAAGACUAUGCAUACACUCAAGAAGCACAAAAAGGAGUUAUUACAUUUGUACGAGUCAGAUGCAACAUUAUGUAAAUCAUAGAAUGAGUAUAUUAAAAUUUCACUCUUCAUAUGUUUAUUACUGCUUCCCAAGUUAUAAAAUUCCUCAAUUUCAUUAAUAUCUCAACCAAAAUGAGUAUGUUACAACAUCUGAUGUGCUUUGGAAUUCCUGAAUUCACAAGAACUGUAAUUGGUCUAAAAAGUUAGGCAACUUCUGUAAACGGAUGAGGUAAAAAGCUAGCAUCUUCACCUUGAUAGAUGCAUCAAUAGUUGGGUUAAUCCUGAUAACAACAUCUGAUGUGCUUUAAUCUCUCUGCUGCUGUUUUUUAAAGGACGUCGAGCCAAUCGACCAUCAUGCUCUGCAGCUUCUUUGGCCAGGUCACUAAGUUCUGAAUAUUAAGAAACUAUUUGCAGAUGGCUCAUAAGGUAAAAUGAGCUCAGAAGCAUAUCAAGCAAUGCAUGAGAGUAAGGUAACAUGAAGAGAACACGCCUUGAGGAGAGGUGCAACAUAGAACACGAGCAAAUGCGUGAAGUGACCGUGGAAUUCCUUUCUCUUUACCAGACCUAACUUCCCUGUGUCAUCAUACGAUUAUUGUAAUCAGUAAAAGAUUUUCAUCACAAGAUAUCAAGUCAUCACGCAGACAAACGCAUAAAUUAAACAAGACUGGAAAUGUAACAAAAGAAACAGACCAUUUGGUGACUAGAUGCAAGCGAUAAAAGGCAUCAUGUAGGCAAAGGAACGAAAAUAGGGGAAAAAGAAAAAAGGAAAUAAAAGAGAUAUAAUGCAUCACUACCAACUUGAUAGUGAAAGAAUCCAUUAAAGAGUCGAAACCAUUGACAUCGUUACUGAUUGGUCUGUGAUGUCUCUUCAAAAGUUCCCACUUCAUUCAUGAAGGACAUCAUGAUGAGGUAUAUCGCCCUGGAUCUGGACCUGAAAAUAGACCACAGGCAUCCCUAAACAUUUACAGAUUACAUUAUGAAAACCAUCAUCUGGCAAGAAAUGACGUAGAACGCAUAUUCAGUAUCUUACUAAUUAACACUGGGUGACAGAAUAAUUAAGUGGCUUGAGUCUUCAAGCAAACUUACUGAAAAAAGAGAUUACAAGUACUCAACUAAUUGCAAUUACUAUGCUCCCAAGAAAGACAUCCAACUUAUCAAAAGAGGUUCUUAAGCAAGUGCUAGAUCAAAAACAUUCUUGUUUAUCGAGUCAAAGAGAGAACAGUUUUGUUAAACUUCUAGUCAAAGUGUUAAAUCAAAGUAAGAAGUGUGAAUUAAGCUACAGAAAGAUCUUCCCAGCAUAACAAAGCAAUCAUUGUGACUAAAGUAAACUGAAAUCUAAGACCGACCUGGUUGUGAAUGUUGUAUGAAAGUGUAAACCCAAAGUCCAGCAGCAGGGUAGCAUUUGAAAAUUUUCCGUAUCUUAUCAGUACCUAUACAAUGACCAGCAAGGAAUAAAAAAUUUUGCUAAUUCAUUAAAAAAAAUACAUAAGAAAUUAGCAGAAGGUCAUUAAAAUUCAAACCCAAAUGAGAGACAUCUAGAACGAGUAUGAGUUAUAAUGUUAAUGAGCCGUCUACAAAAACAAAAAUUGAUCAACUGUUUCAAAAAAAAAAUGAUAUUCCAAAGGGUACGUGUAAUUUUAAAUAGGGGAAACAGGCCAUCUUAACUAAGUAGCGUCUAACCUGUUCACCAGGAGCAUAAUUGCAGUCAGCAAUUACCUGCCCAGAUAAAUGACAGGCAUGAAAAAUCAAGGACAUUGUUCACGCGUAUACCUGAUAAUAUGUAUAAAUUUUAAAGGGAGCUCGUAACUGCAGAAAUAAGUAGCAUAUGAGAAAUGAAUUUGUUGUGCACCCCAAUAACUGAAUGAAUAUAAAGCAAAUCAAGAUGUGAGAUAGAGUGCAGAUUGAAUAAGGAGAACAUAAAAUUCUUGUACUCCUAUAACCAAAUCAAGAUGUGAGAUGGAGAAUCAAAAUGCAAAGAGAGAGGGAGUACCUCUGAGAAAUGUUUGUCGUCAUCACUCAACACAAUUGAUUCUGAAGUCCCGUCAUGAUUCAGAAAAUCAGCAAAUGGGAUCUAUAAAAUAAUUUAAUAAUCCAAACAUACAUAAUUAAAGAGGCAAACAUUGAACUUGCAUCAUAAAGUUCAUAACACUAUUUACAACGGAAUCUUCGCAAAUGUGUACCAGGGAAUAACCCUUCAUGCUUCCCCAUGCUCGAGAAGUAACUGCAAAAUCCACCUUGAACAAGUGAGAAUAAGUUUUAUAGAUCUUUAAGAGAUGCAACUGCUGCAACUAAUCACAUCUAGAAUAGUUUUAUAUCCAGCAAGUCAUAUUAAGUCAGAAUUAAUAGGUAUAUAGGUAAAUGGAGAUAUAACUAAUUUAAAAAAUAUGAAAUCGGAUGCCAUUAAAAUCUACAACACUUCUGGCAUUCAUUCAUUUUAGUUGUUUUAAAUUGGAAUUAAGUACAACUGAAUCAAAUAACGGAUUAGAACAUGAAAAUGCUUAAUAUCAUAACCGUCACCGUGCAAUGCAUCCUGGAUAAACAAAAACCUCAAACUCCACAGAAAAAAUCUUUCCACAACAUAGUAAAUUAAACUAGAACAGCAAUCUACAUUGCACAUUCUCUGCUCAAACAAAACGACAGUGGCAAGCUUUGUGUUGCGAAAUUUAAACUAACCGAAAUUAGUCCAACUUAGUUCCAAAGUUUAUGCUCGCAAGCGUACGAAUCGUUUGAUAGUAUAGAAAGCAAGCACUUAAUAUCGUCCCUUAGAAAAUGAUUUAAUUCUUAUCAACUAACUUAAAUCCAAUUGCAACGAAGUGAAACUAGCAAAGAUUGAUGAAAGAUGGUUUUGAGAAUUGAAACUAAUAGUAAAAACAAAUAAAAACAAGAAAGUUUGAUCACAAUGCAAAAAAUGACAGCCAAUAAAACAAGUUGUAAUUCAAUUGAGUAAAACACUAGAGCAUCUGACUCGCCAUAACCCAUCCUACUUAUUUCCUGCAACGAAUUAUUAACAAGUACUCAAUCUCAUUAAUAGUAAAAUUUCCCUAAUUCAUGUAAUAUCUAUGGCAUCUAGACUAUUACGUAUAUCCCAAUUUGCAACCAUCCAUGGCAUCUGGAAUAGUUUAACAUCAUGAAACUCAUUACGAUCAGUGGAAAUUUAUAUAAAGACUACACAAAUCCUAGAGUAUGGCAUCUACUACUAGGUAAUUUAUGGUAUCUAUUUGCAAGAAGCUAUCACUCAAGUUGAAAACAUGGCAUCUGCACAACUUGCAUCACAUUUACUAAGUAAAAGUCAAGAUGGUAGCUAAUCUCCAAGACUAAAACCAAGCAUAUAAACACAGCAAACAAUACUCAAUGAAAUUGAAAACUUGAAAAUAAUUCAAUUCAGAAUUUAAGCAUUCGUAGUCAUGGCUACAUCGUAGCCCUAGCUAAGGAAAAUUAGUUCCGAAACAUAGAUGAAAUUGUCAUUGUAUUCAUAAUAAAAACGAGAAGAAAAUUGAGUUUAGAAAACCCUGUAAACUCCUCUGCUCUGCGGUAGCCUUUCUUCCUGCGAAAAAUACAUCCCCCGUGUGUCUCUGCUGCUUCUGUUUUCAUUUCCCUUUUUUUUUCGUAACCGACGACGGCUUAAAAGCCAAUUUAUUGAAAACAUUAGAAGAAAAGAAACGGAAGAAACCUUUUAACUCCUUGCCAGACACUUUGUGAAAAUUGAUCAAAGCUUGAAAGAAUAGAACGCCUAAAUCACACUCAAGUUGGUCUACUUGCUGCAACGAGGCCUCCAUAUUGUCCUUUUCUACCCUGCUAGAUUCCAGCUGGGAAUUUCAUCUCCAAAGUGAUAUAACAACCAAAUCUGAAAGUACCCAAAUCUCCAUUGCAAUUGAUGAGAAUUAAAGAUAAAAAAAUUGCCCAAUUCAUGCUUCCACCGCAAACCUAACAAACUGGAGAGUGGAAUAGAAAUAUGGAUUUUCAUCCCGCUUCAAUUUUGAUAAGCUGCAGUGCGCCAGCUUGCUUCUGGAAAUUGGUAGAGAAAAACAAUCAUUUCUUAUGUCGGUGCAAAUAUGAGGAUAAGGGCAUUUGUUUUGUUGAAGCGGUCACGUGAUGGUCCUUUCUGUAGUGCAAUAAGGAACCUGAUUAAAAAUUGAAUAAUAGGAAAUGAGUCUACACUAUUUUACCAAACAUGAUUAGACACCACCAAACUAACAUGAAAAUCACAUAAACAUAGCAUAAUUUUCCAUAUCAUUAAUUCAAUCUUAAAAACACCAAAACAUGUCAUUUCUUUCAUUUAAAUCCGAAAUUGCAUCUAAGAAAUUGUAGUUUUCGGAGUACAAUAGAUGAUAAAAUAUGCACUCGUCACUUUGCAGCAUCGCCAACUCCAUCACUCAACAAAUCUUUCAGUUCUGGAACGAGAUUAUCCGGAGCUAGUUGCUGCAAUUAUCAACCAAAACAAAGCCUCAUAAAUCAUAAAUUAACAAUUUAAACUGUGAUUAAUAAUGUGAUUAAAGUCUUAAAUAAUUUGGGAUUACGAUUUACCACGUUGUACGGAACCUUCAAAAUGCAGUCUCCAGCUGUUAUGCUCUUUGAAGCAAACAGAGACGUUCCGUGCGCCGGUUUCCCAAUUGAAACGCCGACCGAGAUUUCGGCGCCGGCCUUCCGCUCCAGCCACGGCAAGAAAUCGUUGGAUUCGUCGACCUGGUAGAGAAUGAUGAAUUGUUAGCAGGAAUUUGAAAUGUUUCGGUUUUUUACGGGAUUGUGAAAUACUCUGUUUGGCUUUUGGGAUACCUUGGGUUGGGACAAGGAGAGGAAGUUGAGCUUGAUACUCGGAGUGUAGGAGAGGUUGAGAUGUUGACGGCGGAGACGCCAUCGGAUAUUUGUGCGGGAUCGGGACGUCGUCGUUUUGAUGAGAGUGUUGGCUUGGCGCUCGACUGUCGGGUUUUUCGCGCUCACAGUAACAUUCUAAGUUGAUAGUCAUACAAUCCCUAAUCACGACCUUUACCUUACGUGUGGAUCUGACCACGAUCGUUCAUCGUACAUCGUGCGAUCAGAAAUUAUUUUAAAAUUUAAAAUUAAAUGUAAAUAAUACUUAAUGAAAAUUGAUCGCACGAUUUACGAUGAACGAUCAGGAUCACAAGAUCCCAGGAAAAGGAUCCGGCGAGGAUCCUUUUCCCAAAAAUUGAAUAGCUGUUUGUUAUAAUGCUCCUCAACGAUUAUUGUUAUGAAACUAUUAAUGUAUAAAAUCGGGUUGAUUUUAAAACAGAGGCAGAUUCUCUGCCCUCCCACUUUCCGUGCCCUCCCAUUUUGUGUGGUCACAGUUAAGUCACGUCAAUAUUUUAUAUUAUUUUUUUAUAGAGAUAAUAAGACAAAACAGAACAGUAAUAUAAAAGGUUGACGUGGCUUCACAAUGACUACACAAACGGGAGGCCAUAGAAAGUGGAAGGGCAGAGAACCUACCUCCUUUUAAAACAACGUGAAAGUCAACAUGUGACCUUCGCAAAGUUGGUUCGGUCACUAUGGAAAAAAAGUUCGAGCAUAAUGGGGAAAAAGUUCGAGCACGAAAUAAGGCACAAAAAUUUCGUAAUGUAUUUACAACGAUCAAAACCGUCUAUCUCCCAUUAUUUAAAGGUCAUGUGGUUGCACUUCCUUUCGUUUUGGAAAAAAAAGUGGUAUGCACUUCCUUUCGUUUUGGGAAGGGCGGGUGGAGAAGCUUGCUAUUUGGUGGAGUGGAAGAGUUUGCUAUUACUACUCUUCUGUCAGUAAAGCUAUAUGUUUUGUUGCUUGUUUUUUAAAGAAAUUAGCGAAUAAAUACUGUACAUAAGUACAGGUAAUGCUUAUUUCAUACUUGAACUAUACUGUUGCGAAAGAUUCCCAGUAGUCGUAGCUGCAUUGCUUCCUUAGAUUCUAAGCAGUUUCUAAUAACUGCUUGUGAGAUUCUGAAAAAAUGGUUCCUGAAAUUCAUUUAUAUGAGUUGGUACCGCGAACUAUUUCUGUAAAAAAUUACGGCAGACUCGUGCAGAAUUUGCGUAGAAGGACAUUCGUAAGAUGCUUUACUGAAAAGGAAGUUGAGGAGGCCACAAGAAACUACACUUAUCAUUACUAUAACAAUGAACGCUACGGAACAGUAUACCACACAAAAUUAGAUGGAUGAGGUAUCGCCAUAAAAAAGUGCAACAGUGUUAUUGGUGACCCGUUCAUCCAGAGUCAACGUCUGGUUCACGAGGCAUUUGUUCUUUCUCAAAUCGAACACAAAAAUGUGGGAGGCUGUUUGGUUGUUGUUUAGAGACAAAAUGGCCCAUAAUGGUUUAUGUCCCCACCAAUGCCUUGACUUGUCUUGAGCACUUUGGCAGAAACAACCCUAAACUCUCGUUUGAAUCACGAAUGAAGAUAGCAGCGGAAACUGCAGGAGCUCUAGCGUACUUGCACUCCAAGUCAGUCAUACACCGAGAUGUGAAGGCAGCGAAUAUAUUCAUAAAUGAUACAACUCACACCGCUAAAGUCAGUCAUACCACUCAACUCGAUUAAUAACUAUAACCUUGGCAAGACAAGCCUACUAACAUCUGCACACUACUCAAACCCUAGCUCUCUCUCUCUCUCUCUUAUUUCUUCUCAACUUUUUUUCCAACGUAAAGCUGGACAAACUCUUAUUUCCUGGGUAAUUGUAAAGUGUGGCAGCUGCACCUAUUUAUAGAAUUCGGAUCCUCUCCGGAUCCUCUUUGUGAGAAUCUCGGAGAUUUGUAACUCAUGUUCGUUCAUCGUACAUCGUGCGGUUAAUUUUCAUCAAAUAUUGUUUGUGUUCAAUUUUAAAUAAUAAAAUUUAAAAUGAUUUUUGACCGCACGAUGUACGAUGAAUGACCACAAUAAACAGAUUCCCGAGAUCCUCACAAAAAGGAUCUGGAGAGGAUCCUUAUUCCUAUUUAUAAUUCACUAAACUUAGUGACCAAGUAAGACAAUAGUAAUAAAAUAAUAUGUAAAUUAUAGACUAAACCUAGGUACAUCUAUCCCCACUGAAAUAUGUCAAAAUUAACUAGCAACAUCAAAGAAAGAACAAAUGUUGCCACGUCCAGUGUAGGUCUCCACCUCCAACCUUUGCCGGACUUACAAAUCCUACUAAUUUGCAUGAAGCAAUGAAGCCACCUCGAGCUAUAAAUAGCUUAAAAAACAACAUAAUUGUAAACAUAAAGAUAGGUGAUUCAAUGGUUAAAAACCAUGUAAACCGCUUAGACAUGAAAAAAUAAAAAGUAUAUGAAAAUUAAGGACUGACUUGAGCUUGGAGUUCACAGAAUACUUUUAAUAGUAAAUGUUGUGUUGGAUUGAGUUCCUUGUAAUGAUAUAUCUCUUCUCUGCACAAAUAGCACAAUGGCAAAAAUGGUAGUUUAUUUAAAAAAUGAAAAAAAAUUAAAUACAGUGAACGAUGCUAAGAUGAAUAAAACUGAAACCCUAGACAACAAAUUGAUAGCUAGGAAGAAAGGAAAAAAAAACAUGCAUGAAUAAAAUUUUGACCACCCUUAAUUUAUAAUUAAGCUAAGCAAAUACACAACAAGCUCAACACAAUCACAACAAUAAGAAUUUUCAAAUGGUUAAAUAUAUAUCACAAAGAAAAGCACAUGCAUCUAGAGAAUUGAAUAUUAUUAUCACUACUGUGAAUUCAAUUUCAUUUCAAGCUACUAUCUAAUAAAACCUUUCAGUCAAGGUUUCUGUAAGUUAAUUUUAAUUUUAUUAUCAAAACUAUUUUUAGUAAAUUUUCUUUACAUCCUAUUACAAAUUAUUACAUCUACUUGGAUUUUAAUAUGCACUGAAGAAAUUAAAGUCCUUACAUCACAAUCUGAAUUGAGAUCUAGUUCAUUGAAUCACUAUACAAUGCGGGGAGAGGCUACCCUGCUCUUGUGGUCUCGUCCCUUCGGGGGAUUGAACGUGCCUCCUCCCAUUGGAUACUGGAGGUGAAGCCCUACAACGCUUAGGACUUCGGCUGUCAUGAGGACUCGUUGAUCUUCUCUCCAAACUCCUUUCUCUCCUCAUGGGUGAUCGCUAAUGACUGCACAUUAGGAAAAAAAUAAACGAGUUUCAGCAAAAUACCCAGACAAAUAAUCUGCACACAUAGCAAUUCGAUGUGAAGAACAAAGUGCCGGUUGUCAACUACCUGACACACUCCCCCUCCUCCUUUUUCCGGCCUUGGGACCGGCAGUGUAAGAUAAACUUACACAGGCGGAUUUAUUAAAAAUGUGGACUAUAUUAUAAAAAUUUACUACUAUAACCUCAUUCACUUGAGAAAGCAUUACACAGAAAUCCAAAUUCACCCAGCAAAAAUGUGUCUUCUAUUUUAGUUGUACCCUCAUAUCCCACAUUCCCGCUCCAAAUGCGUAAGAGCCAGUUUGGUGGGUUUUCCUUCAUAUUAGCCUAAUCUUGUGGGCUCCUAGUUUUCCAGAAUCCCGGUUUCUCACGUUCAGUUGUUAUGAAUCCAUAACUUGUAACUGUGUCUGAUCACGUAAAUAAUCUCCGAUGAUAUUACCUCUCUCAAGUCUUUGGUGGUAUUGCAAAACUAAUAUCAUCAUCUAUAGCAGUCUGUUGUAGUCAAAGUGUCGCAGUAGUUUCUUAGCCAUGCAGAAGCAGAUUUGAGGAUACGAAGUUCACCAUUGAGGAGAUCCUGAGCCAUUUGCCUCCGGAUAGAAAGUCUUUCACAAGUAACUGGAGAACUUAUAGGUCCCAAAGACUAUGCACACACUCAAGAAGCACAAAAAGGAGUUACUACAUUUGUAGUCAGAUGCAACAUUAUGUAAACCAUAGAAAUGAUUAUAUUAAAAUUCCACUCUCUUCAUAUGUUUAUUAAUGCUUCCCAAACGCCUAAGACUUCUCCAGUUAUAAAAUUCCUCAACUUCAUUAAUAUCUCAACCAAAAUGAGUAUGUUAGAACACGUCAAUUGAUUCAAUCUGCGUAUGCUUAAGAAUUCCUUCAUUCAAAAGAACCGUAAUUGGUGUAUGCUCUUGUGAAUUAAUGCAUUAUCAUAGAAAAUAAUGAACUCUUGUUUAACUUAGCUUAAACAAGUUCUGUAAACGAAGGGGGUAAAAAGUUAGCAUCUUUACCUUGAUAGAUGCAUCACAACGUCAGCUAAUUGGGUUAAUUUUGAUAACAACAUCUGAUGUGCUUCAAUCUCUCUGCUGCUGUUUAUUAAAGGACGUCGAGCCAAUCGACCAUCAUGUUCUGCAGCUUCCUUGGCCAGGUCACUAAGUUCUGAAUAUUAACUUAAGAAACAAUCAAUAAACUAUUUGCAGAUGAGUCAUCAGGUUAAAUGAGCUCAGAAGCAUAUUAAGCAAUGCAUGCGAGUAAGUUAACAUGAAGAGAAAUACACCUUGAGGAGAGGCGCAACAUAGAACACGAGCAAAAGCACGAAGUGACUGAGGAAUUCCUUUCCCUUUUCCACUACCAGACCUAACUUCCCUAUGUCAUCGUACGAUUAUUGUAAUCAGUAAAAGAUUUUCAUCGCAAGAUAUCAAGUCAUCACGCAGAUAAAUGCAUUAAUUAAACAAGACUGGAAAUGGAACAAAAGAAACAGAAUAUUUGACUUCACAGAGUACCACUAGAUACGGGGGAUAAAGGCCAUCAUGUAGGCAAAGGAACAAAAAUAGGGGAAAAAAGGAAAUAAAAGAGAUAUAGUGCAUCACUACCAACUUGAUAGUGAAAGAAUCCAUUGAAGAGUCGAAACCAUUGACAUCAUUACUGAUUGGUCUGUGAUGUCUCUUCAAAAGUUCCCACUUCAUUUCACGAAGGACGUCAUGGUGAGGUAUAUUGACCUGGAUCUCGACCUGAAAAUAGACCAAAGGCAUCCAUAACAUUUACAGAUUACAUAUAACAAAACCAUCAUCUGGAAAGAAAUGAUGUAGAACGUGUAUUCAGUAUCUUACUAAUUAACACUGGAUGACAGAUAAUUAAGUGGCUUGAGUCUUCAAGCAAACUUACUGAACAAAGAGAUUAUAAAUACUCAACUAAUUGCAAUUACUAUGCUCCCAUGAAAGACAUCCAACUUAUCAAAGAGGUUUUUAAGCAAGUGCUAGAUCAAAAGUAGUCUUGUUCAUGGAGUCAAAGGGAAAAUAGUUUUGUUACCAAAAACAAACUUCUAGUCAAAGUGUUAAAUCAAACUAAGAAGUGUGAAUUAAGCAACGGAAACGUUCUCCCAACAUAACAAAGCAAUCAUUGUGACUAUAGUGAACAGAAAUCCAAGACUGACCUGGUCGUGGAUGUUGGAUGAAAGUGUAAACCCAAAGUCAAGAAGCAGGGUAGCAUUUGAAAAUUUUCCGUAUCUUAUCAGUACCUAUACAAAUAUACAAAUCGCAGUCCAGAGUUACAACUUUAAACAACCACUUCUGCAAUAUAACCAUAGUCACGAACUGCUCCAGAGGAUGCUUCCAUGUACCAUCCAUUCAUACUAAUAAUAGGAAACCCCAAACUUCCAGUAAUUUCUAAAUAUUAAUUCCACAGCAUAUCUCAAGCAAUAUUGUGCUUUUUACUCUAACAUAGACCCUGUGUUCAUGUAUUGUGAUCCGUUAUCUGUUAACACACAAUGACCACUGAGGAAUAAAAAGUUUUACUAAUUCUUUGUCAUGAAAAUUUCAAACCCAACGAGAGACAUCUAAAACGAAAAUGAGUGAAAAUGUUAAUGAGUCGUCUACAAAAACAAAAAUUGAUCAAAUGUUUCAAAACAAAAAUGAAAUUCCAAAGGGUGCCUGUAAUUUUAAAUAGGGGAAAAAAGCCAUCUUAAUUAAGUAGCAUCUAACCUGUUCAUCAGGAGCAUAAUUGCGGUCAGCAAUGACCUGCCCAGAUAAAGAACAGGCAUGGAAAAUCAAGAACAUUGUUCACACAUAUCCCUGAUAUGUAUAAAUUUUAAAGGGAGCUAAAAACUGCAAAUACAAGUAGCAUAGCAUCCCAAUAAUUGAACUAAUAUAAAGCAAUAAAAACAUAAAAAAGACUCAAUUUCCAUAAGAGUGCGGAAUGAAGGGGAGAAUAUAAAAUUCUUGUACUCCUAUAACCAAAUCAAGAUGUGAGAUAGAGAAUCAAAACGCAGAGAGAGAGAGAGAGAGAGAGAGUACCUCUGAGAAAUGUUUGUCGUUGUCACUCAACACUAAUGAUUCUGAAGUGCCGUCAUGAUUCAAAAAAUCAGCAAAUGGGAUCUAUAAAAUAAAUUGAAAAUCCAAAAAUUCAUAAGUAAAAAGGAAAUAAUUGAACUUCCAUCAUAAAGCUCAUAACACUAUUUACAACAGAAUCUUUAUAAACGUGUUACCAGGGAAUAACCCUUCAUGCUUCCCCAUGCUCGAGAAGUAACUGCGAAAUCCACUGCGAACCAGUGAGAAUAAGUUGUAUAGAUCUUUAAGAGAUGCAACUGCUGCAACUAAUAAUAUCUAGAAUAGUUUGUAUCCAGGAAUCAUAUAAAAUCGGAAUGAAUAGGUAUAUAGGUAAAUGGAGAUAUAACUAACUAAACUAUAUGAAAUUGGAUUCCAUUGAACAUCUACACCGAUGCUGGCAUUCAUUCAUUUUAUUCAAAAAAUUGGAAUUAAGUACAAUUGAAGCAAAUUAUUCAGACAGUUCAGGACGUGAAAAUGCUUUAAAAUGGAGAAGCUCACCUAAAGCAUAUGCGUGCAUGAAAUCCUUAUAGGUGAUACUUUUGGACAUUUCAGGGAAGUUCUUGAAAGCCUGAAAAUAUGUCGUAGCAAUAAUUAGAAUCUAAAAGUUAAUAACUACGAAGUGAUUGACAAUCAUCUCAUAUCUCAGGUAAGUAUUGACUUGAUUAAGUUUCAAAAGUUAUUAAGUUGACGGGACCCCCACUAUUCCAAAUUCUGAAGAAUGUGUGCCACCAACAGUUUAAAUCCCGAAUUGAGAUGAUGAUAUUAAACUUAAAGCAUAUACAUGGCAGAGGUUCACGCAUGAACGUCCCAAAACCAUUAACCAGUGUAUAAAACAAUCAAGUACUUACCGUCCUAAUUGCCAAAAAUUCCUUUUUGAUUUGAGAUCUUUGAUUAAUUGUUUCCUGAUAUACAGAGCUUUGGCGAAUCAGCUCCAGCUCAUCGUCACUCCAAAAUAUCUAAGAAUAUACAAACAACAUCCAAGUCAAUAACAGCAAAUUCUUGCCAUUCAAAAAAAUGUGUACAACCAAACAAAUCAACUACAUGUAAGAACCAUUGCUCAGUUAAAUUCUUUUCCAUUCAUGUUCAACACAUGCUGUCUGAAUUGACCGUCUAACAACAUAACCUACCAAAUUAUCUCUAGGAAUGCAAAUGAUAAUAUCGUAUAACACUCACCGUGCAAUGCAUCUCCUCCGGGCGAGGAAGCCAGCGAAUGUAAGGGGCCCACCUGGAAUCCUGCAUAAACAAAACCCUCAAACUCCACAGAAAAAAUAUUUCCACAACAUAGUAAUUAAACUAGAACAGCAAUCUACAUUGCCCAUUCUCUGCUCAAACAAAACGACAGUGGCAAGCUUUGCAGCAUCGCCAACUCCAUCACUCAACAAAUCUUUCAGUUCCGGAACGAGAUCAUCCGGAGCUAGUUGCUGCAAUUAUCCACCAAAACAAAGCCUCUUAAAUCAUAUAUUAACAAUUUAAACUGUGAUUAAUAAUGUGAUUAAAGUCUUAAAUAAUUUGGGUUAAGAUUUACCACUCUGUACGGAACCUUCAAAACGCAAUCUCCAGCUGUUAUGCUCUUUGAAGCAAAAAGAGAAGUUCCGUACGCCGAUUUCCCAAUUGAAAGUGCCGACGAAAUCUCGGCGCCGGCCUUCCGCUCCAGCCACGGCAAGAAGUCGUCGGAUUCGACCUGGUAGAGAACGAUGAAUUGUUAGCAGGAGUUUGAUAUGUUUCGGUUUUUCCCGUGAUUGUGAAAUUCUCUGUUUGGCUUUUGGGAUACCUUGGGUUGGGACAAGGAGUGGAAGUUCAGCUUGAUACUUGGAGUGUAGGAGAGGCUGAGAUGUUGACGGCGGAGACGCCAUCGGAUUUUUCGCGCUCCCAGUAGCAUUGCGGUGCGGGAUUGGGACGUCGCCGCUUUGAGGAGAGUGUUGGCUUGGCGCUCGACUGUCGUAUCCACGCGGGGAAGGUGUGGGGAAUUAGUCCGCGGCUGGAAUAAUUUUGAUUUCUGGUUUGAAAGGGACCGGAAUGUGGAAUUACGGUGUUUGCGUGGGGUAUAAACUGAUUAGCUGUUGUUAUAAACUUAUAAUGCUCCUCAACGUUUGGAUAAUCUUUAAUAUUCAAUUAUUGUAAUGAAGUUAUUGAUGUUCAAAAUCGGGUUAAUUUUAAAACAAUGUGAAAUGUUAAGGUGUGAUCUUUGUUCACAAGUUGGGUUACGUUCACGAACGUAAAAGAGUUAUCAUUAAUAAUGUAGAGUUUACAUGAUACAAAUGUUAAAUAUAAUGAUUAUUAGUGAGUUCUAAUAAUGGUUCAGAGAAUCUAAAGACCAUAAGAAGCUUAAUUGUGGGAGAACGAUCUCCCUUUACAGUUGGGUAGAGUCCCAUGUUUUCGUCUACGGCCAAUGUGGGACUCUUAUAACUUUACUUUUAUGUUGACACGUGUUACGUUGUGGUUGAUUUCUUAGUUGGUGAGAAACUCAUGUUCUUCGGCAGGUGUGCCUCAGCACAAACCCUUCAGUACUUAGAAGUUGAUCGGUACUUAGAAGUUUGUAGUGUGAUGAAGUAUGGUACAAAUAGUGUUCCCCAAGUUCCUGAGAGAGAAAAAACAUUCUCGGUUAGAGACUUGCAAAAUCUAACUAAACUUUGUAGUGUAAUAACUAAACUUUUGAGUACCGAACUAACUCUUCCCUAAUAUGAAUUGGCGUGAUUCAGCAAGAAGAGGUGAAUCGUCAAUAACAUAUUUCAACCGCAUUGCAUGUUCCUGACCAUCUUGUUCCACUGCUUCGACAAGACCAUUAACAAUGAAUGAUAAAAUUACCAUAUGAUCAAAUGCAAUACAAAGAUCAAAUACGAAAUUAUCUUCAAAACAUUAUCUACUCAAAGAAGGAAAUGAAACAACAAACAAAUUGCACCGUAACUACAUUAGUUCAUCAUCUUUAAAUAACGUCAUAGUUAGAUCCACAAAAUCGUCUAUCUCCCAUACUCCUACAGUCAUAUGGUUUCAGAUUUGGGUGAUUUUUUAUCAAAAUGAUCUUUGAGACAAGACCUAAAAGAUAGACGGUACAUAUUGUUAAAAUAUAUUACAAAGUGGGUCUCAUAAAAACUUGUGUGAGUUGUGUAAAAAAAGUGGUAUGCACUUCCUUUCGUUUUGGGGAGGAUAGGGUGGAGAAGCUUGCUAUUUGGUGGAUUGGAAGAGUUUGCUAAUACUACUCUUCUGUCAGUAAAUUUAUCUGUUCUGUUGCUUGCUUUUGAACGAAAUUAGCAAACAAAUACUAUGUACAUAAGUUUAGGAUGGUGAUUCUUUCUGAUAAACCUACAUUUCCUCCAGGACAGCACACCACUCCAUGUCAGCAAUCCAUGCAGUUCGAACUACCUGAGCCAUGUCCUGCUAAGCCGUGUGCUGCUGACUUGAAAUGAUUAUUCUAAAUGGAAGCCAUGAAACCUUGUCGAAGAUGCUGAUGAAGAUGGACAGAAGAAUAUUGUAUAAAGCUGAUGAAGAUGGACAGAAGAAUAUUGUAAUAAACUCACACAGCUAGACAAACACUUUCUGGUAGUUGUUUAUUGCAUGCGUGUAUGUAAAUCUUGUAUAAAGAACAUGCUGCUGUUGAAGAGCAGUGAGGAUUGAAUUCAAUUGAGUUGAGUUUAUGAAAUCAGUCUCUAUAAACAUAGUUUAAACCAUAUCAUGGUAUCAAAGAGCUGAAAGUCUCACGACACAACCAUUUUUUUUUCCCAUGGCUUCUCAAUCUACUUCUCUGUCCAUCCCAAAUGCCUCAUAUCUUCUCACCAUCAAACUUGAUCGUACCAACUACCCCGUUUGGCAAGCUCAAAUGCUUCCACUUCUUCGUAGCCGAAACCUUGUUUCCUUUAUCGAUGGAACCAGUCCAUGUCCUUCUGUAUUCUUGAAAGAUGCGGAUGGUAACCUCACUGACGCAGUCAAUCCUGCGUUUGACAUCUGGGUUCAACAAGAUGCCACAGUCCUGUCGUGAAUUAACUCCUCCGUUCACCCCACUAUUCUUGUUGCCUUAAUUGGGAAAACUAGCUCCCAUUCUGCCUGGACGACCUUACGUGACCGCUAUGCUUCGCAGUCCACCGGUCGUCUCCUUCAGCUUCGAAGUGAGCUGAUGAAUACUCAUCGAGGUGACUCUUCUAUUUCUGACUUCUUGGAUAAGAUUAAUUGUCUUGCCGAUACUCUCUCUCUCUGGUGCUCCCGUUUCAGAUUCGGACAUCAUUGCCAUCAUUCUUAAUAAUGUUGGUCCUGCUUAUGAAAGCACGGUUGCCUCAGCCCAAGCCCGUGACGAGGCGAUUACCUACAGUGCUUUGGAAGCACUCCUUCUUGGUGCUGAACGCCGCCAGAAAAUGCAUUCUGCUUUCACUGCAGAUACCGGCCCUACUGCAUUUGCAGCCACCCGUAAUGGUGGUCGUCCAUCUCCUCCCUUUAGAGGCCGUGGCUCCUCCUCCGGGUUUCGAGGUCGUGGCAAUGGCGGUCGUAGCUCAUUUUCCCGUCACGGAUCAUCCCAUGGCUCUCCAUCUCGCCAACCUGAUGGCCUUCUUGGUUCUGCUCCCUCUCAGACCUCAUUUCCUAAUGGCAGACUUCAAUGCCAAAUUUGUACUCGCUAUGGCCAUUCCGCAAUUGACUGCUACAACCGUCUUAACAUGUCCUAUGAAGGGCGCGUUCCAGCACCAAAGCUUCAGGCUUAUGCUGCCAGUGCUCCCACCAUCCAGAAUUGGCUUUUCGAUUCUGGAGCCAAUGCCCACAUAACCAAUGAUCCUGCUCAGGUGACGAAUGCUCGACCAUAUCAUGGUACUGAUCAAGUGAAUGGUGUCGUUGGAGGAACAGGUUUGAAAAUCUCUCAUGUUGGUAACACUUGCAUUCGUACACCCCAAGCCCUUUUUCAUCUCCCAAACACAUUACUUUGCCCUAAUGCAUCCACUAAUAUCAUUUCCAUUCAUCGCUUCACCACUGAUAAUAAUUGUUCUCUAACUUUAUUCCCACACGCCUAUCGUGUUCAGGACCUUCACACGAGGAAGAUGCUUUUCCACGGCCGGAGUAACAAUGGGUUCUACCCCUUCUCAACAGUUUCAUCAUGCACUAAAGGAGUCUCUGUAUUCAUAGGUGCUAGGGUGUCCAAUUCCAUUUGGCACUCUAGAUUAGGUCAUCCAUCUUCUCAUGUUUUGAAAAGUUUAAUUUCUAGCAAUAAGUUGCCUAUCAAUGGCGUUGUAACAAGAGCAUUUUGUCAGUCCUGCCCUCUGGGCAAAAGUCACAAGUUACCUUUUAGUUUAUCUACUUCAAAAUCGUCCUUUGCAAUUGGUCCAUUCAGAUGUAUGGACUUCUCCUACUGUUUCAAUUAAUGGAUUUAAAUACUAUGUGGUUUUUAUCGAUGAUUUCUCUCGAUAUUCUUGGUUGUAUCCAUUAAAAUUCAAAUAUGAUGUCUUUUCUACAUUUGUUGCUUUCAAGAAAUUAGUUGAAAAUAUGUUUAAUACCACCAUUAAAUUUUUUCAAACUGACGGGGGAGGUGAGUAUCUUAGUCACAAUUUCAAAGCUUUCUUGACUCAUCAUGGUAUUCAUCAUCGCUUAUCUUGCCCACAUCAUCCCGAACAAAAUGGAAUUUCAGAGCGUAAACAUCGCCAUCUUGUUGAAACUGGCCUCACUCUUCUUGCCCAUUCCUCAUUGCCCACAUCAUUUUGGGAUGAUGCCUUUCAUACCGCCAAUUAUUUGAUAAAUCGUUUACCCACUAAGGUUUUACAUAAUGACUCUCCCUUUCAAAAACUCUUUCACAAAUCUCCUCAAUAUGAUUUCCUAAAGGUUUUUGGGUGUGCAUGUUUUCCAUAUUUUCGACCAUAUAAUAGUAAUAAACUUCAGUUUCGUUCCAAACGUUGUGUUUUUCUUGGCUACUAUUUAAAUCACCAAGGUUAUAGAUGUCUUGACAUGUCUACAGGAAAUUUUUUUGUGUCUCGUCAUGUUGUAUUUGAUGAAACUUGUUUCCCAUAUAAAGAAUCCAUUACUCCCGUGUCUCCAUCACCAACCAUUUCCACCGACACUAUGACACUAGACAUAGGUCCAUCCCUCCCAUACCGCCCACAGUCACCUCCCAUCCCUCCUAACCCUACUCCACCACCUUUACCCUCAACCGUCACUCCCACGCCUACCCCUCCCUUAAUAUUACCUAUCCCUACUCCUCCUAUAUCCACUCCUCUAGGACCCACGAAUGCAAGUCACAUUCCUUCUACAUCCUCUUCUUCUCAGAGGAUCCUUCCACCUACUCAUUCUAUGACCACACAUGCCAAGGAUGGGAUUCACAAACCUAAUCCCAAAUAUGCAUUUACUUCUACUGUCACUAAUCCUGUGCUUGAGCCUACUUGUUUUACCCAGGCUAACAAAUCUCCAGAAUGGCGCCAGGCCAUGGCAGAAGAGUUUAAUGCCCUCCUACGCACUGGAACAUGGUCAUUGGUUCCCUUUGUUCCCUCCAUGAAUGUGCUUCCCAAUAAAUGGGUAUAUCGGAUCAAACGACAUUCUGAUGGUUCAAUACAGCGGUAUAAGGCUCGAUUAGUCGCCAAUGGCUACCACCAACAAGAUGGUAUUGAUUAUGACGAGACGUUCAGUCCAGUAGUUACUCAUGCAACCAUUCGCCUCGUCCUCUCAGUUGCUCUUCACUUCAACUGGCCUAUCAGACAACUUGAUGUUCAGAAUGCUUUCUUACAUGGUUCUUUAGCAUAGGUUGUUUAUAUGCGGCAGCCUGUAGGAUUUGUGGACUCUCAGUUUCCAAAUCAUGUAUGUCGCUUGCACAAAUCACUAUAUGGUUUCAAACAGGCACCCUGUGCCUGGUUUCAAUGUUUCUCCUACCAUCUUGAAGAUCUAGGGUUUCAAGCAUCCCUCGCAGAUUCGUCGUUGUUCACAUAUUUUCAUGGGUCCACUGUCAUUUACUUAUUGAUCUACGUUGAUGACAUCCUUGUUACAGGUAAUAACCCUUCUCAUAUCUUUCAGCUUAUUCAACGACUUGGUCACAAGUUCUCCAUGAAGGACUUAGGUCAUUUGCAUUAUUUUCUGGGCAUGGAAAUUCAGCGGACACCCACUGCCAUGUAUCUUACUCAAUCCAAGUACAUCCUGGACCUUCUCAAAAAGACAAAUAUGUGUGAUGCAAAACCUUUCACCACUCCCGCUACCACUGGACGCAAGUUAAGUCUCUAUGAAGGUGAACCUUUAUCUGAUGGCACACUGUUUCGGAGUAUCGUUGGCGCUCUCCAAUACCUUCUCUUCACGAGACCGGAUAUUGCUUUCGCCGUCAAUCAGGUCUGUCAAUAUAUGCAUUCUCCCACCACUACUCACUGGGCUGCUGUAAAACGCAUACUUCGAUACUUGAAAGCCACUCCUGAUCACGGCAUUGUUUAUAAACCUAGUUCUCUCACCCUCACUGCCUUUGCUGAUGCCGAUUAUGUCGGGGAUCCUGACGAUCAGCGCUCAACUGGGGGCUAUUGCAUUUUUCUGGGUGAUAAUCUCGUCUCUUGGAGCUCCAAGAAACAGCGCGGGGUGUCUCGAUCCAGCACUGAGGCCGAGUACAAACAGCUGGCUUAUACGGCAGCCACUUUAUCUUGGUUCCGCCAUAUCUUUCGUGACCUGCACCUUUCUCUUUCUCCACCACGGUUGUGGUGCGACAAUAUCAGUGCCCUUGCUGUUGCCUCUAAUCCUGUAUAUCAGGCGCGAAUGCGACACGUUGAAGUUGACUACCACUACGUUCGCGAAAAGGUCGUCCGCAAAGAACUACAAGUUGGCUAUGUUGCCACUGUUGAUCAAAUUGCAGACUUUCUCACCAAAGGUCUGUCCUCUCCUCGUUUCCGCUAUCUACUCUCCAAGCUUCCCGUGCGUCCACGCCCGCUUCGCUUGCUGGGGCGUGAUAAACCUACAUUUCAUCCAGGACAGCACACCACUCCAUGUCAGCAAUCCAUGCAGUUCGAACUACCUGAGCCAUGUGCUGCUAAGCCAUGUGCUGCUGACUUGAAAUGAUUAUUCUAAAUGGAAGCCAUGAAACCUUGUCGAAGAUGCUGAUGAAGAUGGACAGAAGAAUAUUGUAUAAAGCUGAUGAAGAUGGACAGAAGAAUAUUGUAAUAAACUCACACAGCUAGACAAACACUUUCUGGUAGUUGUUUAUUGCAUGCGUGGCUUUUAUUAUUGCAUGCGUGUAUGUAAAUCUUGUAUAAAGAACAUGCUGCUGUUGAAGAGCAGUGAGGAUUGAAUUCAAUUGAGUUGAGUUUAUGAAAUCAGUCUCUAUAAACAUAGUUUAAAUUCUAUCACUUUCAAUGUGUCCUGAAGUUCUUUUAUAUGAAAUUUGACUUAUUUGUUGGAGUUUGGCUUUCUAUAGUAUGCUUCUAUCAUACUUGGACUGCAUACUGCUGCUAUAUUGUUGUGAAAGAUUCCCUGUAGUUGCAGCUGCAUUGCUUCCAUAUAUACGUUGGUUCUACUAAAUUUCUAACAACUGCUUGUGAAUUCCUGAUAAAAUGGUUAUUGAAACUCAUUUAUUUGAGUUGGUACCGCGAACUGUUUCCUUCAGCUAUACCAAAUGAAUAGCAGUUCGAUUGUUUGGUAUUAUCUAAUGCUGAAUUCUUUAUUGAUGGCGGAGUAAAUUCGAGUUUCAGCUGAGACUUCAAGAGCUUAUAAAGUUGGUACGAGCUGAAAAUAACUGGCAAGCGAUCACAAUGGGGAACUACUCAUAUGAAAGAAUUACAGCGGGUCCUUGUAACAGUAGCUUAGAAGAGUACUACAGACUGUGCUACAUACACGGUGAUCCAUUUUUGCUUUGAUUGGGAAAAUUCUUUUGCGGAGUACUUUGAUUCUUUGGCAUCGUUUUUGUUGGAAUGGACAUACAGAUAUUUUAGAGAAGUAAAAAGUUAAAAGAAAAAGAUUUAGAGACUAUGGUCUCUGUUUUCCUCAACUCCUGUGGGAAUGAGCUGAAUAGGACAAUGUCUUAAAUGGUACCUACGUUUAGUUGAACUUAUAACUAUGUAGGAAAAUUGUUUUGUUGAGCACGAACUAGCACAGAUUUGCCUGCAUCAUCUUUUUGUGGUGGUAGUUUCUCACAGAUUGAUUUUUGUCUCUGUUAGUCAUGCAGCCUUCAACAUUCCAUUAAGAAAUCCGUAAAUGUUAUUAUGUUUUGAAUCUAUUGAUUGAUAUACAGGACUAGCUUUUCAAGAAUAGACUCAUUACUAGCAAAAGUUGCCCGCGCAAUGCUGCGGGUUUUAAAACCGUACAAAACAUGUUGAAAGUUCUAAAUAUAUACGAUAGACAAUAUUAUUUAGGAGUAAUUAGGUUUUCAUCCUUAUUUUUACUACUCUAUUGAUUAAAACCUUAUUACUUUUCAAUUUUUGAUCAAGGUCCUUUGUAUUAAUAAUAUCAUUAAUUAUUUCAAUAAUAAAAUAUUAAUUAUUUCUAAAUAUAUUCAUUUAAUAUUAAAAAUGUUACAAUUAGUAUAUUUAUAUUUAUGGCUAAAUUUUUUAUCAUAUAUUUUUAUUUUUAGUUUGUACCCAUUUUUAAUUUGCAACCCUUUUUUAAUUUGUACCAAUUUUCCUUUCAAUUUUAAUUUGUACCCAUAUAUUUAAUUUCUUUUGUGCCCAUAUUUUUUUAAAGUUUUAUUUGUAUUGUACCCCAUAUUUUUUUUUUUUAUUUAUUUGUACCCAUUUUUUAUUUUUGCUAAAUGUACCCAUUUUGAAGAAUGUACCCAUGUUUUGAUACAAUAAUUUUUUGGUUAUUUUUUAUGAAUGUACCCAUGUUUACACACACACACACACAAUAGUAUAUUUAUAUUUUAAUAUUUUUAAUCCCACAAAUUAUGGUUUUUUAUUUAAAAUCUCAUUACUAUAAACAACUAUAAAUUUUAAUUUUUAAUUUAAAAAAUAUAGUAACGUACAUAGAAAUAAAUUAUCAAUUAAUUUUAGGGACUUGGAUCAAAAAUUGAAAAACAACAAGGUUUCAGUCAAAGAUUGUGCAUAAAUAGGGACCGCAUCUAAAGUCUCCCUAUUAUUUACAUACAUGUGGAAAUAUAUUUACAACCCUAUUUACAAUAAGAAAAAAAUAGGUGUCCAAAAGUGGGGGUUCGUAACAUUUUGCAAGUUUAAAGCACUGUUGAACUGCUUAUUUUUCCAAAAGGGUAAAUCGUCAAAAUGGUCCCUGAGAUUUGCAUAACUCAUCACUUUGGUCCCUGAGAUUCCAAAACGAUAAAAGUGGUCCCUGAGAUUUUCCACCAUCCAUCAUUUUGGUCCUUCCGUUAAAAACUCCGUUUUUUAAAUUUCAGGUAGACAGGCCAUGGGCCCACUCCAACAACACCGAUAUUAUCCGCACUUGGCCACCUGCUCAAUCCGUCAGGUGUGGGGUUUUAAUACAAAAGGCCUCGGUGUUAGUUAUAGUGGGGUAAUUCUAUGUAAAUGGCUUGUUCUCAAGCCUUCUGGCCGAUGUGGGACAAAUGAAUUCUAACACCGUUAAGUGUCCCCGAGGAAGUUUGGGCAAUUUCAAAGCUUCGUAACCCAAUCGUUUCUUAACCAAAUUAGACCCAUAAUAUAUCAAAAUGAAGAUAGGAAGGUGUAGAAUAAGAUUAUACCUAUUUCAAAGCCCAAUGAUUGCUGAAGAUGGCUGGAAAAUAGCCUCAAAGUUGACUGGUCCGAGUAAAAACUUGAAAACUCGCCGGAAACUGAGUAAACUUUAAACGUUCAUAACUUCAAUACUCAACGAAAUCAAAUGAUUCAAAAACGAAAAUCAUACUUCUCGACGAGAUGAAGAGAAUGCUACCUUUUUUUUUAUGGCUAACUCGCCAUGGUUUGGCCGGAAAAUGGCUUGAAAGUAGACAAUCUCUGGCAAUCACUGGGCUUUGAAAUAAGUAUAAUCUAAUUUUUCACUUUCCUAUCUUCAUUUUGAUAUAUUAUGGGUCUAAUUUGGUUAAGAAACGAUUGAGUUGUGAAGUUUUGAAAUUUGCCCAAACUUCCUCCGGGACACUUAACGGAGUUUUUAACGGAAUGACCAAAAUGAUGGAUGGUGGAAAAUCUCAGGGACCACUUUUAUCAUUUUGGAAUCUCAGGGACCAAAGUAACGAGUUAUAAAAAUCUCAGAGACCAUUUUGGCGAUUUACCCUUUCCAAAAUAUUCUAGGUACGUAUAUACUAAUUAGCAGUAACUUUCUUCUUUACAAAUCGACACUUGAGAACUUUCUUCUUUUGUUUUCAUUUCGCUGUUACAAAUCGGAAAAAUGAAACUUGUAAAUGUAAAUAAAUGGCAGUUUUACUGUUUUACUGAAAAUGAAAGAACGAAAUAUAAGAACUUGAUACGUUGACACGGUUUCUUCAAACACACUAGUACAAUCACAUAAAAAAUGCAAUGUUUAUGGUGAAAAGCCCAAGUUCCCGCCAGUUUGUCCUCCAUACUCUACCCUAAUCUUCUAAGGUUUUUAGUUAAACAACUUGCUCCUGUAACAACUAUAUUAAAGCAUAAAUAUUCAUGAAAAAUCAUCAUCAAUAGCAAAAAGGCACAAAGUAUUUUACAGAAUUCUAAAGAUCCCUUAAGUGCCUCAAACCCAGGUCUGUCCUCUCUUUGCCUUCCUCCUUCAUUACUUUGAUUUCUUUUUUUAUGCUGGAAUUUUUAUUUAUGGAAAUUUAAGGCUUUGAAAUAUAGUACUGAUUUCAGAGCCUUUGGCAAUUUACUUGUAAAUUGUUAGACUGUUGUACAGAGAUUCACACAUGAAAAUGCUUUAAAACGUAGAAGCUUACCUAAAGCAUAUGCGUGCAUGAAAUCCUUAAAGGUGAUACUUUUGGACAUUUCAGGGAAGUUCUUGAGAGCCUGAAAAUAUGUCGUAACAAUAAUCAGAAUCUACACGUUAAUAAUAAAGAAGUGAUUAACAAUCUUCUCAUAUCUCAAGUAAGUACUUUCAAAAGUUAUUAAGUUAACGGGAUGCCCCACUAUUCCAAAUUCUGAAAUUUGUGCCACAUUAUUAAUCUAGUCUUAUUUGACUGGUUACUCUGGUUGAUUAAUUUUGCCAGAACAUUCAAGAUAAUGGGACAUCGAAUUACAUGCCAUCAACCGUUUAAACCCCGAAUAGAGAUGAUGAUAUUAAAUUUAAAACAUAUACACGGCUUAGGUUCAAGCAUUAAUGUCCCAAAACCAUUAACCAAAUAAUAAAACAAUCAAGUACUUACUGUCCUAAUUGCCAAAAAUUCCUUUUUGAUUUGAGAUCUUUGAUUAAUUGUUUCCUGAUAUACAGAGCUUUGGCAGAUCAGCUCCAACUCAUCGUCACUCCAAAAACAGUGAAUUUCUUGCCAUUCAAGAAAUUUGUACAAACAAACAAAUCAAGUACAUGUAAGGACCACUGAUCAGUUAAAUUCUUGUUUCAUUCGUGUUCAAUCCACGCUGUCCAAGUUGACCGUCUAACAACAUGACCUACCAAAUAAUCUCUAGGAAUGCAAAUGAUAACUUAAUAUCAUAACACUCACAGUGCAUUGCAUCUCCUGCGGGCGAGGAAGCCGGCGAAUGUAAGGGGCACACCUGAAUCCUGCAUAAACAAAAACCUCAAACCCCACAGAAAAAAUCUUUCCACAACAUAGUAAAUUAAACUAGCACAGCAAUCUACAUUGCCCAUUCUCUGCUCAAACAAAACGACAGUGGCAAGCUUUGCAGCAUCGCCAACUCCAUCACUCAACAAAUCUUUCGGUUAUGGAACAAGAUUAUCCGGAGCUAGUUGCUGCAAUUAUAAACCAAAUCAAAGCCUCUUAAAUCAUAAAUUAACAAUUUAAACUGUGAUUGAAGUCUUAAAUAAUUUGGGAUUAAGAUUUACCACGCUGCACGGAACCUUCAAAACGCAGUCUCCAGUAGUUGUGCUCUGUGAAGCAAACAGAGACGUUCCGUACGCCGAUUUCCCAAUUGAAAGCGCCGACGAAAUCUCGGCGCCGGCCUUCCGCUCCAGCCACGGCAAGAAUGUUGGUAACUCUAAGUUGAACUCUCACACUAGAACACGUAACCAAUGUUUGCUUGAACACUCAAAGACUCGGGAGAAUAUACUUGUUAUUCAAUCAUGUAAACAUGGCUUUUAAAUAGCCUUACACAGAUAACUGAAAGCUGAAAAUAUGCAGCCCACGUUUUAACAACCCUACAACGUGGUAUGAGACUAAUUCAAAGUAAAUAACUUAUCCCUACAAACUAGGGUUUAUUAUCAUCAACUAAAACAAACACCUAAUAAACUGGAACCUGGAAGACCUAACCCUAACGGCUAGGACUCAUGAAAACGUCAACAUCCUCCCUUAAGCUGAAUGCUAUCAGCAAUCAGUUUAUAUGCAUGAGUGAAUGAACACCCAACAAUCCCCGUAAUUUCUGAAAAGCGUCCAGCUUUAGAGGCUUGGUCAUGAUAUCUGCCACCUGCUCCUGCGAGGAACAUUGAACCAACUCAACAAUCUCAUCCUUGGUAAGCUCGCGAAGAAAAUGAAAUCGAACAUCUAUGUGCUUGCUACGCCCAUGCAUCACUGGAUUCUUUGAAAGCUUAAUGGUAGAACUGUUGUCACAGUAAAUGGUUGUACACUUAUGCGAUUCAUAGUUGAGCUGCUGCAAGAUCCUUUUUAACCAAACUGCCUGACAUGCACAUGAAGCUGCAGCUAUGAACUCAGCUUCGGUGGUUGAUAAUGUGACCACCGGUUGUUUCUUUGAGGACCAAGAAACUGCUCCUGCACUUAACAUAAAAACAUACCCAGAAGUACUUUUCCUAUCAUCCUGAUCUCCAGCAUAAUCACUGUCAGUGUACCCGUAGAGUUCUUCUUCUCCUCCCUUCUUGUAGACCAGCCCAAAAUUCACCGUGCCCUUCAAGUACCUCAAUACUCUCUUUGCUGCUUUGAGAUGCAGCUCAGUAGGUCGUUCCAUGAACCUACUUAUUAGACUAAUCACAUACAUCAAGUCUGGUCGUGUUGCUGUUAAGUACAUCAAGCUGCCCACGAUUCGUUUGUACAUAGUGAUAUCCAUUUCUAUCCCAUCUUCAUCCUUCGUCAAUUUAAAACCAGGAACAAUGGGAUUAUGAACUGCAUUGCAUUGGUCCAUAUUGAACCGCUCCAAUAACUCCUGAGCGUACUUUCGUUGGGUAACAUAGAUACCUUCAGAUUUUUUAAUCACUUCCAAACCAAGGAAAUAACUCAUUUUCCCAAGAUCAGUCAUGUCAAACUCAGUCAUCAUUGAAAGCUUGAAAUCUUUGAACAUUGACUCAUCAUUCCCAGUAAAUAUAAGAUCAUCAACAUAAAGGCAGACAAUUAACAUUUUACCUCCAUUCACUUUCUUGACGAACAAGGUGUGUUCAUGUGGGCACUUAUUGAAACCUUCCUUCAUGAAGUAAGACUCGAUGCGGCUAUACCAGGCUCGGGGAGCCUGUUUGAGACCGUAUAGUGCCUUUUUCAGCUUAUAGACUUUAUGCUCCUGCCCCUUUUGUUCAUAACCUGGAGGUUGUGCGAUGAACACUUGUUCAUUUAUUUCUCCAUGGAGGAAAGCCGACUUGACAUCCAACUGGUAGACAGUCCAGUUAUUUGUGCUGCAAGUGAUAAAACAACUCGGACUGUAUCCAUCCGUGCCACAGGUGCAAAUACCUCUGCAUAAUCUACUCCAUAUCUCUGGCUGUACCCUUUUGCAACCAGGCGAGCCUUGUAUUUAUCCACUUCACCUUUCUCGUUGAACUUGGUUUUGUAAAUCCAUUUUACCCCAACUAUCUUCCCUUCUGGUGGCAUCUCUGUGAGUUCCCAUGUAUUAUUUUUCUCUAUUGCUUGUAUCUCUGAAUCCAUGGCCUUCUUCCAUUUGUCGCUUUGUAUAGCCUCCUCAUAAGUGAUAGGAUCGGACUCAGCAAAUAAUGCUAAGUGACCCAUAUCUUCUUCCUCUGAAAGACCCUCGCCACUCACAUAGUCUUCCAUCCACACUGGUUGUCUUCUAACUCGUCCUUCAACCGCAGUCAUCUCAGUCUGAUCAUUUUGAUCUGAGUCCAGGCUCUCCUGUGUUUGUUCAUCGGUCGCAUCAUCCCUCAGAUCUCCUUCUUCAUUCACGUCCCACUCAAGAUCAGCCAUGAUCGUCUCUUGGGAGUUAUCAUUCCAGUCCCAAGCCUUGUCCUCUUCAAAAACAACAUCCCGGCUUAUCACAAUUUUCUUAGACACUGGAUUGUACAGGCGAUAGGCCUUGGACUCCUCGCUGACUCCAAGUAGAAUACACUUCAUGCUUUUGUCAUCAAGCUUGAUCCUCUUGCUAUCAGGAACAUGCACGUGUCCUAUGCAUCCAAAAACCCUGAAGUGCUCCACGGAUGGUAUAGAGCCACUCCAGGCUUCUUCUGGCGUCAUGCUCUUUACUGCUAGGGUUGGACUUCGGUUAAGUACAUAAAUGGCCCAAUUUACUGCUUCUGGCCAGAAAGUUCUUGGGAUUUUCUUUCCUGUAAGCAUGCUUCGAACCAUGUUCAUGAUGGUUCGGUUCUUCCUCUCCGCGACUCCAUUCUGUUGGGGGGGUGUAAGCAGCUGUAAGUUGUCGGACAAUUCCAUGCAUGUUGCAAAAGUUUGUGAAUUCAAAUGAAAUGAAUUCACCUCCACGGUCUGUUCGCAGAGUUCUUAUGCUCGAACUCGUCUCCUUCUCAACCCGUGCCUUGAAGUUUUUGAACAUACUAAAGGCUUCUGAUUUCUCAAUCAAAAAGAACACCCAUGUUUUCCUGCUAUAAUCAUCAAUGAAAGUAAGAAGGUACCUCUUUUUACUGUUAGAUACUGGAUUUAUAGGCCCACAUAUAUCUGCAUGCACAAGUUGAAGAAUUUUAGAUGCUCUCCAUGUGCUGUCCUUUGGAAAGGAAUCUCGUUGUUGCUUCCCCACCAAACAUUCUUCACAUACCUGUGUGUGUGCGUUGAAUGUUGGUAAGCCCUUCACCAUAUUCUUUUGUUGAAGGACUCUCAGACCACUCCAACCCAAGUGUCCAUAUCGACAGUGCCAUAAUUUGAAUUGAUCAUCUGCACUCACAUUGAAACAUUGCUCCUCCUGCAGUUGUGUACGUGUCCGCAAAAUGAACAUGCGAUUUUCUGCCAUUUUGGUCUCCCAAAUUAGUCCUCUUGUUGGAUGAUAGAUCCUACACUUGCCACUUUUAAUGGAAAUAGCAAGGCCCUUCUCUUGCAGUUGACCAACGCUCAAUAGAUUAUUUUUUAAGUCCGGCACGUAGAACACUUCAGUGACAACUUGCAUGGCUCCAUUAACCUCCAUUCGAACAUUUCCCUUCCCUAGCACAUCCAACCGUGAGUUGUUUCCAAGUUUGACAGACUUCCUGAAGGUGUCGUCCAAAUCGAUGAACAUCUCCUUCUUUCCACACAUGUGAUUGCUGCAUCCCGAGUCCAAGAACCACAAUUCUUCCCUGUCGUUCCCCUUGAUAUCCACAUAUGCCAUCAAUAGCAUUUCUUCACUGGUUUCUGCAUAAAAACCUUUAGCAUCCUUCCCCUUCUUAGGACAUUCCCACUGAAAGUGUCCAAGUUCAUGACAAUGGUAACACUCGAGGGUGGAUUUGUCCGAGCCAUUUCGACCCCUUCCUCGCCCUCUUCCUCUGAAGCUGCUGCGUCCGUCUCGCCCACCUUGUUGCGUAUCAUAGGUCACUUUGAGAGCUUGCUCCUCUGCGGUGUGUGUCUUCCCAUCCUUUGCUCGUGCACAAGCAAAACUGCUUUGUAAUUCAUCGAUGGAUAAGAUGUCGAUAUCAUUUGACUCUUCAAUGGAACACACCACAUAGUCAAAUUUAGAGACCAUUGAUCGUAGAAUCUUUUCAAUGACCACUACAUCUUCCAUCUUUUCCCCAUGACUUCGCAUCUUGUUGGCUAUGGUGAGAGUACGUGCAAAAUACUCAUUCACCGAUUCCCCUGCCUUCAUAUGCAACAUCUCAAACUCUUUGCGAAGAGCCUGUAACUGGGCACGUUUUGACUCUUGCCGUGCCCUUGUACUUCUGUUUCAGUGAGUCCCAUAUGUCUUUCGCAGUGUCCUUCUUCAAUAUGGUCUCCAGUAUUGAACGAUCAAGGGCCUGGAACAAAUAAUUUUUGGCCUUCAGGUCCGUUAAUUUCAAAUCUUUAAUAGUUUUCUUCUGGACAUCUGUGAUACUGCUGUCAUCUGCUGCUGCAGGAACACCAGUCUCUACCAAACCCCAAUAUUCCUUGGAACGCAGGAAGUUCUCCAUGAGCAUGCUCCAAUGAUCAUAGUGUCCGUCAAGCCGUGGGAUUGCAGGUUGCACAAAGCUACUUUCAGUCGUCAUGAUGCUGUUGUGAACGAUGAAACUAACUGCGAUCAGGCCCCGUGGUGGGGCUCUGAUACCAAAUGUUGGUAACUCUAAGUUGAACUCUCACACUAGAACACGUAACCAAUGUUUGCUUGAACACUCAAAGACUCGGGAGAAUAUACUUGUUAUUCAAUCAUGUAAACAUGGCUUUUAAAUAGCCUUACACAGAUAACUGAAAGCUGAAAAUAUGCAGCCCACGUUUUAACAACCCUACAACGUGGUAUGAGACUAAUUCAAAGUAAAUAACUUAUCCCUACAAACUAGGGUUUAUUAUCAUCAACUAAAACAAACACCUAAUAAACUGGAACCUGGAAGACCUAACCCUAACGGCUAGGACUCAUGAAAACGUCAACAAAGAAGUCGUUGGAUUCGUCGACCUGGUAGAGAGCGAUGAAUUGUUAGCAGGAAUUUGAAAUGUUUCGGUUUUUUCCGGGAUUGUGAAAUUCUCCGUUUGGCUUUUGGGAUACCUUGGGUUGGGACAAGAAGUGGAAGUUGUGCUUGAUACUUGGAGUGUAGGAGAGGCUGAGAUGUUGACGGCGGAGACGUCAUCGGAUUUUUCGCUCUCUCAGUAGCAUUGCGGUGCGGGAUUGGGACGUCGUCGUUUUGAGGAGAGUGUUGGCUUGGCGCUCAACUCUCGUAUCCACGCGGGGACGGUGUGGAGAAUUUAGUGGUAAAAAAAAAAAAAGUUAUUGUAACUUCAAAAAUCUUAUCUUACUAUUUUUACAAGUGUUUUUUUCUUUUUAAAUAUUAAAAGUUUGGAGAGUAAUUUCAAAAACCCUAGAUGACUUCGUCUAAGAAUUCAAUUGGUUAUAGCUCGUGGGACAUGUUCUUUUUCUCCGAAGACAAUUUGUAGUAAAAAAAAAUCUUACCAAGCCAUCUAGAGUUAUUGGUGUGGUGGAAAUACCAAAUUCACAUCUCUAGUGCAUUCUAUAGAAUUUUUACACAGACAGACAUAAGUGACUAUAUGUACAUUAACAUUGAAUGUGACUGCAAAAUUGGCAAUAUUUGUAUUUUGGUGGUAAAUUCCGAGCACAACGGGGCAAAAAAUUCCCUUGAUUGGAAAUUAUUUCAUGUGUAUUACAAAAUGUGCUACGUACUACAAUUUGUAUUUGUAUUUGUAUAAGAGUACUACAGAAUGUGCUACGUACAACGUGAUCCAUUUUUCCCUUAUUGGGAAAUUCUUUUUUUUUAGUACUUUGAAUAUGUGCCACAGUUUUUGUUGUAAUAGAUAUACAUACUAUGGUCUCUGUUUUCCUCGAAUCUUGUGGGAAUCAGUUGGAUAGGAAAAUGUGCUAAAUGGUACCCAUGUUUAGUUGAACUUAUUAAGAUGUAGGAAAGAUGUUUUCUGAACACGAAUUAGCACAUAUUUGCCUACAUCAUCUCUUUGUUGGCAGUUUCUCACAUAUUAAUGGUCUCUGUUUUCCUCAACUUGGUUUAUUGUUGGGGAUUGAAGCAUGUACUUAUGCAGAAUUACUUUUUAGAAUUUAUUUUCAAGUUGGUGAACUAAUAUUUCAAUUAAUUUACUCUGUACUAGUUUGAGUUGAAAAAACCAAGUCAUUUCAAAUUGCGGUGAGUUGAAUUUAAUUGCAAAUAUCGCACAAAAUUUAUGGGAAUCCAUGUUGACGGGCUGUAAACUCAACUUGCUGGGCGAAGCAGCUCCACAACUCUAAAGACUCAUACAUCUGUCACACUAUUAAACGCCAAAUUCUAGAAAUUAAUUUCAAAUUUCGGAAAGUUUGUCGUCAAUGUGAUGUAUUUUUUGUAAAUGCAGGCGAUGUUUUUGCAAGGAACCGGAACUUUUCCACGCUCGAAAGCUCCACUGGUUGUCAUCGCUCUUCUGCUAUGUUUCUGCUUUGAUUACUGAUCUUUCUGGUUCUCUGUUUCGAAAAUUGAAGCAUACGAGUUUGUUCGAAAAACCCACAUAUUAUAGGCUUGCAUUUUAGGUUUCUUCUCCAAUUUUGUUUAUUCAGAUUUUAGGUUUCUUCUCAAAUAUCUGAUUUUGUUUAAGUUUGUGAGAUUUCUGUGUUUGUUUUGUUUUUCUGCAAUUGUUUUGGUUUUUGGUUUUUGUCUGCUUUAUCCGUAUUGAUCAAUUUGAAGAUCCCCAUUUUGUUUUAAUAUUCUAUACGUUUUUAGUUACCGGGUUAUUUUGGCAAUGAUAUUCGCUUUAGUUUUGUGCCCAGUAUUGGGUUUCCUGAUAACUUUUAGCAACUUUUACGUAUUCACUGUUUUAUUCCUCGGAUUAAAAUCAACUCUUUCGGUACCGUUGCAUCUUAGGAUCUCAAGAUUUCUGGUGUGAGUUCACUCACACACCAUUUUCAAUCUUUUCGAAAAAGAAUGAGCAUUGCAUUGAUACUUUGGCUGUGAAACGGAAUGUAGAAUCAUUAAGGUUUUUUUAGUCAAAAUGAUCUUUGAGAUUUGCAUAACACACCACUUUGAUCCCUUAUAUUGAAAAUCAAUAGAAAUAGUUUCUGAGAUUGUCUACCAUCCAUUAUUUUUGUCCUUCUGUUUUUUGUUAAAUGUCCCGGAGCUCUUAGCCUGAAGUUUGGUCAAUUUUCAAAACUUCGUAACUCAAUCGUUUCUCAACCAAAUUUAACCCAUAAUAUAUAAAAAUGAAGAUAGAAAAAUAUAGAACAAGAUAUACCUAUUUGGAAGCCCAAUGGUUGCCAGAGAUGGCCGGAAAAUAGCCUGAAAUGUGACUGAUCCGCAGAAAAACUGAAAAACUUGUUGGAAACUAGAUAAAAUUUAAACUUUCAUAACUUCUUUAAUACUCAACGAAAUCGAGUGAUUCGAAAACAAAAAUCAUACUUCUCAACGAGACGAAGAGAAUGAUACAUUUCUCAACAACCAAUUCAUCGUGAUUUGGCCGGAAAAUGGCUCGAAAUUGGCCAACUUGAGACCAAGACAGCCGUUUUCAGGCCAAACCAUGACUAGUUAGCCAUCGAGAAAGGUACCAUUAUUUUUGUCUCGUCGAUACGUAUGAUUUUCAUUUUUGAAUCACUCGAUUUCAUUGAGUGAAGAAGUUAUGAACGUUUAAAAUUUACCUAGUUUCUGACGAGUUUUCCAGUUUUCUCACGGACCAGUCAUUUUUAGGCUAUUUCCAACCAUCUUCGGCAACCAUUGGGCUUCCAAAUAGGUAUCAUCUUGUUCUACACACUUUCCUAUCUUCAUUUUGAUAUAUUAUGAGUCGAAUUUGGUUAAGAAAUGAUUAAAUUACGAAGUUUUGAAAAUUACUCAAACUUUCGCCCAAGAGCCCUAGCACACUUAACGAAGUUUUUAACGAAAUGAUCAAAAUAAUAGAUGGUGAACAAUCUCAAAGACCUUUUUUCUAUUGAUUUUCAAUCUUAGGGAUCAAAGUGAUGUAUUAUGUAAAUUUCAAAGACCAUUUUGACUAAAAAACCAAUCAUUAAUGAUUAGACAUUGGGUUUCAAAAUCUUUUAUAAUUUCAGCAUUGGUUCAAAAAAAAAAAAAAAAAAAACCUGUGUAAUUUCAUUUGGGUCUUCUUCCUUUUAAUCUUUCUUCGUUGAGUUUAGUCCUCCAAAAUUUUUGAUAAUUUUUUAAGUUUGAGUUUCUGGGUUUCUCUUAAAUUGGAGCUUUUGUGUUGGGUUUCUCUUCAUGCCAAUUGUCAAAUUGUUCGAACCAGUCUGUUGUAUAAAGGUUAUUGUAUGUAUAUAUUUCCACUGUUCCUCUGUUUGUUGUCUGUAUAACUACAAAUUCAUCAAUUCAUCAAUCGGGUGGUUCUUCUUAUGUAAUUUCAUUAAUUGGGUCUUACAAAACCUUAUUAAUGUCAGACUCUGUAGUUCUUGAGAUUAGAGAGCUAUUUUGCUCUUUAUUUUGUUCCUUAAUGUCAACCUUUCUUAAUGUCAGGUGAUGAGUAUUGAAGGGUUUUGAUAUUUCUACAUGUAUGUAAAUAGAGUUCUAUAUGUUUUAUAAUUUGACAUAAUAUCAAAGGAUGUUUGACUUGGACUACAAUUGCUAAUAGUUUUCACCACAACGUUACGGUUAACAACUUUUUUACCACAGAGGCCAAUCGUCAACAAUCACGCCAUAAUAUUUACAAUAGUUAGCUUAAAUAAAUUGUCGUUCUAGCACUACACUUUCAGUUUUUAAUUUCGUAUUUUAAAUUAAAGAAUGUUGAAUUUCUAGCUCAUUGCGUGUGGGCCUUUAAAGCCUUUAGAGCAACUCCACAUUGGUCAGGCAAUUGGGCAAUUCUUGUCCAAACCUAGAAAAAGUGCUCCAGCCCAAUCCAAUUAGUCGAGCAACUGAGUGGGCCCCAGGCCGCCUGAUUGAUUCAUUAGGCAACUUUAGGUCAUCUUCAAUGGAUCCGACCAGAUGAUCAUAGGGUCGAAAAUAGCCCUAAAUGACACAAGGACUAGGCCAAAGAGUUGUGGGCCCCACUAGGCCAAAACCAGUCAAUCAGGUCAGCAGGCUGGCCAUCUCCAGCCAGCUAACUAGCCUAAUAAGCUAGCCCACAUUUUUUUUAAGGAUUUUUUUGCCCAACCCACUUGUUUUUUUUUUAGCCUAUCCUUUCUUUUUUUUUGGUUGAUUUUUUUUUUAGUUUCUAAUUUUUUUCCUACACCAUUUCAUACUAUCUUAUCUCAUUUUAUUUUAAUUCUUUACAUUCCAUACCAUGACCUUUUGGCUCUCUCGGUUGAAGAUGAUUUUUUGUCACAUGGUUAUGUUUAAACCUAUGGUUCUUUGGCCCUCCGGUUGGAGAUGGUAUAAAAUAUGGCUUGAUAUUGUUUAUUAAAAUAUUAAUUUCUUGAAGGCUAUAGAGCUCCUGGCCCUCUUUCGGUUGGAGAUGGGCUUAGCCCGAGCUCUUACGAGUGGUUUGAUGACAUAUUGAAAUCAGCAUGUAGUCAGCCACGGAAGCCGACGAACGAAACCGCAAAAGAGGAGCGGAGGCUGCAGCAAAGCAAAGGAAAAAGCAGGGAAGCAAAUCCAGCGAUACUAUCUUAGCUGCCAAGAAGUCAAAACGGUUGAAGUAGAAUUCCAGGAGCGGGUGUUGACCGAGACCUCGGAGUCGGAAUCGGAAUCGGGUUUCGUUGAUUUCAAUGGCUGACUAGGUGGAAUUAGCGGAAGAGGAGGAGGAAGAUAGGAGGGGUGGUGGCCAAGAGCUUGGAAGAUUUGGAAGAAGAAGCCGAGCCAGCAGAGAGCUCCCUUAUUGGUGUUUUGGCACUUCACAUUCACCUUUAGCACAUGACUGCUUGGAUUGCAGCCGUUAAUUGCAUUUAGAUAUUUCGUUUUGCCUUGACCUGAUUCAGAUACUGUUAUGAUGAUGAUUGCACCAAGGAGGCAUAUAUUAUAGGCCAAAUUGGAUUAUUCAUCCCCGUGGUCAUAGGAAACUUGCAUGAUGACCCCCGUGGUGAAAAAACUAGGAAUUAAACCCCUGUGGUCAAGAAUAUUAGCAAAUUUAGUCCAAAAGUAAGAUUUCUGUUAAAUGAUUGUUAAAAGUAUGGGUAAAACUGUAUUUUCAGUUCCAAUUGACAUUUAAAAUAAAUAAUUUUUUUAUAACAAUUAACAAAAAAAAUAAUGCUUAAUUUUUUAAAUAAAAAAAAACCCUAAUUCAAUGUCAAUUGGAAUUGAAAAUACAGUUUUACCCCAACUUUUAACAGUCCUUUAACAGAAAUCUUACUUUUGGACUGAAUUUGCUAACAUUCUAGAUCACAGGGGUUUAAUUCCUAGUUUUUUCACCACGGGGGUCAUCAUGCAAGUGUCCUAUGACCACGGAGGUCAUCAUGCAAGUGUCCUAUGACCACGGGGAUGAACAAUCCAAUUUAGCUUAUAUUAUAUAUAUCAUGAAUCUACAUGUUAAAACUAUUCAAGUUUUUUAUUAAUUUGUAAUUCUGGGCUUUGAAACUGUCAAAAUUUCCUCAUUUCUCUAUUUCUGCACAUAAAAUCCUUUCCUACCGAACAUCCGACGCAUUCCCAAGUUGGAAGUUGGUAUUGCUUUCAUAGGGGGAUUGAAGCAUGCAUAUAUGCAAAAUUAUUUUUUCAGAAUUUAUUUUCAAGUUGCUGAACAUAACACAUUCUACACUUGCUAAUAUUUCGGUUUCAGCUGUAAAAACCAAGUCAUUGCAAAUCGUGAUGAGUUAAUUGAUGGGAAUCCAUGUUGACGGGCUCUACUCAACUUGUUGGGCGAAGUAACUCUCCAACUCUAAAGAUUAAACAUCUAUUAUGUAUUUUAACACCAAAUUUUAGAAAUCAAUUUGAAAUUUUGGAAAGUUUGUCAUUAAUAUGAUGUAAUUUUUUAUAAUACAAAUGGUAUUUAAAGUGGGACAUCCUAUGAAUUUAGUGUGGAACUAGUGGAAAUGCAUUUAAAAUCUAAUAAAAUGGGAACAUUUUUGCUCAUUUUAAUGCCAAAUUUUAGAAAUCAAUUUGAAAUUUCAGAAAGUUUGUCGUGAAUAUGAUGUAAUUUUUUAUAAUACUAAUGGUAUUUAAAGGGGGACAUCCUAUAAAAUUAGUGUGGAACUAGUGGAAAUGCAUUUAAAAACUAAUAAAAUUGGAACAUUUUUGCUCAUUCGCAUUAAUUUGGGAGUAUGUUCAUCAUAUUCUUUAAAACAUUUUUAAUAGAAGUCGUUAUUUGGCGACUUUCAUCAUUACUUUUGAGUUUUGAAGACUUAUUUAGAACAUCUUUAAUAGGGGCUUAAAAAAGAAUAUAUUUGUCUUUAAAAGAAAGGGACUUGGAUUGUCUGCCCUCUUAGUUAUGGUGCCCUUCCAUGCCUUCCUAUUUUGUGCGGUCACGAUUAAGCUACGUCAAUAUUUUAUAUUAAUUUUUUAAUAAGAUAAUAAGACAAAAAAUAAUAAAAAUAUAAAAUAUUGACGUGGCUUUACCGUGACCGCACAAAAUAGGAGGGCAUGGAAGGGCACCACAACUAGGAGGGCAGACAAUCCAAGUCCAAAAGAAAGUUAGCUUAAAUUGAGAGAUUCUUCAAUGUGACCGAAAUACGAGGUGGUACACCACUUGUUAUUAUGAUAAAAUGUGUAUUAGAAAAAUUAGUAACUUAAAAGAAUAAAUUUUUCAACAAUUUAUAUAAAAAUAUGUAUUGUAUUACAUGUGUACUGGUAAUAAUAAUAAAAUUUUCACUUUAAUGGGAGUGUACUUAGUAUAAUAUUUAAAUUUAGAGAUUAAAAAAAAAACAAAAAAUUUUGGUUUCCAAGGUGUCCCCGGGCAAAGCCCAAGACUAAUCUUUCGAGGUACGGACCGUACGGUCGGGCACAUAUGCGGGGACCUCUUCCAUUCUGACCAACCUCCAUUGGUAAAACAAACAAAAAAUUAUUCGCAAACCCCAAAAAGCUUUCAUAACCCUUGCAUCAACCGACAAAAUAAAAGUAGCUGCACAGUUUUUCAGAGUCCCAUCACGUGCUGGGACCUAACCCGACUCAAAUUUAGGACUUGGAUUGUCUGCUCUCCCAUUUCAGUACUCUCUUCGUGCUCUUCUGUUUGUGUGGUCACGUUUAAGCCACGUCAACAUUUUAUAUUACUAUUUCUUUUUGUUUUAUUAUUUUUAUAAAAAAAUAAUAUAAAAUGUUGAUAUGACUUAACCGUGACCACACAAAACAGGAGGGCACGAGGAGGGCACCAAAAUGGGAGGACAGACAAUCCAAGUCCUCAAAUUUAACAUGGCCCUCAGCCCAUUUGACAAUCCCUACGCAGAAAAUUAGAAGUAGAAAAGAAUACCAUUAGAUUAUAGCACUAAAUAAUUUUUGUAAUUUUUUUUUUUGUAAAAUGAUAUGUUUUAUAUUAAUCUACACAAUGAACAAUCUAAUUUGAUAUUGAAUUCAUCAUCCUCGAGAUUCAAACAUGAGAUCCCUUACUUAAAAGUAAAGAAAAAUAUCAUCAGAUCUUAAUACUCUGUAGCAAUGGCUCUUACAAUUUUAAAUAUUAACAAUUUAAAUAAACAAAUGAAAAAUUCUUUGAAGUUCCUAAUCCAACAACCCUAGAAAGAGAUCAUAUUCGGAUUCCUUCCAUCAAAUUCACCUAAUUAAUUAAUCCGGAUCGUUGAAAUUUGAUUCAACGAUUAUAAACAAAGGGCCAUUUAAAAGUUAUAAUAACUUUAACCGUUGGAUCAAAUUUUAAGGAUCCAGAUUAGGUGAUUAGAUGGAUUCGGUGAAAAGGAUCCAAAUAGAAUCCCUUUCCCAACAACACCGACAAUGUCUCUGUAUCUGCAAAAGUUGCCAUUAACGAGGAUACCAGGAAAGCCAGAUUGAAGCUUUGGUAGAAGCUCUUAAAAGCAUGAAGACAUAAACUUAAGGGAUGUGAUAAUCGCACACCUUUUUUUUUUACUUCUUUCACACUUAUUAAUUUCUAUCAUUUGAUCAUCUCUAAUUAAUUCGAUUAGACGGUCAAAAAUUAAGAAAGUGUGUAAGAAGUAAAAAAGAGUGUGAGAAUAGCACACCCCAAACUUGGAAUAGGAUCCUCUUUGGAUCUUCUUUGUGAGGAUUUAGAGGAUCAAUCAAUCGUGUUCAUUCAUUGUAGAUCGUGCGGUUAGAAAUCAUUUUAAAUUUUAAAUUAAAAAUUAAAUAUAAAUAAUAUCUAACGUAAACUAGCCGCACGAUUUAUAAUAAACGAAUAUGAUUGAUUAAUUUUUGAAUCCCCACAAAGAUGAUCCGAAGAGGAUCCUUGUCCCCCAAACUUAAACUCAACUUAGUUGUCAAGUGACUCAUGUGAGCUUAUUAACCCUCCCUUCCCUACACUACUGAUGCCAGUCAUCCGCCACUUGCUUAUUGGUUGUCAUUCCGAAUUAUGAUUGCAAACUAUGUUUAUUACCAACCUUUAUUUAAUUGUUGAUUGAAAAUGUUUAUUAGCCACUUGCUAACAUAGACCUUAGUUCACUUGCUGACGUAGGUCUUUGUUCAGCCCCUUAGUUUUAAAGGGAUUCCAAUUUUUUUAUGGAUAAUGAUAGGGAGACUAAAUUUAGAGAUAAAUUUUUAAAAAUUAAAGAACAUGAAAGUUGAUGAUUAGUUUAUUACUUAAACAUUUAUAAAUGUGUUCAUUAUUAUUGAUGACACAUUAUUUCGUUUGCAAAUUUUGUUUCUAAACUUAGUCUCUCUAGCAUUAUCUUUUUUUGAUAGAAAUGGGGACUAGUUAUGUGGCUCACUCCACAUCUUACUUCAACAUUCCCAUCUAUCUAAUUGAUUUUUUGUAAGAAUAGUCUAUGAAUGAAGACUUAAAAAAUAGACAUAGUUCGAAUUGUUAAAAUUCGAAGUAGAGUUAGCCCCACAAAUAGUCCAUUUUUUUUGUAAAUAAAAAAAAAUUGCUUUGGAUAAAGGCUUUGGGUCUUUGUUUAUGAUUAUCAGUCGCUUGGUGACGAGAGAUUUUUUAUUAUGUUCGGAACACAGACACAAAUGUCAUAUGUUAUUAAACAAGUAGAGUGACAACUGAAAUUAUAAAAUACAUAAGAAAAAUGAGUUAUGAAUAAGGGUAGUUGGAUGGAAGGGACAAAGAAGAUUGAAAAUUAAUAUAAAGGGGUUUCAAUUUUUUUUAUAAAAUGGAUACUAGUUGUGUGGCUCACUUCACAUCGAACUUCAAUAUUCAAACCAUUUAUUUUUUAAAUUGCAUUUUAUAGAUCAUUCUUACAAAACAUUAGUCAAAUCAGAAAUAUUUCAGGUAUUUAAUUGAUUUUUUGUAAGGAUGGUCUAUGAAUGAAGAUUUGAAAAAUAAACAUGGUUGAAAUUGUUGAAGUUCGAAGUAGAGUGACCCCCACGAUUAGUCCAAAUUUUUAUAAUAAAAAAGAGAGAAGGAAUCGCUUUGGAUAAAGGCUUUGGGUCUUUGUUUAUGGUUAGUAGUCGCUUGCUGAUGAGAUAUUUUUUAGUGUGUUCAGAAUAUGGGCAGACGCCUAUUAUUAAACAAGUGGAGAGACACUUGAAAUAAAAAAUUUCUCUCUAAUUAUAUAAUGACAAAUGAUAUACCACCUCAUGUUUCAGACACACUAAAAAUAUCUCUUGGUCGUGAUUGGUGAUAGAUCUUUGUUUAUGUCACAUGGUGAGAUAGGUGAUAGUUCUUGUGCUGGCAUAGGUCUUAGUUUAUUAGAAAUCUUAAUUGUUGCUUGAAAAUGUUAACAUGAUUGCAAACUAUCUAAUUUGUUUUAUAUGUAAAAGUCAAACCAUCUUUUGCAAUAACGAAAGCUUAAUUUAGUACAACUUGAUAAAUUGAGAGAGCUUAAAACAAGGGAGAGAGACAUGGAAACAGAGAUAUCUGGCAAGACGGAAAAAGUCUCCAAAAAAAUGGCGAAAUAAGAAACGAUCAAACAAAGUUGAACCCCACACCAUCUUUGUUCAAUGAGGCAUCCAAAUGAUGUAAUGAAGAAACAACUAUACAGGAGAUAAGAAAUGUUAAAGGGAGUGAAAAAUGAACCGUUUAAAUUAUACUUUAAAUUAAAACUUUAUUUCUAUUGGUUCGUACUAAUUCUGACUAUCUAAAUUAAAGAGUGGUUGGAGGAGUGUUGUUAAGGAGAUCCUAAGAAAAUUAUUUAGUUGUUUUAUUUCAAAUUUGAUUAAAAAAUAGGGAGAUGAUUGCAACAUGCUUCAAGCUAUUUUGCUUCUUAUUUUGUUCCUUAACGUCAAACUUUUUUAAUGUCACGUGAUGAGUAUUGAAUUGUCCUGAUAUUUCUACAUGUAUGUAAAUAGAGUUUUACAUGUUUUAUAUGAUUUGAAAACACGUAGCACUGCGAUCACCCUUGCUAGUUUGGCAUAAUAUCAAAGGAUGUUUGACUUGUACUACAAAUUACUAACGGUUUUCAUCACAAGGUUACAGUUAAAUUUUUUUUUAUCACAAGGGCUAAUCAUUAACAAUUACAUCAUAAUUAAUAAAAGUGAGCCUAAAUAAAUAGUCUUCUUAGCACUACACUUUCAGUUUUUUAUUUCGUAUUUUAAAAUAGGAAAACUUUUGAAUUUGAGGCUUAUUCCGAGCAUCACCGCAUUGGUCAGGCAAUUGGGCAAUUCUUGCCCAAAAACAAGAAAAGGUGCUCCGGCUCAAUUCGAUUAGUCAGGGGUGGAAGAGCAAUUGUCAAUCAUUCUGCUUUAUAACGUAGAAAUUAGCCUUAUAGAUAGGAGAGAGCAGAAAUUAGCCGAAAGCCCUAUUUGAGAGCUAACAUUUUCCUUUUUUAAAUAAUGGUAGGGAAACAAAAAAAAAAAAUUUAAAAAUUUACAAAUUAAAUGAUGUCUUAUUAAUAAAAAAUAAGAACGUUAAUUGAUAUUUAAUUAAUAAUUUAAUUAUUUACAACCACAUCAUUUAAUUUGUAAAUUUAGUGGAAAAAAUUUAUUUUCUCUAGUAUUACAUGCACCUUUAGAAAAAGAAAGUGAGAAAUAUAGAGGAAGCACCUUUGGAAAAAGAGAAUGAGAAAUAGAAAAUAUGCAUCUUUAGCAAAAGAUAGUGUAAAAAAGAGUGAGAAAUAGAAAAGAUGCAGCUUUAGUGAUUUUUUGGACAAUUAUUUGUCACGUGUUGUUUUAUUUAAUUUUGAUAUUAUUUUUUUUUAAAUUUAGGAAAAAAUCAAUCAAAGUUAAGUAAAAAGAUACGUGAUAGAUGAUUAGGUGUAUGAUAUGCAUACAUUAUAAUUUAUAAUGAUGAGCAAAAAUAGACCCUCAAAUAUUUGCUAUGCCAAAUACAAAUAGUGUUGUCCUUCUGAGUUACCUAGUUAUUAUUUCACCAAAGGUUUCAAGAAAUAAAACAAAAGAAAUGCACGUUACUUUUUUCAGUUUGAAGAAUAUUAAAUUUGUGGCUCAUUUUGUGUGGAACUUUGCACCGUGAAAGCCACUCAACAUUGUAAUAGUGAUGAUGACUUUGUUUCAAACAAAAAUUGUAUGUAGCCGACACUCUCAAUUGGAAAAGAAAAAAACGCUGUUGGCAUUUAUUCCACUCUGCAAAGUAUUUGCCUUAUAGAAAGAAGAGAGUGUGAGAGAGAAAUAGAGAAGAAAGGGAGAGCUGCUGCUCUUCCGAUGUUUCGGGCAAUCAGUGGCCCGAGCGGAGAAGCAUCAGACAGCGGGAGGCCCACCUCACGUGAAGGAACAGAGCCAAACGGCUCAAUUUCAAUGCAACAUGACACUCAGAUUCCAAAAACUUGCCCACUUGAACAGGAUUUAUUUGAAUUCGCUUCCAUAAAAAGUGGACUACAGCAUCCAUAUAUCCACUCUACUUGAACAUUUCAGUUACAGAAAUUUGAAAUCUCAAAUUUGGUUUCGAAGUGGAUAUGCUACUUUAUCUGCAAAAUUUCAGAGUUUUAGCUCCAAGAUUCAGUUCUAUUUUCUGCCGAAAAAAAGAAAAGUAAGUUUGAGUAAUUUCUUGUUUUUUCUUUUUUCACCAAAAUGUUGUGUCAACUAUUUUAUGAUUUUUUUUUCCGGUGCAACCGGAGUGAUAGAGCACUUAUAAUCAUCGGAUUUGAUGAAUGUUCAACAAAUUUCAAUUACUAGAUCAAAUCCGACGAUUGUAAGUGCUCCAACACUAUGUCUUGAGAAAUUUUGGUUUUUUUAGGACAACUACUAAUUAUAUUAGUUGUGUUUUGUCCAGUAAUUCUGAAAUUCAAAUCCAAAGGACAGAAUGGAAAACUCGCAUAUGGAAGUAAGUUGCAUAUGGACAGCGAAAACUCAAAAACCUCAUGAGUCUCUAGAUCAGAAAUAUUGGAAGAAAAUAUUUAUAUCAUCGUGUUUGUGUGCUAUCAUAUUGGAUCCAUUGUUCCUCUACAUUCCUAUUCUGAAGGAUGAUAUCAAGUGCCUUAUGUUAGAUCCGAAGUUGAAGAUAGUCACUCUUCUUUUGAGAUCACUCACAGAUUUUUUCUAUUUAAUGGACAUCAUUAUUCGAAUUUAUAGAUCUGAGAACUAUUCGGGUUUAAUCGAUGAACUUAACCGCAGACAACACCGGCUGAAUUUUAAUUUUGUGAUGAAAUCUUGUGUGCCAAGAAUAGCCAAGACAAUAUGGGCGUCAUAUGAUAUCUUAAUUGACAUUGUAGCUCUUCUUCCCCUUUCACAGGUAAGAACUUAAAUCCCUUUCUUGGAGUAAUUGUUUUCCCUAUUUGCUUUGCCUGCGGCCAAAACGGAUUUUUUCGUGUUAUAUGCACAAAACUGACACGUAAUGUAAUAUAUGUUUGAGUCUCACGUACACUUUGUUAGAGAGUAUUAAUUUUGUGUUCUAGACAACAUUGUUAUUCAUCCAUCAAAUUUUACUGUUGGCACUAGUAAUGAAUGGUAUCCAGGUGGCAAUCCUCAUUUUCUUCUCAAAAAUGAUUGACUUGAGAUCUUUGACUACAACAAGGAUGGUUCUUAUGAACGUUUUCGCUCUGUUGCAAUAUGUGCCACGAGUUCUUCGCAUCUACCUCUCAUUUAAAGAACUCAAAAAAAGGCCUCUUAAAGAAAAGCUUAGAGAGACUCCGAUAUGGAUUAAAGGUGUACUCAAUUUCUCUAUGUACAUCAUUGCUAGUCAUGUAAGUUUCAAUAUAUUAUCUGUUUUUUUUUUGUCAAAUCAAUUCUUAUUAUCCUGGUCUCACUUUUGUUUAUUAGAAAGAGCGUGAAAUGACUAUUUUGAAGUAACCAUAGCAUCUAAAAUAUUAAUAAUUUCCCCAGGCUAUUUAUUUGUUUGUUUAAUUUUCAGGUAGCCGGAGCCCUGUGGUAUUUUUUUUCUAUUCAACGAAUGAUGAUUUGUUGGCAUUCUGCAUGUCGAAAAAAUGAUGGAUGUGAUAACAGAAUGUUUGGUUGUCAUGAUCACCACUUCUUUAGAAAUACCACAAUUUUAAAUGAUUUAUGCCCUGUCAGUGAUGGUGAUAAUUCAUCAGACACAAUGUUCUUUGAUUUUGGUAUAUUUGCUACUGCGCUUGAAUAUGGUCUUGUGGGAUCAACCAGUUAUUUCAAAAAGUUCUUGAACUGUUUCUGGUGGGGUUUGCGAAAUUUAAGGUUUGUACAUUUUUGUCUUCCUUUGUUGAGAAAUUUAGACUUUUUAAGGUUUCUGAAUUUGUUCACGAUUUAUAUCAAUUCUUUUUGUUGAGGGUAUAAAUCACAUCGAGAACCUAAAGUAUUGCUUCUACGAAAUAGAGUCGAGUAGAAGGCCUCGUAGAGAUUAAAAAUCAAGUUGAGAGACAAAAAUGUUAUCGUGGAUAAAUUGUAGGAAGAAGGCACCAUGGAACCAAAUAAACCCUUGGAAAAAUGGUUGUGAAUUUGUAAGUUUAUAACUUGAAAUUUGAUAUCUUAUAUAAUGAUCCAUUAAUUUCAUUUUUGCAGUUCCUUGGGUUCAAAUCUUGAGCCAAGUGCUGAUGGAUGGGAGAAUCUCUAUACGAUUUUUAUUUCUAUAAGUGGCUUGCUUCUGUUUUUAUAUCUCAUCGGAAAUUUGCAGGUUUGCGUAAAAAACUUUUCGUAUGUCUCAUUAAUUAAGUGCUAUUAAUCACUCCAAUUACGUAAACUUGAUAUGUGAAGAUUUUGAUAUCCAUCAAAUUCACUCUAAUCUAAUAUAUGUUAAGUAUGAGUUUUAUUUUUUUCACUAAAUCUAAAUGCCAUGUAUAAGAAAUUUCUACUUGUAACAGGAACACUUACCACAUAAUAUAUUAUUCUACGUGUUAUCAUAUAAGUAGAUGACAUAGAUGAUAUUCUCGGUUUUAGGAUGUAUUAAUAAAAACCAAAUCUGUGUGUAAUUUGAAUGAGAUGGUAACACCAUGUGACCGUGUUCUGGUUUUAGAUAUCAUACAUAAAAAACUAAAAAAAAAAAAUUUGAACUUGGAUGAUAUAAAGUAGCCAAUGACUAUUUUUUGCAUUGGGCUGAUGAUAUAAAGUAGCCAACAGCUACUUUUUGCAUUGAAAGUUGGGGGAACACCCCCACGUGGGGUUCCUUUUCUUCAGCAGAAAUGUGGGGCCCAUUUUACUUUGUGGCUUAAAAUGUGAUCGGAAUUUGGCCCCCAUUUGGGUUUUAGGUUUUCGGCUUACUUUAGGUCAUGGGUUGGAGUGGGUUUUGGGAGGAAAAAAGGGAAAUUUUAGGUUAUAAUUCAUGGUUGGAGUUGGUCUAAGGCAUGUAUUAUCCUUCAGAUGGGUCUGGUUCAAUCGGAUUAUUAGCAUUUCAACCUAACUCAAAAUAGAUGGUCGAGUUUUUACCCAAAAAUAACUUUUUAACGUUUAGAACCCAACCUAUAUCAGUUGAGUUGGUCAGACAUGCCCACCCCUACUUGUUAUUAAGGUAGUAGUAUUUCAUUCUUUCUUUUUUUUUUGGAUUGAAAUAGUAGUAUUUCUUUUUUGUAAUGUAGAAAAAAAAGAUUAAACUAAAAAUCUAAUAUAUUGAUGACAUUCAACUUCAAAGAAAAAUAGUUGUUAUCCAAUAUGACAAUCUAAUUCUUAUCAAUCUCUUACUUGUUGAAUAGAUGUAUAUGCAAUUUGAAACUACAAGAAGAGAGGAUCGCAAACGCAAGAUGCUAAUCGAACAGAAGGUGGAAGAAAAAGGUCUUGAUAUAGAAUUAUGGUUAUUUAAAAGAGGCGUUCCCACUAGGUUGAAUAAGGAUAUGAAGUUGCAAAUAAUAGAAAAGGUACAACAAGCACUUGAAGACGGUAUGGAAAUUAAUUUGGAUAAAAUUUUCCCUCUUCUUCACUCGGACGUUCAAAGCCGUAUAGAAGAUUAUAUGCCUUUGACAAAGUUGAAGCAAGUAAGUUCUUUAUAUCUGAAUUUACCCUUUAAUUAAUUACUCACUUUGAUAAUCACAUAAAACGAGUAUAGUAUCUCUUUAUCUUUUGGAUAAGGCCUAUUUGUCGAAAUCUCCCCUAAACUUUUAACCUACUGUCAGUUUACCCUUUGAACUUAAAUUUUAACCAAUUACUCCCUUAAGACUUUUAUUUAUGGCCAAAUUCCCAACUUCCGUUAAAUAUCACCCAUUUCAUCCAUGAUUCCGUUAGUUUGGAGGGCAAAAUCGUCAUUUAGAACCCUUUUUGAAUUAGCAUCUGGGACAUGCGACAUGCCAUUGGAGGCUGUGGUUCUGUGCGUGGGCUUGCCAAUGGAGGUUGUGGGGUGAGUGGGUUAUGGCGGGGUGGUACUGGGGCUGAAUUUGAGGGAAGCGGUAGGCGGAUGAAUUUGAUAUGAGAUUAGGGGUGGCUGGUGGUUUGAGAUUUGGGGUGGAUGAGAAGGGUUACAAUUGGGUAGAAGAGGGGAGGUGAGAGAUGUGGUUUUUUAUUUUCAUUUUUAAAUCUUACUUUUAUUGUGAAUCAUGGAUAAAAUGUGAGAAACUUAAACGGCAAGGGGAAUUUGGCAAUAAAUAAAAGUUUAGGGAGAUCAUUGACUGAAAAUAAAGUUGAGGGGUAAAUUGGCACUAGGUUACAAGUUUAGGUUGAGAUCAAAUGAUAAGACCCACUCUCCGGAUUGAUGACAACAGGUCGCAAUCAUAACAGAGGACGAUGAUCACAGUGGGUGGCAGAAAACAGGGAUUGGGGUCAUCGGAGAAGAGAGUGAAUUCAAUGUUCGAUCAGAGUUUGGUUGUGUGUUUAUAGGGACCUGGCUUCUCUGCCCUCCCACUUUCCAUACACUCUCAUCCCUUUCUAUUUAUAUAGUCACGAUUAAGCCACGUCAACAUUUUAUAUUACUAUUGCUUUUUGUCUUAUUAUCUCUAUAAAAAAAUCAAUAUAAAAUAUUAACGUGACUUAAUCGUGACCGCACAAAAUAGGAGGGGAUAUAAGUGUAUGGGAAGUUGGAGGGCAGAGAAGCCGGGUUCUGUUUAGAGACUUGAAAAUGAACACUUGUCUUUAUUGUAUUGGACUAUUAGGAGGUCAGUAAAUUUUGAGUACUGAACAGGCAGUACCAAGUAUUAUCUUCAUCAUUUUAUUAAGAAUUUAGUUAACUGUUGAUGAUUGUACCUUUAUCCUUAAUGAGAAUUUCUUCCUAUGGGUUUUCUUGCUUUCUCUCUGAUAGUUUAACAACAUGAAUUCCAGGUGCCAAUGCUUCGAGGGAUGGAUGAAGGUUUGUUGAAAAUAAUCUAUGAGAAACUCGAGCAUGUGAGAUAUACUGAGAGUGAGAACAGCUUUAUUAUUCAAAAGGAUAAACCACUUGAGAAGAUGGUCUACAUUGUAGACGGAUUUGUAUACAUUAAAGAGGGAUCUUCUUCGAGACGAGGUGCAAGUGCAGGUGCAAGAGAAUUAUGUGGAGAAGAACUUCUACGUUGGCCAUUCUCCACUUUCUUCUUUCUUAGAGAACCGUUGUUGGCAACUGAAUCUGUCAUGGCAACUGGUGUUGUUGAAACCCUUGUUCUCAACGCAUCGGACUUGCGAAGUGUAAGCUCUUAAUCAAAUGCACAUUUCCUUUAAUAAAAUUGAGCAUCGAUAGGAAAAUUAAUUGGGAUAAAAGAGAGAUCCAAGAAUUACCUGUAUUUAAAAUAUCAGACAAGACUUUCAUGUUUUCAACGCAACCCUUCACAUGCGGGGGAACUUAAGCCUAAUGUGUGGAGUAGACAAGACAUAUUGAGUGAUGUAUAGCACUUAUAUAGUCUCAUCUAAAACCAUAUUAAAAUUGAGCCUCCAUCUUAGUUAAAACCAUUGGGAAUAGGAGGGAGAGGGUCCAAAAUUAUUUUAAAUUAUUAGGCAAAAUUUUAUUUCCUCUGACAACUUCAAUAAGCCUAUAAGCUAUAAUAAACUCUAAUUACCUCAAUUUGAUUGUAAUUUGGCUAGAUUUUCUUUUACUUGAACUAACAAACUCUAACCACCUUUUUGUUGUUGUGGAUUAAUAGAUAUACAAUCAAUCAGACAUUUUUGAAAAAGAGGCGCGUAGACACAAAGGAAUGAUGAAAAAGGAGAUUGAGCUAUAUAUAGAUGGAUUGAUACGUAAGAAUGAGAUUGUUAUAAGGUUGAAUCAUGACGUAAAGUCGCGGAUCAUGAAAAAUGUAGAAGAAAAAUUUCAUCAAGAUGAUCUUUAUUGGGAUCAUCUCUUUUCUCAUCUUCCUAGGGAUUUUCAAGAUGAGAUCGAAAGGUACUUGCCAGUGACUAAGUUGGAGAAGGUAAAGUUUCUUCAAAUCCAAGAAUCCAUGGUUUUAAUUUAGAACAUAGAAUUUGAGGCAUUUAUUUAUUUAUAGCUCUCAUCCCAAUAUCCCAUGCGCAUGUGAUAUUAUAGCUCCAGGCAUUUAAAUACAGCAUAACUAACGUAUAUUAUACCAACCCCAACCUAGGGCCUAGGCUACAUACAAUCUAGCCCUUGCCCAUGAUAAGGUGGAGCGUAAGUACAUGAGACAGAAAAAAAACAAACAAAAGAAAAAAUAAGCUGCCAAAUAGAAGAAUUUGCCAGCCAAUAAAGACCAUUCACUUGGAACUUUCUAACCCCUAUCCCUUCACACCAAUAAAUUUUAAAAGGAAAACCAUCCACUUGGAUACAUUUUUAUAUUACUUGAAGCAUGUGAACAUUUGUAGUUAUAAUCAUCCAAAUAACCCAAAAAUGGUAAUUAACUAAAACCAGGGAAAAAAUUUAAAAAUAUGCUAUAAAAAGUGAGUGGUAGAAACAGGAAAAGUGUGAUACUAAUUGGAUAGAAAAAUUAAAAAGAAGUCAUGCUUAUGGCAUUAGUUAGGUUUUUUAUUGGCACGACUCAUUUAAGAAAAAUACUAAGGAGACCAUUAAGAAAAACAAUCAUCAAACGUUGUAGUAGUUACGUUUUUUAUUCUCCCUCUUCUUCCUUCGGAUGUUCAAAGGUGCAAAAAAAAAAAAGAGCCUUUUGCCAAGUUGAAGCAAGUAAUUACUCACCUUGAUAAGCAUAUAAAACGAGGAUUGUAUCUCUUUAUCAUUUUAAUAAGAAUUUAAUUAAUUCUUCCUAUGACUUUUCUUGCUUUCUCUCUGAUUUUAACAAUAUGAAUUCCAGGUGCCAAUGCUUCGAGGGAUAGACGAAGAUGUGUUCAAAAUAAUCUGUCAGAAACUCGAGCCUGUGAGGUAUACUGAGAACACCUUUAUUAUUCAAAAGGGUGAACAACUGGACAAGAUGGUCUACAUUGUAGACGGAUUUGUAUCCGUUGAAAAGAGAUCUUCUGUUGAUUCGAGACAAGGUGCAGGAGAAUUAUUUGGAGAAGAACUUCUACGUUUGCCAUUCUCCACUGACUUUCCUUUCACAAGACCGUUGGCAACUGAAUCUGUCAAGGCAAUUGGUGUUGUUGAAGCCCUUGCUCUCUACGCACAUGACUUGCAAAGUGUAAGCUCUUAAUCAAAUGCACAUUUCCCUAAUUACAAUUGAGCAUCCAUAGUAAAAUUAAUUGGGAUAAGAGAGAGAUCCAAGAAUUACCCCCCUUAUUUAAGCUAUCAGAUAAGACUUUCAUGUUUUCAAUGCAACCCUUCACAUGCGGGGCCAUUUAAGCCUAAUGUGUGGAGUAAACAACACAUAUUGAGUGAUGCAUAGCACGUAGAUAGCCUCAUCUGACACCCUAUUAAAAUUGAGCAUCCAUCUUAGUUAAAACCAUUGGCAAUAGGAGGGAGAGGGUUCAAAAUUAUUUAAAUUAGAUUCAUAUAAUCUGAAAACUUCAAUAAGCCUUUACGAAACUCUAACAACCUCAAUUUGAUUGUAAUUUGGCUACAUAUUCUUUUACUUGAACUAACGAACUCUAACAACCUUUUUGUUAUUUUGGAUCAAUAGAUAUACCGCAAAUUAGACAUUUUUGAAAAAGAGAAGCCUAGACACAGAAUAAUGAUGAAGGAGGAGAUUGAGCGAAAUAUAGAUGAAUUGAUAUGUAGUAAUGGAAUUCCUGAAAGGUUGAAUCAAGAUGUAAAGUCGCGGAUGAUGAAAAACGUGGAAGAAAAUUUUCAACAAGAUGAUCUUUAUUGGGAUUUGCUCGAUUGGGAUCAUCUCGUUUAUGGUCUUCCCUUGGAUUUUCAAAAAGAGAUCAUAAGUUACAUGCCGUUGACAAAGUUGAAGCAGGUAAAGUUUCUUCAAAUCCAUGAAUCCAUGGCUUUAAUUUUGAACAUAGAAUUUGAGGCAUUUAUUUAUUUGAAGCAGGUAAAGUUUCUUCAAAUCCAUGAGAUAUUAUAGCUCCCAGGCAUUUAAAUACAGCAUAACUAACGUGUACUAUACCAACCCCAACCUAGGGCCUAGGCUACAAAACAAUCUAGCAAUUGCCCAUGAAUAAGGUAGAGCGUAAGUACACGAGACAGAAAAAAACAAAACAAAAGAAAAAAUAAGCUGUCAAAUGGAAGAAUUCGUCAGCUAAUAAAGACCAUCCACUUAGAACUUUCUAACCCCUAUCCUUUCACACCAAUAAAUUUUAAAAGGAAAACCAUCCACUUGGAUGCUUUUUUAUAUUACUUGAAGCAUGUGAACAUUUGUAGUUAUUAUUAUCCAAAUAACCCAAAAAUGGUAAUUAACUAAAACCAGGAAAAAACAAUUAAAAAUAUGCUAUAAAAAAGUGAGUGCUAGAAACAAGAAAAACAUGACACUUAUGGGGUUGCAAUAAUGUCAUGAUUCAUUUAAGAAAAAUAUUAUGUGAUGAUUAAAAAAAUAAUAAUAAUUAAACACCGUAUUUUGUGGUCUACAAAUUAUAAUUUAAAUAGAUCUAAAGCCACAAUGCAUCAUUUCAACUGAGCAACAAUCACACCUUUCACAUUUACGUGGCCACUUUUUCUUGUAGUAAGCAAACACAAGAACGGUCCGAAGGCUGCAGAUUUUAAUAAAAACGUUAGAGAUUAAUGAUGGAUGGAAAGUUUUUAAAAUUCAUGAGUUAGUUAUAAGUAUAUACUUAUGUAUUAGAUUUUUUUAAUCCGUCAAUUAAGUUACUUAUAUGUUAUAAAAUGUAGGUGCUAGCAUUCCAAAACAUGGAUUAUAAAGUUCUGAAAGAAAUUUGUAACCACCUUCGGCCCAAGACGUAUAAUCGUAACGAUAACAUUAUUAAAAAGGGUGACCCAAUUCAAAUGUUGUUGAUUGUGGAAGGAAGAAUAGGCCAAGAAGGUUGGGUAAAAGACGCGGGAGAAAUCUAUGGAGAAGAACUUCUGGUUUGGCCAUUCUCAACCUCUUUCCCUGAUGAAGUACCUGCAGCAGCUAAGUCUCCUUUUGUAAUUACGGAUGUUGUUGAAGCCCUUGUUCUGACGGCCGGUGACAUGGAGAGUGUAGCCACCAAAUUCCGGAAGCAUUUCAUAAAAAAUUACGGCAAAUUCGUACGGAAAUCGGAAUUCGACCUUUUUACUGACUAUUAUUCUGAAGGGGCUAUUAAGGAGGCCACAAGAAACUACACUUGUUUGAACAAUCCAAAUGAAGAAGGCUAUGGAACAGUUUACCACACAGAAUUAGAUGGAAGAGCUGUCGCCAUAAAAACGUGCAACAGUGCUAUUGGUGACCCGUUCAUCCAAAGUCAACGUCUUGUUCAUGAGGCAUUUGUGCUUUUAGAAAUCAGUCACAAAAAUGUGGAGAGGCUGUUAGGUUGUUGUUUAGAGACAAGAUGGCCUAUAAUGGUUUAUGACCGCACCGAUGCUUUGACUCUUGCUGAGCACUUUCACAGAAACAGAUCGAAACUCUCGUUGGAAUCACGAAUGAAGAUAGCAGCAGAAACUGCAGGAGCUCUAGCACAUGUGCACUCCAGGUCAGUCAUACACCGAGAUGUGAAGACAACGAAUAUAUUAGUAGAUCGUACAACUCACACUGUACAAGUUACCGGUUUUGGAGCUUCGCGAUUGCUUGAUGAAGAUGAAGUAUCAACUUUGCCAGGGACAUCCAGACACUUAGACCCCGAGUAUUAUCUUAAAUCACACGACGUCUAUAGCUUUGGAGUUGUUCUAGUGGAGCUACUAACACAUCAAGAGGCAGUUUCUUCUAAUGGGUCUGAGACAUCCCUAGCAAACGACUUUGUUCGUUCAGUGCAAGAGGAUCGCUUGGGCCAAAUUCUCGAUGGUGAAAUAAACAGAGACAAGUUCAGUUUUGAGAUGGCCAAAAAAGUGAGCGAGCUUGCCGUGACAUGUUUGAGGUCAAGGGAGGAGGAAAGGCCUUCAAUGGAAAAAGUAGCUGAGGAGCUUGAGGGAGUAGUGCAAACCAUUAGAAACAGGGUAGAGUAUUCUACGGUGGACGAUAAUGUAUCUUCGGCUUCUAGAACUUCCGAGUGAAGUAUUGAUGUGAACCCGUGCGGCUGGUUUCAGUUUGAGUCUGUGCUUGUGAAAUAAUUGACAAGUCAGAUGCAUUUGCUAGUUUGAGGAAACCGUGGAAUUUGGAAUUAGUAUCAAAUAUUGUAACUUAUAUAUUUUUGCCCAUUUAAUUUAUCUUUGCCCUUCUCUUGGCACAAACAUCUGGAAUUAUCUAUUGGUCCCCACAGAAAUCCAUAAUCUCUAAAAAGAGAUGGCCGAAAUUCAGAACUAGAGAACCAUAAAUAGAAUCCACUAGAAAGUGUCUCGUUGUCGUAGGAUUGAAAAUAAAUAAAACAUUGUGCUGCUGAUCCUUUUUUUUUUUUUUUUUUUUUGCAUUAUACUUAACAAAUUUACAAUGUCAAACAACAAACUGGCAGCUGGAAAGGGGAAAAUGACUACUAAAAAAUCAACACUAUUUCAACUAAACCUAUACCCCAACCAAGCAAAACCAAAUGCACACUGAUAAUACCUUGAAGUAUAAAAAUAAGGAACCAAGCAGAUGCAACAAAUGUAACAUCAUUUCAAUAGCAAAAACGAAAACUGACAUUUGGUUCAAAAAUAUUAGAGGAAGUAUAGGUCAUAGUGUGUGAUAUGCAAAAGUGCUAGUAAUUCAAAUUUCCAACAUGCUCAGCAAAUCUCUAACUUUUCAGAAGUAAUUAAAUUGAAACUAAUAGAUGUUUCUUCUGCAUACUAAAUAUUGAAGAUUCGCUACGAAGAAUGAAUCCGUAACUUACUUAGGUUUCAAAGUGGACUACACAAUCCAUUAAUCUAAACAGAACUGUCCCAGCAAAGCAAACAAUUUAAUCUCAUUCCUCCAGAAAUGGCAUGUUUUAUUACUUCAACAACAACAACAAAGCCUUUUCCCACUAAGUGGGGUCGGCUAUAUGAAUCCUAGAACGCCAUUGCGCUCGGUUUUGUGUCAUGUCCUCCGUUAGAUCCAAGUACUCUAAGCCUUUUCUUAGAGUCUCUUCCAAAGUUUUCCUAGGUCUUCCUCUACCCCUUCGGCCCUGAACCUCUGUCCCGUAGUCACAUCUUCGAACCGGAGCGUCAGUCGGCCUUCUUUGCACAUGUCCAAAUCACCGGAACCGAUUUUCUCUCAUCUUUCCUUCAAUUUCGACUACUCCUACUUUACCUCGGAUAUCCUCAUUCUCAAUCUUAUCCUUUCUCGUGUGCCCACACAUCCUACGAAGCAUCCUCAUCUCCGCUACACCCAUUUUGUGUACGUGUUGAUGUUUCACCGCCCAACAUUCUGUGCCAUACAACAUCGCUAGCCUUAAUGUCGUCCUAUAAAAUUUUCCCUUGAGCUUCAGUGGCCUACGACGGUCACACAACACGCCGGAUGCACUCUUACACUUCAUCCAUCCAGCUCGUAUUCUAUGGUUGAGAUCUCCAUCUAAUUCUCCGUUCUCUUGCAAGAUAGAUCCUAGGUAGCGAAAACGGUAGCUUUUGUGAUCUUCGCUAGAUUGCUCCGGUCAUUAGUGUGGAUAAGUAUAUAAAUGGAUAGAGAUAGGAAAGCAAACACAAGAUGUACGUGGUUCACCCAGAUUGGCUACGUCCACGGAAUAGAAGAGUUCUCAUUAAUUGUGAAGGGUUUACACAAGUACAUAGGUUCAAGCUCUCCUUUAGUGAGUACCAGUGAAUGAUUUAGUACAAAUGACAUUAGAGUACAAAUGACAUUAGGAAAUAUUGUGGGAGAAUGAUCUCGUAAUCACGAAACUUCUAAGUAUCGGAGUGUGGUAUCAUCUUGACUUGCCUUAUCUGUCUCAUAGGUAGAUGUGGCAGCUUCUCUGGAAGUACUCUUCCUCCAUCCAGGGGUGGUAUCUUUAACUGGUAAAGAUGCACAAGGUAAUGUAUCAAUUUCACUUGAAGCUUACUUGUAGUGUCAGGCUUGGUCCAGCGCGAUACAAACCAUGUAGUAGGAGUCCCCCAAGUCGCCGAGCUAGGGGAUCUGCUGAAAGAGGUGACAGACAAGGUAAGCAAUCAGAGCUCCGGCUGAUUGUUCACCUUCUCCUCAUCUUGCAGCAGCAUGAAGGAUAAAGAGAAGAAAAAUGAGAAUAGAUGAUAUGGGAUACUUUUGCUUUUGAAGAAGUAACUUUCCACAGGCUUAUUCUUGAACUGAGCUGGAGGGUUUUCUAGUUUCCUCCAGAGUAUAAGGCCGACUGAAGAAUUUGAGGGUCAAAACAAGUCCAUCAAAUCUAGAGUACGUUCGACCCUGCUGAUAUGGGAUACUUUUGCUUUUGACAGAGUAAUGGAUGUAUCGGCACGUGUGCUGUUACGCUUGUCUCCACAUGCUUCCUUGUAUCCUUCGCACUUGCCCUAUCUGUUGCUCAAGCAGAUGCGAUAUCUUCCCUGGAAACAUAAGAUGUUGAAGAUGAGUACUCGAGAGCAAUGCCAGGUAAGUAAUCAGGUAAGGGGUUCCAGGCAGUCAGUUCCUGGCUGGGAGCUUGAUUUCAAGUGCUGACUGAUUGCUCUAUUUCUCCUUGUCUUGCAGGUAAAAACAAGGCCAAAGGUAAAGACAGGGAAAAAGCAUGAUAUGGGAUACUCUUGCUUUUAACCCUGAUGAUAUGAGAUAUUCUUGCUCUAGUAUAGCUUGAUUGCAGAGGUAUUAUCGGGGGGAAAGAAAGCUGAAUAUUUCGAAAGGUUUCGUUGGGAAUGCCCUCUCAGAUAUAAGGAAGGGUUGAGCAUUUUUGCAGGUCUGCCUGUCCGUUGGGGAUGAAGGUCGACAUAUAUAGGAGUCUCCCUAACAACAAGUAGUAAUGCUAUUCCUUUACCCUGCUUGGUCAUAGCACGGUAGUGGGAGCUGUCAGCUUCACAUGUUUUAACUCUGUCAAAGCACUUUGAAAAAGUGGUAUGUGGUAUCUGGCUCUCGAGAUUCGGAGAACGAUGCUUCUUCGAUUUUUGAGAAAGCAAUCAUGCUGGGGGUCUGGCUCUCGAGAUUCGGGGAGCAGUGUCUCUUCGAUUUUUGAGAAAGUAAUCAUGUUGGGAGUCUGGCUCUCGAGAUUCGGAGGGCGGUGCCUCUUCGAUUUUGGAGUAAGCAAUCUUGUUGGGAGUGUUUUCUCGGAUGUGAGUAAAGGUUAGGCAUGUUUGCUAGUCUACCUUGCCACGAAGCACGGAGGUUGACACAUAGGAACUUUCCAAUUAUCCAGCAGUGGUACUGUUCCUUUACCCUUGUGGGUAAUAAUAUGGUAGCAAGACCUUCAAAAUUUAUGUGUCUAAACUUUGUUAGUGCUGUUUCUUUGCUAUUGUUUUACCUUUCUACUUCACCAGAAGUCUUCGACAAAAUGCCCAUAAUUUUCGCAAAGCUGAGUGUGCGUGUGACAGGUGCUGACAAGGCUAGAAAAGUAGGUGCCUCUUCGAUUUCUGAGAUCGGCCCUCGAGGUCUCUGAGCAGCCCAGCUUUUGAGAAAGCGAGCGCCUCUUCGAUUGAUUCGGAGAACGAUGCCUCUUCGAUUUUUGAGAAAGCAAUCAUGCUGGGGGUCUGGCUCUCGAGAUUCGGGGAGCAGUGUCUUUUCGAUUUUUGAGAAAGUAAUCAUGUUGGGAGUCUGGCUCUCGAGAUUCGGAGGGCGUGCCUCUUCGAUUUUGGAGCAAGCAAUCUUGGUGGGAGUGUUUUCUCGAAUGUGAGUAAAGGUUGGGCAUGUUUGCUAGUCUACCUUGCCACGAAGCACAGAGGUUGACACACAGGGACUUUCCAAUUAUCCAGCAAAGGUACUGUUCCUUUACCCUCUCUUCGAUUUUUGAGAAAGUAGUCAUAUUGGGAGUCUGGCUCUCGAGAUUCGGAGGACGAUGCCUCUUCGAUUUUGGAGCAAGCAAUCUUAUUGGGAGUGUUUUCUCGAAUGUGAGUAAAGGUUGGGCAUGUUUGCUAGUCUACCUUGCCACGAGGCACAGAGGUUGACACACAGGGACUUUCCAAUUAUCCAGCAGUGGUACUGUUCCUUUACCCUUGUGGGUAAUAAUAUGGUAGCUAGACCUUCAAAAUUUAUGGGUCUAAACUUUGUUAGUGCUGUUUCUUUGCUAUUCUUUUACCCUUCUUGGUCAGAGCGAUGUAAUGGGAGCGGCAAGCUUCACGUGCUCAACUUUGGCAGAGAACUUUGGCAAAGUUAUCUGUGGUACCCAUGAGCUAUUGUUGUGUGUGGGAAGUGGGUGAUUGGACAGUAAGAUUCAUGUGUUUUCUACUUCCCCAGAAAUCUUCGACAGAAUACCCAUAAUUUCCGCAAAGCUGAGUGUGCGUGUGACAGGUGCUGACAAGGCUGGAAAAGUAGGUGCCUCUUCGAUUUCUAAGAUCGGCCCUCGUGGUCUCUGAGGAGCCCAGCUUUUGAGAAAGCGAGCGCCUCUUCGAUUUCUGAGAUCGACUUUCGUGGUCUUUGAGCAGCCCAACUUUUGAGAAAGCAAACACCUCUUCGAUUUAUGAGAUCAACCCUCGUGGUCUCUAAGCAGCCCAGCUUUUGAGAAAGCAAACGCCUCUUCGAUUUCUGAGCAGGCGCCUCUUCGAUGUCUGAAGCUCCGUCGAGUGCAACUUUUUAUAGGGGCUAGCAUUAAGUUCCAAAGCACACUUGAAUCUCCACCAGUAGAAGCUCCAUUCUUGCACUUCUAAGAUCUUGAUUUGUCCGACCUCUUCUCUCUUCAACACCUUUGAAAAUGUCUGGCCCCUCCGACUGUCGUUUUGACUUGAACCUUGUUGAAGAGGCAGCCCCGCCUUCUCCAGACAACAUAUGGCGCCCAUUCUUCGUUUCCCCUACUGGUCCUCUUACCGUUGGGGAUUCCGUGAUGAAGAAUGAUAUGACCGCUGCGGUGGUGGCCAGGAACCUUCUCACUCCCAAACAUAACAGACUACUUUCCAAACGGUCUGAUGAGUUAGCUGUUAAGGAUUCGCUGGCUCUCAGUGUUCAGUGUGCAGGUUCUGUGUCUAAUAUGGCCCAACGCCUAUUUGCUCGAACCCGCCAAGUUGAAUCAUUGGCGGCCGAAGUGAUGAGUCUCAAACAGGAGAUUAGAGGGCUCAAGCAUGAGAAUAAACAGUUGCACCGGCUCGCACAUGACUAUGCUACAAACAUGAAGAGGAAGCUUGACCAGAUGAAGGAAACUGAUGGUCAGGUUUUACUUGAUCAUCAGAGAUUUGUGGGUUUGUUCCAGAGGCAUUUAUUGCCUUCGUCUUCUGGGGCUGUACCGCGUAAUGAAGCUCCAAAUGAUCAACCUCUGAUGCCUCCUCCUUCUAGGGUUCUGUCCAGUACUGAGGCUCUGAAUGAUCCCCCUCCGAUGCCUUCUCUUUCUGGGGCUCUACCGACUGCUGAGACUUCUCCUAAGCAACCUUUGUGAAGGCUCCAUCUUGUUUGUUUAUUUUGACUCAUGUAUAUGUACAUAUUUGUAGCUUAUCGGGGAUAUCAAUAAAUAAGCUUUCCUUCAUUUCAACGUAUUGUGUUAAAUACACCAAAGCCUUCUUCGCUAAGUUCUUUGAAUUUUCUUUUGUUGAAGCUUGUAUGUUGAAGCUUUCUGAGUGGAGCAUGUAGGUUGGGGUAGUGUUCCCUUAAUUUUCCGAGUGAGGAAAACUUCUCGGUUGGAGACUUGGAAAAUCCAAGUCACUGAGUGGGAUCGGCUAUAUGAAUCUUAGAACGCCAUUGUGCUCGGUCCUGUGUCAUGUCCUUCGUUAGAUCCAAGUACUCUAAGUCUUUUCUUAGAGUCUCUUCCAAAGUUUUCCUAGGUCUUCCUCUACCCCUUCGGCCCUGAACCUCUGUCCCAUAGUCGCAUCUUCUAAUCGGAGCGUCAGUAGGCCUUCUUUGCACAUGUCCAAACCACCGUAACCGAUUUUCUCUCAUCUUUCCUUCAAUUUCGGCUACUCCUACUUUACCCCGGAUAUCCUCAUUCCUAAUCUUAUCCUUUCUCGUGUGCCCACACAUCCAACGAAGCAUCCUCAUCUCCGCUACACCCAUUUUGUGUACGUGUUGAUGCUUCACCGCCCAACAUUCUGUGCCAUACAGCAUCGCCGGCCUUAUUGCCGUCCUAUAAAAUUUUCCCUUGAGCUUCAGUGGCAUACGGCGGUCACACAACACGCCAGAUGCACUCUUCCACUUCAUCCAUCCAGCUUGUAUUCUAUGGUUGAGAUCUCCAUCUAAUUCUUCGUUCUUUUGCAAGAUAGAUCCUAGGUAACGAAAACGGUCGCUCUUUGGUAUUUCUUGAUCUCUGAUCCUCACCCCUAACUCGUUUUAGCCUCCAUUUGCACUGAACUUGCACUCCAUAUAUUCUGUCUUUGAUCGGCUUAUGCGAAGACCUUUAGAUUCCAACACUUCUCUCCAAAGGUUAAGCUUUGCAUUUACCCCCUCCUGAGUUUCAUCUAUCAACACUAUAUCGUCUGCGAAAAGCAUACACCAAGGAAUAUCAUCUUGAAUAUGUCCUGUUAACUCAUCCAUUACCAACGCAAAAAGGUAAGGACUUAAGGAUGAGCCUUGAUGUAAUCCUACAGUUACGGGAAAGCUUUCGGUUUGUCCUUCAUGAGUUUUUACGGCAGUCUUUGCUCCUUCAUACAUAUCCUUUAUAGCUUGGAUAUAUGCUACUCGUACUCUUUUCUUCUCUAAAAUCCUCCAAAGAAUGUCUCUUGGGACCCUAUCAUACGCUUUUUCCAAAUCUAUAAAGACCAUGUGUAAAUCCUUUUUCCCAUCUCUAUAUCUUUCCAUCAAUCUUCGUAAGAGAUAGAUUGCCUCCAUGGUUGAGCGCCUGGCAUGAACCCGAAUUGGUUGUCCGAAACCCGUGUCUCUUGCCUCAAUCUAUGCUCAAUGACUCUCUUCCAGAGCUUCAUUGUAUGACUCAUUAACUUAAUACCCCUAUAGUUCAUGCAAUUUUGUACGUCGCCCUUAUUCUUGUAGAUAGGCACCAAAGUGCUCGUUCGCCACUCAUUUGGCAUCUUCUUCGUUUUCAAAAUCUUAUUGAAAAGGUCAGUGAGCCAUGUUAUACCUGUCUCUCCCAAAACUUUCCACACUUCGAUUGGUAUAUCGUCUGGGCCUAUUGCUUUUCUAUGCUUCAUCUUCUUCAAAGCUACAACCACUUCUUCCUUCCGGAUUCGACGAUAAAAAGAGUAGUUUCUACACUCUUCUGAGUUACUCAACUCCCCUAAAGAAGCACUCCUUUCAUGUCCUUCAUUGAAAAGAUUAUGAAAAUAACCUCUCCAUCUGUCUUUAACCGCGUUCUCUGUAGCAAGAACCUUUCCAUCCUCAUCCUUGAUGCACCUCACUUGGUUUAGGUCCCUUGUCUUCUUUUCCCUUGCUCUAGCUAGUUUAUAGAUAUCCAACUCUCCUUCUUUGGUAUCUAGUCGUUUAUACAUAUCGUCGUAAGCCGCUAACUUAGCUUCUCUGACAGCUUUCUUCGCCUCUUGCUUCGCUUUUCUAUACUUUUCACCAUUUUCAUCGGUCCUCUCCUUGUAUAAGGCUUUACAACAUUCCUUCUUAGCCUUCAAAGCAAGUGGUUCUUAAUGAGUUAAUCUCCAAUGAUAUUACCUCUCUCUCGAGUCUUUGGGUGGUAUUGCAAAACCAAUAUCAUCAUCUAUAGCAGUCUGUUGUAGUCAAAGUGUCGCAGUAGUUUCUUAGCCAUGCAGAAGCAGAUUUGAGGAUACGAAGUUCACCAUUGAGGAGAUCCUGAGCCAUUUGCCUCCAGAGAAAGUCUUUCGCAUGUAACUGGAGAACUUAUGGGUUCCAAAGACUAUGCAUGCACUCGAGAAGCACAAAAAGGAGUUACUACAUUUGUAGUCAGAUGCAACAUUAUGUAAACCAUAGAAAUGAUUAUAUUAAAAUUCCACUCUCUUCGUAUGUUUAUUACUGCUUCCCAAACUCCUACGACUUCUCCAGUUAUAAAAUUCCUCAACUUCAUUAACAUCUCAACCAAAAUGAGUAUAUUACUGCAACACGUCAACUGAUUCAGUAUGCGUAUGCUUAAGAAUUCUUUCUUUCACAAGAACCGUAAUUGGUGUAUGCUCUCGGAAUUAAUGCAUUAUCAUAGAAAAUAAUGAACUCUUGUUUAACUUAGCUUAGACAAGUUCUCUAAACAAAGGGGGUCAAAAGUUAGUAUCUUUUACCUGGAUAGAUGCAUCACAAUCCACAGCUGAUUGGGUUAAUUUUGAUAACAUCUGAUGUGCUUCAAUCUCUCUGCUGCUGUUUGUUAAAGGACGUCGAGCCAAUCAACCAUCAUGUUCUGUAACUUCUUUGGCCAGGUCACUAAGUUCUGAAUAUUAAGAAACAAUCAAUAAACUAUUUGCAGAUGAGUCAUAAGGUUAAAUGAGCUCAGAAGCAUAUUAAGCAAUGCAUGCGAGUAAGUUAACAUGAAGAGAAACACACCUUAAGGAGAGGCGCAACAUAGAACACGAGCAAAAGCACGAAGUGACUGAGGAAUUCCUUUCCCUUUUCCACUACCAGACCUAACUUCCCUAUGUCAUCAUACGAUUAUUGUAAUCAGUAAAAGAUUUUCAUCACAAGAUAUCAAGUCAUCACGCGGAUAAACGCAUUAGUUAAACAAGACUGGAAAUGGAACAAAAGAAACAGAAUAUUUGACUUCACAGAGUACCACUAGAUACGGGGGAUAAAGCCUAAAGGCCAUCAUGUAGGCAAAGGAACAUAAAUAGGGGAACAAAGGAAAUAAAAGAGAUACAGUGCAUCACUACCAACUUGAUAGUGAAAGAAUCCAUUGAAGAGUCAAAACCAUUGACAGCAUUACUGAUUGGUCUGUGAUCUCUCUUCAAAAGUUCCAACUCCAUUUCACAAAGGACGUCAUGGUGAGGUAUAUUGACCUAGAUCUCAACCUGAAAAUAGUCCAAAGGCAUCCGUAACAUUUACAUAUUUCAUAUAACAAAACCAUCAUCUGGAAAGAAAUGAUGUAGAACGUGUAUUCAGUAUCUUACUAAUUGACACAGGGUGACAGAUAAUUAAGUGGCUUCGGUCUUCAAGCAAACUUACCGAACAAAGAGAUUAUAAAUACUCAACUAAUUGCAAUUACUAUGCUCCCAUGAAAGACAUCCAACUUAUCAAAGAGGUUUUAAGCAAGUGCUAGAUCAAAAGUAGUCUUGUUCUUCGAGUCAAGGAGAGAAUAGUUUUGUUACCAAAACAAACUUCUAGUCAAAGUGUUAAAUUAAAGUCAGAAGUGUGAAUUAAGCAACAGAAACAUUUUCCCAACAUAACAAAGCAAUCAUUGUGACUAUAGUGAACUGAAAUCCUAGACUGACCUGGUCGUGGAUGUUGUAUGAAAGUGUAAACCCAAAGUCCCGAAGCAGGGUAGCAUUUGAAAAUUUUCCGUAUCUUAUCAGUACCUAUACAAAUAUACAAAUUGAAGUCCAGAGUUACAACUUUAAACAACCACUUCUGCAACGUAACCAUAGUCACGAAUUGUCCCAGAGGAUGUUUCCAUGUACCAUCCAUUCAUACUAAUAAAAGGAAACCCCAAACUUCCAGUAAUUUCUAAAUAAUAAUUCCACAGCAUAUCUCAAGCAAUAUUGUGCUUUUUACUCUAACAUAGACCCUGUGUUCAUGUGUUGUGAUCUGUUAUCUGUUAACACACAAUGACCACUGAGGAAUAAAAAGUUUUACUAAUUCUUAGAAAAAAUAGAUAAGAAAUUAGCAGAAGGUCAUGAAAAUUUCAAACCCAAAGAGAGACAUCUAAAACGAAAAUGAGUGAAAAUGUUAAUGAGUCGUCUACAAAAACAAAAAUUGAUCAAAUGUUUCAAAACAAAAAAGAAAUUCCAAAGGGUGCCUGUAAUUUUAAAUAGGGGAAGCAAGCCAUCUUAAUUAAGUAGCAUCUAACCUGUUCACCAGGAGCAUAAUUGUGGUCAGCAAUGACCUGCCCAGAUAAAUAACAGGCACGAAAAAUCAAGAACAUUGUGAAAUGAAUUUGUUUUGCAUCCCAAUAACUAACUAAUAUAAAGCAAGAAAGACAUAAAAAAGACUCAAUUUCCAUAAGAGUGCAGAAUGAAUAAGGAGAAUAUAAAAUUCUUGUACUCCUAUAACCAAAUCAAGAUGUGAGAUAGAGAAUCAAAACGCAGAGAGCGAUUUGUUGUCGUCACUCAACACAAUUGAUUCUGAAGUAUCGUCAUGAUUCAAAAAAUCAGCAAAUGGGAUCUAUAAAAUAAAUUGAAAUUCCAAAAAAUUCAUAAGGGGAAAAAAUUGAACCUCCAUCAUAAAGUUCAUAACACUAUUUACAACAGAAUCUUUAUAAAUGUGUUACCAGAGAAUAACCCUUCGUGUUUCCCCAUGCUCGAGAACUAACUGCAAAAUCCACCGUGAACCAGUGAGAAUAAGUUGUAUAGAUCUUUACAAGAUGCAACUGCUGCAACUGAUAAUAUCUAGAAUAUUUUUGUAUCCAGCAAUCAUAUAAAAUUGGAAUGAAUAGGUAUAUAGGUAAAUGGAGAUAUAAACUAUAUGAAAUGGGAUGCUAUUGAACAUCUACACCGCUGCUGGCAUUCAUUUAUUUAAUUCAAAAAAUUGGAAUUAAGUACAAUUGAAGCAAAUUAUUCAGACAGAUUAGGACGUGAAAAUGCUUUAAAAUGUAGAAGCUUACCUAAAGCAUAUACGUGCAUGAAAUCCUUAUAGGUGAUACUCUUGGACAUUUUAGGGAAGUUCUUGAGAGCCUGAAAAAUAUGUCGUAGCAAUAAUCAGAAUCUAAAAGUUAAUAACAAAGAAGUGAUUGACAAUCAUCUCAUAUCUCAGGUAAGUAUUGACUUGAUUAAGUUUCAAAAGUUAUUAAGUUGACGGAUUACUCUGGUUGUUUAAUUUUGCCAGGACAUUCAAGAUAAAGGGACAUUGAAUUACAUGCCACCAAAUUACAUGCCACCAACAGUUUAAAUCCCAAAUAGAGAUGAUGAUAUUAAACUUAAAGCAUACACAUGGAAGAGGUUCACGCAUGAACCUCCCAAAACCAUUAACCAGUGUAUAAAACAAUCAAGUACUUACCGUCCUAAUUACCAAAAAUUCCUUUUUGAUUUGAGAUCUUUGAUUAAUUGUUUCCUGAUAUACAGAGCUUUGGCGAAUCAGCUCCAGCUCAUUGUCACUCCAAAAUAUCUAAGAAUAUACAAACAACAUCCACGUCAAUAACAGUGAAUUCUUGCCAUUCAAGAAAUGUGUACAACCAAACGAAUCAACUACAAGUAAGGACUAUUGCUCAGUUAAAUUAUUUUCCGUUCAUGUUCAACACAUGCUGUCUGAAUUGACUGUCUAACGACAUAACCUACCAAAUGAUAACUUAAUAUCAUAUAACACUCACCGUGCAAUGCAUCCCUCCGGGUGAGGAAGCCAGUGAAUGUAAGGGGCCCAUCCGGAAUCCUGCAUAAACAAAACCCUCAAACUCCACCGAAAAAAUCUUUACACAACAUAGUAAUUAAACUAGAACAGCAAUCUACAUUGCCCAUUCUCUGCUCAAACAAAACAACAGUGGCAAGCUUUGCAGCAUCGCCAACUCCAUCACUCUUCAGUUCUGGAACAAGAUUAUCUGGAGCUAGUUGCUGCAAUUAUAAACCAAAACAAAGCCUCUUAAAUCAUAAAUUAACAAUUUAAACUGUGAUUAAUAAUGUGAUUAAAGUCUUAAAUAAUUUGGGUUAAGAUUUACCACGCUGUACGGAACCUUCAAAACGCAAUCUCCAGCUGUUAUGCUCUUUGAAGCAAACAGAGACGUUCCGGACGCCGAUUUCCCAAUUGAAAGUGCCCACAAAAUCUCGGCGCCGGCCUUCCGCUCCAGCCACGGCAAGAAGUCGUCGGAUUCGUCGACCUUGGGUUGGGACAAGGAGUGGAAGUUGAGCUUGAUACUUGGAGUGUAGGAGAGGCUGAGAUGUUGACGGCUGAGACGCCAUCGGAUUUUUCACGCUCCGAGUAGCAUUGCGGUGCGGGAUUGAGACGUCGUCGUUUUCAGGAGAGUGUUGGCUUGGCGCUCGACUUGACUAUCCACGCGGGGAAGGUAUGGAGAAUUAGACGCUGCUGGAAUUAUGUUGAAAUAAAAGAUGUUAUCAAAGUUGAUAGUCAUACAAUGUAAAUAAAAGAUUUAACUUACUUCGCUAUCGUUUCGUUCAAAAAAAAAAACAAAAAAAAGAUUUAAUAGCUAUUUGUAUAAAGCUCCUUCAUUAAUGUUAUUCCAAGUUCGGAUAAUCUUUAAUAUUUAAUUAUUUUUAUGAUAUUGUUGAUGCAUAAAAUCAGGUUGAUUUUGAAACAACGUAAAAUGUCAAAGUAUGACUUUCGCAAGGUUGCUUCCGUCACUAAGUAAAGAUAGUGUGGUAUGGAAACAAAUGCAAGAUGUACGUGAUUCAUCAUAAGUUGGGCUACGUCCAAAAGGAUAUAAGAAUUCUCAUUAAUAAUGCAGAGUUUACAUGAUACAAAGGUUUAAGCAUAGUCAUCAUUAGUGAGUUUAAUAAUGGAUCAGAGAAUCUAAGAUUAUAAAAAGCUUAAUUGUGAGAGAAUGAUAUCCUUUUGACGUUGAGAAUAGUCCCGCAUUUUAGUCUAUGGUCGAUGUGAGACUCUUAAAGCUUUAUUCUAUGAUUUGACACAUGUCGUGUUGUGGUGUUGAUGCUGGAUUCACAAGACACCAUGAAUGACAGAUAAGAAAGAACACACUCAGAGAGAUGAGGAGGAAUGGGUUCGAUUCGAUUCAUAGUAGGCGUUGAUGUGUGAAGAUGUUUGAGAGAAGGGAUCUCGGGAUGGUGGAGGUCGGGCUGGGCUGAAGACGAGCGAGAGUGAGCAUUCGUUGGCCUGACUAAUAAUACCAAACUUUUUGGAGAGAUGAGUAAGCGGGUGUGAAUUGGACUAAAAAGUUAGGACUGGAUAACUUAUAUGAGUACUAUUUAAUACAUAAAUGCACCAAACACUUGAGUUGUAUUAUUACUCCUAUCUGGUCACUUAUACAACGUGUUAACGAAGCCUAAAGAUAUAAGUUGACAGCAAGUGCGGCACAUGCCUUGUGCCACCAGGGCGGUUGUCUAGGGCCCAAAAUUAAAAAGGGCACCAAAAAAUCCAAAUAAAUAGGUAUGUUUGUACCAUACUUGACCAAUCCCGAAACUACUGAGCACCGGUCAACGUUAUACCGUCAAGGACCCAGAAGAGUUUCCUUCCAACCAGGAGGCCAAUCACAGCGCGACAUGUGUUGACAUCAGAAGCCAAUCACAACGCGACAUAUGUCAACAUCAGAAGUCAAUCACAACACGACACGUGUCAAUGUCAGAAUGAAACUAGAAAUUCUCUUCUAUAAAUAGAGAUCAUUCUCUCACAAUAUUUCUUAAUGUCAUUUGUACUAAAUCAUUCACUAAUACUCAUUAAAUAAGACUUUGAACCUAUGUACUUGUGUAAACCCUUCACAAUUAAUGACUCAUCCCCCUCAUGCCUUUUCUUUUCUCUAGACACCCCAACAUCAACCCCAUCGAAAAGGACUAGAGUGGGAUCGUUGCUGAAGAGGGCUAGGUGGGGUCGCCGUCAAAUAGAGGGUUGACGGUGGACUCGCCAGCGAACAGAGGAGUUUAGGUAGUUGAGGUCGCUGGAUGAGAGAUGGGUGGAGUUGGGGUCGCCUAGAAAAUUAUGGAUUGGGGCGAGCUUGUUGACGAAGAGAGGGUUUGGAGGUUGGCUCACCUAAGAAGAGAGGAAUUAGGGGUGGUGGGCUCAUCCGAAAGUGAAGGAUUUGAGAAUUAGGAGUUUAAUAAUGGAUUAGAGAAUCUAAGAUUAUAAAAAGCUUAUUUGUGAGAGAAUGAUAUCAUUUUGACGUUGAGAAUAGUCCCGCAUUUUAGUCUAUGGUCGAUGCGAGACCCUUAAAGCUUUAUUCUAUGAUUUGACACAUGUCGUGUUGUGGUGUUGACAAAGAGAGGGUUUGGAGGUUGGCUCGCCUAAGAAGAGAGGAAUUAGGGGUGGUGGGCUCAUCCGAAAGUGAAGGAUUUGAGGGUGGGCUCACCAGAGAAGACAAGGGUGUUCUCACCGGGGAGGUGAGGGUCGAGAUCGCCGGAGAAGGGGGGAUGGUUUGUUUACACAAGAAGGGAGGAAGAAGAUGAGAGGUGUUUGGUUACGAAGAUAGUAAAAGAUUUUGGGGAAAUUCAUUUGACAUGUGUUAAAAUUGUAGUGGGCGAAGUAAGAUAGUCAGUAAAUUGAGUACUCAAGAAUUGUCCUAAGCAAACUGUAAUCAAACUGCAAACAGAACCAUUUUUCUCUGAUUAUAAACCAAAUAAAAACGAAGGGGUCAAACUACUUUCAGUCUUUUACAGAAUCUUAACAUCUUUGUAUUUUAAAUUUUUUUCAUGGGUACAUCCGGACAAGCUCACUGGCCUACAUACCUAAUUGCAUCGUGCUCAUGAUGAAACAGGAAACUAUGUGUCGGCAAAAUGUGGCAGGGAGGAGGAUUUAUUUUCUCCUCUCCAAGCAGAAGCAGUGGCCUUGAGGGCAGGUUUGUCUUGGGCGAUUCACAGGGGUUUUCAACAUAUUUCUUUCGAAAGCGAUUCACUUUAUAUUGUGGAGGCGUCAUGCGAUUCCUCUCCAGAUUUGUCUUUCAUUGGACAAAUUGUAGAAGAUAUCAAGGUGCUUUUCCAUUCAAUCACUGAAGAUAAAAUUACCCGCACUCAUAGCCAAGCAAACUCAAUUGCUCAUCGCCUUGCACGGGUUGGUCUCUCGGAGCAACAAGAUUGUAUAUGGGAUGUUACUCCCCCAAGUAUUGUCACUGACUUACUUGUGGAGGACAAUGUACUGCCAUAAUUGGCUCUGGAUGUAAUUUUUCUUGUACCACACCUUUUUGAAGUAAAUGAAUCUACUACCGUAUCUUCUCAACCAAAAAAAAAAAAAAAAUCUAAUUGGGUAAGCUUAUGUGAAUUGAUUCUUGAAAACUGUUGAGAGUUGAAAUGUGAGGAACAGUUUGUCCUACAUCGGUGAGGGAUAAGUCUUGCUAGUGGCUUAUAUGAUCUUAGACUAUUCUCUAUAGUACCAAUUGAUUUUAUGGUGGAACUUCUUAAAAAACAAGUUGUAUAAGAUUUUUUUAAGUAAAAUGGCUGGGGGUUUACCAAAUAUAAGAAAAAAAACAAUUUGGAAGGGACGAAGAAAUAUGCAAUGACAUCUAUGCCACACCAAUUUUCACGAUUAUUGUAUCAAAUUAUGAUUGGGAUGGCCCCUUGAAAGGUGGGAUGGUUUAAAAGCUGGAAAGUGAUUUGUUCGAUUAUAAUUGAAGUAAUGGAUCCCAGUCUUGAGAUACAAUUUGUGGGAGUUGGAAAUAUUCGACAUGAUCGCAUGAUGUACGAUGAACGGUCACGAUUACGGAAUCUCCAGGGUCCCAAUUUUAUCUUUGUUUAAAACGGAGCUUCUCCUUCUCAAUUGAUAUUUCCAAAUAUUGAUUUGAGAAAUUAAACUCAAUUAAUUUAAGGAGAAACUAGGUUCUCAUCAUUCUUUUUGCUAUUCCAUUGAUUAAAAUUUUAUUCAUUUUCAAUUGUUGAUCAAGGUCCUUAGGUAUUAAUAACAUCAUUAAUUAUUUUAAUAAUAAAAUAUUUUUUUUAUUUCUAAAUAUAUUCAUUUUAUGUUAAAAAUGUUACAAUUAGCAUAUUUAUAUUUAUGACUAAGUUUUUUAUCAUAUAUUUUUAGUUUUAGUUUGUACCCAUUUUUAAUUUGUAAAUUUUUUUUAUUUGUACCAAUUUUCUUUUCAAUUUUAAUUUGUACCCAUAUAUUAAUUUCUUUUUGUGCCCAUAUUUUUUAAAUUUUAUUUGUAUUUGUACCCAUAUGUUUUUUUAUUUGUACUUUUUAUUUUGCUAAAUGUACCCAUGCUAAUUAUAUGUACCCAUUCAUGUAAAACUUUUUAAUCUUAAAAUGUACUCAUUCUUAAAUACCAACUUGUGUCUUCCAAUAUAUAUAUAUAUACCAACUUGUUAUAUGUAAAAUGUACCCUUUUUUUAUAAAAAAUAUAUUCAAUUUUUUUUCUAAUCCAUUUUUAAACUUAUAUGGAUACAUUCUUUUUUCUUUGAUUUUAAAAUGUAUCCAUGUCAAGUUUAAUCAAAGAAAUUUACUAAUGUUAUUAAGCCUAAUAUUUUUUUUUCGUGAUUUUGAAGAAUGUACCCAUGUUUUGAUACAAUAAUUUUUUUGGUAAAUUUUGAUGAAUGUACCCAUGUUUAUACACACACGCACACAAUAGUAUAUUUAUAUUUUAAAAUUUUAAUCCCACAAAUUAUGGUUUUUUAUUUAAAAUCUCAUUUAUAGAAACAACUAAAAUUUCUAAUUUUUAAUUUAAAAAAAUAUAGUAACGUACAUAGAAAUAAAUUAUCACAUUAAUUUCAGGGACCUCGAUCAAAAAUUAAAAAUCAACAAGGUUUCAAUCAAAAAAUAUUCAUGACUAAGAACCGGAUUCAAAGUCUCCCUUAAUUUAAUUACAUGUUUUACUUUAGUUUCUUAAAACGGAGCUUCUCCUUCUUAAUUGACAUUUCCAUCUAUAAUGUGACUUUUUUUUAUCACGCAAAUUACUGGUAUCGUAGUUGCCUCACAAAUUGUACCAUAAUUACACUAGUCAUUAUCUUAACAAACAUUAUGGUUAGAUCCACAGGACCCCUUAGAUGACCUAGGGUAAGAAUUCUAUUGGUUAUAGCUCGUGGGACAUAUUCUUUUUCUCCGAAGACAAGCUUUAGUCAACAAAAUUCUUACCAUAAGUCAUCUAGAGGUAUUGGUGGCGGAAUUACCAAUUACACAAAUCUGAUACGUUUGGUAGAAUUUUUACGAAGAUUAUUAAAAAAAAUUGGUAACAUGGGGUGGGUCACCCUAAAAAACUAGCUCCAAAAGUUAUUACAUAUAGUUCAAGUUCUAAGGAUUCCCAUCAAAUCAUCAAAUAAUUGAGUUUCGAUCCAAUAAGGAGGAUUAUCAAAACAAUAGUAUCUCAAAUCCAUAUUAUAGCCCCAUUUUUACGAAGAUUGACAUGUGUGAGUAUAUGUAGAUUAACAUUGAAUAUAUGUUUAUCCAUAUUAUAGACGGUUAUGAUUGUUGACUUACAUUUCGAAGUGGACUCCAAAAAACUUUUGUUAAAAGUUGUGUAAUUAAAUGGUACGCACUUCCCUUCGUUUUGGGGGAGGGUAGGUUGGAGACGCUUGCUAUUUGGUGGAUUGGAAGAGUUUUCUAAUACUAUUCUGUCAGUAAAGUUUUCUAAUACUCUCUACAUAAAUUUAGGAUGCUGAUUCUUUCAAUGUGUCCUGUCGUUCUUUUAUUGAAAUUUGACUUAUUUGUAGAGACUAUGGUCUCUGUUUUCCUCAAAUCUUGUGGGAAUGAGCUGAAUAGGACAAUGUGCUAAAUAGUACCCAUGUUUAGUUGAACUUAUUACUAUGCAGGAAAGAUGUUUUGUUGAACACAAACUAGCACAUAAUUUGCCUGCAUCAUCUCUUUGUGGUGGUGGUUUCUCAAAGAUUAAUUUUCGUCUAUGUUAUUCAUGCAGCCUUCAACAUUCCCAUUAAGGAAUCCUUAGACGCCGCUUAAGUUAUUAUGUGUCCAAUCUAUCGAUCGAUAUACAGGACUAGGUUUUCUAUAAUACUCAUUAUCUGUGCCAUCUUCUUGAGAAAUAAUAUAUUUUGAACUACACGUUUUAGGGAGAUGUUUAGGUUUGGUGGUUAUAUUUUAUCUUUGGAACUGCAUAGUACUGGUUAAUCUUUGAUUGUAACUUUGUUUAUUCUUUUGUUAAUUAUGUUUUCGAGGUGUUAUUUGAGCCAAAGUAAUGGGAUUAUCUGGUUGACUAAUUCAAACAGGAAUCUUGCAAGUAAUAUGGCAUGACGCUUGAGCCUUUGCCAAUUAUUUAUUUGCAAGCAGGCCUGUCUGCUCUUAAAGUUUGAGCCAAAGUAAUGGGAUUAUCUGGUUUGGAUUGUUGAUAUUAUGUUUAGAGUUUUACGGUUAGUGAAAAUAUUGUUUGAUGUUUAUGAAGUUUCUACAAACUAUAUGACAUCGACUCAUAUUUCAGUUAACCGUAAAUAUCGAAACGUGAUAUCAAAUAUCUGAACCGUUCAUCUUCUUACAUCCACCAGAUAAUCAUGUUUUCAAAAAAGAAAAUUUUAAAAAUGAAAUUCAGUAAGAAGAAUAAAGUAUAAAUGACAAUUGACGAUUAAAUAUAAAUUUAAUGUUUAUAGAUCAUAGUGUUGGAUUUUGAAGCUGAUCUCUUCAUGAAAGUUGUAAAGCUUGUUACUAUGAGUGAUUGUAUUUUUUUUUUUUUUUACAUUUUUUACACUUCUACAAUAAUUAUUAUUAAUUUUUCCCUCAAAUAAUUAUAUGAAUAAAUACAUAAUAUAAUAUUAAUAGUAUUGGUAGGUACGGUAUACCACAGGUACUGGUUUUGGAUACCAGUAUCGUACCGAAACAGUAUGGUACGGUACAAAUACCGUACUAUUACCAAUUGGUACAAAUUUUUGGUAAUAAUUUGGCAUGGUAUGGUUGGUAGGACGGUUGGUACGGUAAUUUGGUAAAAAAUUUCACCCCUAUUAUAAAUUUUAAAAUGUGACAAUAAUUCUAUAUAAAGUUCAAAUUUUAGUUUUUUUUUUUUCAAAUUUCCCAAUAACUAUAACUAACCGCUAGCAACUACAAAGAUUUGUACAUAAAAGAAAGCUGAUAUCUCUAUUAAUUAAUAAAACCCUUUUUGUCAACCAAAAGAUGGUGAAAAGACAAAUUGGUCUUCUAUCAAACAAAAAAAAUGAUGGGCAAUAAUAUAAUUUCACAGGUUCAAAUUUUACUGUUUUUUAUUGAAGCUUCACCUACAAGUGAUGUUAGAAUGCCUUCAAUAUUAAAAAAAAAAUUAUUAAAAAAAAAACGAAAACAAAAAGAAAUAUGCAAAUACACCUAUGCCAUACCAAUUUUCACGAUUAUUGUAUCAAAUUAUAAUUGUGAUGGCCCCUUGAAAGGUGGGAUGGUUUAAAAGCUGGAAAGUGAUUUGUUCGAUGAAUAAUUGAAGUAAUGGAUCCCAAUCUUGAGAUACAAUUUGUGGGAGUUGAAAGUAUUUGACAUGGUCGCAUGAUGUACGAUGAAUGAUUACGAUUAUGGAAGCUUCAGGAUCCCAUAUUUUAUCUUUAUUUAAAACGGAGCUUCUCCUUCUUAAUUGACAUUUCCAUCUAUAAUGUCACAAAUUGUACCAUAGUUACAUUAAUCAUUAUCUUAACAAACAUUAUGGUUAGAUCCACUAGACCCCUUAGAUGACCUAGGGUAAGAAUUCAAUUGGUUAUAGCUCGUGGGACAUAUUCUUUUUCUCGAAGACAAGCUUUAGUCAACAAAAUUCUUACCAUAAGUCAUCUAGAGGUAUUGGUGUGGCGGAAUUACCAAUUACACAAAUCUGAUACGUUUGGUAGAGUUUUUUCGAAAAUUAUUAAAUUUUUUUUGGUAACAUGGGGUGGGUCACCCUAAAAAACUAGCUCCAAGAGUUAUUACAUAUAGUUCGACAAGCAGUGACGGCGUUGAGGGGGAGCAAAAGGUGCAAUCGCACAGAGCCCCCAAAUUUGAAGAGCCCCCAAAAAAAUUUGGUAUCUUAUAUUUAUAUGUAAUAUUGUUAUAUAUUAAAAAUAUACUUUUAUUAGUACUUUAAAAUCUUAUAGUGUACUUUUUAUAAGUAAAUUUUCUUCUUUCUAAUAUAAAAAUUUGAAGUGCACAAUGAGAUAGUAGGAGUGCCAAUAACAACACCUUAAAAAUGAUUUUCUUUUCAAUUUUAUUAUAUAAUAAUGCUAUAUAUUCAAGUGAAACUUUAAAAUUAGAGUUUUUGAAGCUUUUUUUUCUUUCUUUAUUUGGUUGCUUAAGAUUGAAUUUUUUUUAUUAUUUAGUGAAGGUUAUAUUUGUAACUCUUUUUACUUAUUCAAUGACAUUUGUAAACUUACAAUCAGUAAGUCCUAAAUAUUAUUUUGAUUUAAGUUAUUAUUUUCUAGUACCAAUAUAUUGUCCUACUUUUAAAAAAAUAAAAACUAUCUUAAAAAUGGGCCAUUUUAUAAAUUUCGCACAAGACCUCCAAAAUCUCAGAGAUGGCCAUGAGUUCAAGUUCUAGGGAUUCCCAUCAAAUCAUCAAAUAAUCGAGUUUCAAUCCAAUAAGGAGGAUUAUCAAAACAAUAGUAUCUCAAACCCAUAUUAUAGCACCAUUUUUUACGAAUAGAGGGAUUCAGUGUGUGAAUGGAAUUUAUAGGCUCUAUGGAGUUUAUAGCAUGUGUAGGAAAAUAUUAAUAUUUCGAAUCUUUUAGAGUCACUCGAUUGUUAUUUAGAACGAGCUACGCAGAUAUCGAUUUAUUAAGAGAUAGAGUCGUUUUUGACUUAAUUAUAUGAACAUUAUUCUCGCAAAGCUAAGACUAAACUGUCCAUACAUCAAUGUAUGUUUUAAAGAAACGAUUUAGCUAAUUUAAAAAAUAAUGGUUCCCUGGAAAUUUGAAUUUGAUUCAAUAGUCGAGCUACUAUCCCAUUGAGUCGAUUAUGGGAAAGGUAAGUAGGAAGGGAGAAGCUAAGUAGCUAUUUCGACCUAUUUGUGAGUGUCGAGAUGAUAUAAGAGUGUGUGUCCUUUGAUAUAUAUGACUAUUGCUAGAAUAGAGAUAGUUAAGACGAUGUUUUUAUUAGCUGCUUAUAGUUUUUGUUGUAAGAGAGAUUGAAUAGCAAACAAGAUGUAAACUCUCCAGCACAUAGAUAAGUUCUAUGGGUCAUGCGUGAAGUCGAAAGUUAUAAGCAUUUUUCAUAGCUGUCUCAAUUAAAGAGCCGGUGCAUUUCCAUUAUCCGAGAGUUGACUUUCUUGGUGAGAUAGACUAAUAUUCUGCCUGUUACCUAAACAUCUUAUGGAUAGGAGCCAAAUCGAUAGACAUAGAAGUUUAUAGUGGAAAGCCACAAAUAUGCUAUCGUAUAUAAUUGGAGUACACUAAUAUACAGCAAACCAUACAAAAAGUUAGUGCAGAAAAAAGGCCUAUUAUCAUUAUACGUUCGAACAAUUAAUAUUCAAUUUUUUAUAUUUCAAUAUAAUUGUUUGUCCAAACCUUAGUAAUAGAUCGAAGAGUUUAUAAUUCUUUUGAAUACACUCAAUCACAACUAUCCCAGCCAUAAAAAAAAAUAAAACGAAGCACGUGAGUCUAGUACAAAGUUACUUGACCCAUUUUGUACGCCGAAUGGCAAAGGUAGAUUCCGAAACAAAAGAACAUUUUUCUUUAAAUCUCUCUUUUUUCUCAAUCUUGGGUCAGGUUACAUGUACUCUACAACCAUCUUGCCAGUCAAGCCUUGUAUUCUGUCAAUCAAUAACCUCAAUGCACAAUACAUCGAGAUUAAUCUUGAGGACACAACAUCAAAAACUUCAAUGACAACUACACACAGAUAUAAAAAACAACCGCACAUAAACGCAUGUACAAAGAUUAUUGCAAUGAGAACGUAAAGUCACUUCUUUUCAUUUCCACUGAUCCGAAGUAAUUUCUAUUAUUUUAUACACAGAAACGGAAAUGUUUUUCCAACAAAUUAUUAUCCUAACUGAAAUGGCUUUCCAAGUGCUCAAUAUAGACACAUCUGGAAUAGAUUUGAUUAGCAUUAUUUUCGCACUACACGUUUAGGGAGAAAUGUUUCUUCUUAGUUGUUCAUGGUUUAACAUGAUAUGUACUGACGCGCAAAUUUAACUAAAAGCGACGCAUGUGGCGCAUCCAUUUAAAAUUAUAUAAGUUCUUGAAAGACUUCGUUCUCACUUAAAUUGGCAUUAACAUUAAAAAGAAAUCAAUCACACAAGCUAGUUCCUUUUACAAAGUUUGGAAAAAUAGUUACAAAUGCCUAAAUUUUAUAACUUAUGUUUUAUUUUAUCUUUACAAAAUUGUACGGGGUUUAAGAUAAACAACCAUAUGAUAAACAUAGUCAUGCCUACACCAUACUUAGAAACCAUACAUCAAUGUAAUAACUAUUCCAGCAAGAUAUAAAAAAAGUCAAAAUUAUAUAGGUACUCUGUUUGAGACAAGAUAGCUAGCCUAGCAAACAUAAAGCAAUUGAAUAUAUAAGCUAUUUAUUAAUGGCAAAAAGUUGAGUUUAGAGGCGCAUGAAAGGCAUGAUAAUUUUAGACAUCAAUAGUAAAAAGAUUUUUAGUAAAUGAGAAUUACUAUUACACUAGUAUUGGAGCUCAGAAUUAUAUAAGGCGAUCAUCAAAACUUUCGCAAAUGCACGCAUAUGAAUAGUAGAGGAGAGAUGAUUAUCUAUGAAUAUCUGAGGCUCUUAUCACUCGUUUGAUCACUUGAUUAAAUUUGUACCUAGCUGAUAAUGCGCGAGUAUUUCCCUUAACAAUGUAGUGAAUACGGAUUUAAAUUUAAAGUCAAGUCUCACUCCCACUCGUAACCUCUUUUUCUUAUUGUUAGAUUUAUCAAUAAAGUCGACAUAUUCCCUCAUUACUUAUGAUUCCUCAAAAUCAUACAAAGUGAGUGAAGGUUGAUUAUUCAAUUGCUCCCAUACCAUAUUUAACAACUACUAUGCAUAGUUCCCUUUCAAAUAAAUUAGAGUAUAAAAGCUUAAACAUUGUCAUUACAGUUUGUGCAGGCUAGUGUACUAUUAUGACUUUAAUUGAAAUCUAUGUGUAAUGUGUUAAGAUAUAGUGCGGUAUAAAGUUAUUGUUACAUAUAACGAUUCACUUAGGAAUCGUGCGACUUUAGUUGACAGAAGGCUGUAUAACCUUACUUAUUCUCCAUAUCUAUUAUCUUCGUCAUUACUAUAUAAUCAAAAUGAGACACCUGAUGUAAACAAGUUUAACAUUAAGGCAAGAUGAUAUCCAAUAAUCAAGAAUAAAGAGAAAGAAAUAAGGAGAAAAUAUAGAAAUAUCAAUGUUUAAAUAUACAUUGACACAAUAUCUUACCAGGCAUAUUCCAGCAGUAUAAACGACACUCAAAUCAUAUUUCCGCAUACGACUUAAAUCAAAGCAGAUAUUAGAUUCUAUCGAAUAUCUACUCAAUCCAAACACAAUCUUGAUGUAACAAGUAUAUAACACGCGACAAUUAAUUCUAAAGCCAAAUAUGUCUCUACCGUCAUCCUCAAUGAAGAGAGCAAUAGGAAUAACCCAUAUAUAUUGUUAUCCACCGAAGAUGGUAUGGUGGAUAUAAUUAAUAUACCACAUUCAAUUUAUUUGGCACUAUAUUACAGAUUGAUAUGACGGCUAACACUCUCACUUUGUUGACGAUGCUCUUUAAUCUUUGAAAAGUGAAUGAAUUUGGUUUUGCAAUGAUAUGUGGAUUCUGUGGAUUUUUGAAAUUAAUUGGAUAGGCCUUUUUAGUUCUGUUGGUGGUUAAUCUCUAUUUCGUUGUUAAGGAUUUCAAAACUUCUCUAUAAUGUAUGUAUUGUGUUACGCUAAUGUAGAAAUUGCCCAAACAGCCUAACUAUAGUUUAUGUUAAAACUAACUCAAUUUUUUGAAUGAUUUACUAGUAAUUUGAAAGUUGGAAAGAGAACCAUCACGUAACUUCCAGAGGUCAUUCAAAUGUUUUCCGUAGGGAAAGUUGAACUUAUCCUAGACAGGUGAGAGAUUUCUAAUGUUUGAAGAGGAGGUCUGGAAGAGGAAGUAGAUAUAAGAGUUACAUUUAGGAUGUGAAUAAAUUACUAACUUUACAAUCGAGGGCACAUUAGUUAAAUCACUUCCAAAAUAUGAGAGAUAACACAAUAUGCAAAGCAACGAACUUUAAUCAUAUUAGGGUUGAGCAAUCCUUUGAAUUUUCAGAAUUUAAGGAGGAUCGCUAUUAAUAACAACUAUAUGUCACACUCUACGUUACUAUGGAACUAUUUUAUUUGGCUCAUCAAACGGCCAGAACGUUGGACUCUAUGUGUAAUAGAAAUAUGUCUAAGACAUAAAUGAAGGAUCAGAAAAGACAUCGUUUUGACAAUACUGAUAGCAUAAAUGGGCACUAUUAAGCACUGUCAAUAAUAUAAAUAGGUAGUUAGUACUGUUGCAAUUGGAACCUUCCAGAAUUAAUUUGAAACCUGAGAUUCACGAAAGAGGGCAGUAGCAUAAGGUAUGCGUUCACUACGUGUCCAACUUAAUUAUAAUAUUGAAAAAUUAAGAAGAGAAUCGGUAUUGAGAUUACGAGAGACAAAGAAGGAGAGAGGAGGUGGCAAACAAAUGGGUUCUAUCGAAUUUUGAAGAAAAUUUUGGAGAAUCAAAGUCUCCCAACUCUGAAAUACUUCAUCUCUAAAAGUUUUCCUUCAAAAGAUAUUAGGACAUAUGUAAACAUAUUAAGUCUUGAAUAUAUAAAUUCAAGUUUCGACAAUGAAACUCAACUUUGGAAUCAAGAUUCGAAAGACAAUCCUAAUAAACAAUUAGCGAUUAAGAUAAAUCUAUAGAGUUCGAGAGGAAUUAUGAACCUACCGAGCACACAACACUGAAGAAACGUUUAUACUCUAUCUGAAAAGUUCUUUUGUGCUGCUAAUUAGAGAAACAGUGUGAAAACUAGCAAGCAUAGUAACCCUCUCACAGGUCUUUAAGUAGUGGACAUCACUCAAUUCUAUAAUUUAAGUAGAAAAAAACAACAAAAUACUCUAACAUUUGAAAGGAUUAAGCUAACGUUGUGGGAGAGUGUGCUCGAUCACACUAACAUCAUGUGAUGACCAGAAAAUAACUGUCCUACAUGACUACACACAAAUAGUUAACUUUUUUGUUUGGUCAUUAUAAAAAAAAUAAAGAGAAAGACUCUUGACCUAAUAACGUACAAGAGAAAUUGAUAUUUGGAUCUCUCACAAACCCCUAACCGAUGAUAAUACAUCAGGUGGAAAUAAGGAUAGUGCUAACUGAACAAAGCUGUUACUAUCUCUAUGAUACACUUAAAGAAGAUACCUCGUACACACACCUAUUAUAAGACUUGAUCCCGUUCUAGUAAAUUCAUUUAAGACUUAGUCAGAUGUUCGGUGAAAAAAUAAAAAUUCUAGUAGAAUAUUAACUAUAGAAAUACCAUCAACCAUUAAUAUAUGCCGAACACAAGCAAUAAAAAUUUGUAAAUCCCAUAAUUAAAUUAAAAUCCGAGAGAAACUCACACAGCUCGCAAAUUCAAAUUUUUCAUCUAGAAUAGACGGCGAGUUCUAAAUUAUUAAUUAAGACUUCUCUCCAAUCCUGGGUUCACAUUAUUGAAUUCUAGAAAUCCCACAACGAAUACUGAUGAUUGCGAAUUACGGGUCAUGACUUUUGGUUCAGCUCAGCUCGCUAGAAUGAAAAGUGAAGUUUUGGCACUUGACAUUCACCUUCUCCUGAGCUUAGAUUACUAGAUGCUAUUGUCACAGGCUGUUGUUCGUAACUGGCUAUAGCAGACAAUAUAUUUCGUCAGGGUUCAGAGGAGAUGAUUAAAGAUACCCUUUGUAGACGCAGGAUGAUUUACAUGAUGAGAUUUAUUAAAUGUUUAAUGGAAAAACUUUGAGAAUCACAGUUUGGGGGUGAACUUGGGGAGCAAUGAGAGGAGGGGAGGAGGAGAUGGAGGAGAGCACGUAGGAGGACAAGUCAGAGAUAAAGUCUGGAUCGAUUAAGUCUGUAAAACGGUGGGGAAGCAUAAACAGUGACAAGAGUAGGUCGAGUAGAACUGGAAACGGUGUGGGAGAGGAGAAUCUUGCACAAAACAAAAGUGGAAAGAGUAAUACCAAAGAUUACAAAAGUUAUCAGGUGAGCUUAAAAGAAACAAGCGAGUGAUAACAACUUAAUAAUCAUAAACAUAUCGAAUCACAAGAAAUCUAUAAAGAAGGUGGCAAAAAACUAGGAAGAUAUCAAAUGUGUGAAUGAAAAUUGACCAGUAAAAGAAGGACACAAGAGGGAAUUGGACCACAAAGUUACUUUGAGACACCGUUUAGGUAUAUAUUACAAAAUAUUAUUUGGAGUAAAGAUUUUAUAAACAAAGUGGUGGAAUAAAACGAUAUGUGUAUCCUCAUAGCUUUAAGCUCCACUGAGGUGUUAAUUUUUGCUUUUGCGCAGCUCAUUUCACAAAUGACCUCAUCUAUGUUUUAAAAAACCCGUUCUCAUUUUGAAUUUUCAAAAUCUUUCAGCGCGUACGCCUCUAAAUCAUCUUCAUUUGGGUGACUAGAAGAUAUUACAUUGCCAAUUGUCUAUAAAAAUUCGGAUAAUUGAGUAAUUUCAAGUGAUUACCGACGCGAUUCCCACAUUCAACAACAAACCUUGAAGAGUUCCCUUCUCCUGGUCUUAUAGAUGCCAAUAUUUAUUACAAGGUGUAAAUGUAUGGUAGGACUAAGGUCCGAGCCCAAAUAUUGGCAAUUGUGUAAAUGAACAUGUCAAACAUAUUUUAGCCACUCGAAAUUGCAAAUGCACGUGGCUUAUAUUCCCUUUCAAAUAAGCUACCGGAGUGUGUAUCUAAUUGUCCAUUUGUCCAACCUUGGAAAAGGAACUCCACAAGAAAGUCAGGAUAUACAAUGAAGAGCACAGAUAAGAAUUGAAUUUGGUAAAAUUAUUGAAAUUCAAAUUUCAUGUACCUUACGAUAGUAAUGUUACUAUUUUAUAUAUAUGCUCCUCAUAAAUUUUGUUCUUGGCGUUUAAAGGAAUAUUGCAUAAAAAUCACACCACAAAUGAGUAACCCUACAGGAUCCGUUAUUCACGUUGGGGUUCAAUGAUAAAAAUUAACUCCAUAACUCAUAUUUUGUACUUUCUAUUUAUUAAUUGUUAAAUUGAUAAACUCACAACGUACAUUAGAUUAUAUCUUGCUUUCAUCACAAACAAGAGCACUCGCACAAUAGCUGUAUAAAACGAUCGCGAAAUAGAGUUUAUGAUAUUGAUGUGAGUAUGGGGAGGGCGCGUGUCGCGAGUGUCGCCAGAACGAACGAAGGUACUGAGCAGCUCGUUCACAACCCAACCUACUGCCAGAUAUAAGAUAUACGUGACAUUAUGAAAUAUAAAAAAUAGCAUAUAUACUAUAACCACAAGUAGAAAGAGACUCUUAUCAACGAUGUAAUGCGCUUCAACAAUAAAAAAAGGUUCAGGCGUCUUAUGUUAUCCCAAUUGGCAUGAAAUAUCUAAGUAUGGGACACGAAAAAUCAGGUCUAGACAGACCCCCUGCGAUCAUAACAUGCUUCUCAUCAUAAUUUCUUCAAGACAAUGGCUACCUGCCUUCUGCAACAAACUCCUCCCUGGUUGUCGUUUUGAGGAAACUCCAUUCGCUCUGCUACGUGGCGUUCUUCUCAAGUGAAGCACAAUAGAAUCUCGUGCUGGUGAAAAGUUCCACGGUUUACAUCCUAUAGCCUUGAAAUCCUUGUGGAAACAUGAGUAUAAUACUCACAUGCCUGCUGUGGAUUAUUCCGUUCUCUUCCAUUUUUCCAUUAGAAAUAUUUGGAGACCCGCAAUAUAUAAUUUUAAAUUGUUAAGAAAAUAUUCAAAAUCGAAAGAUUGUUGUUUGAUUUUAGAUUGAAAUUCUUUUGGUUUGGGCAUGUGAAAGUUUGUCAAUUCGACCAUAUUCAUUGUGAGCCUUCUCCGUUAUAGGCUGUCGUUGCGAGAGUUUGUUGUUACUAAAUUAACCAUUGUCAACAUAUACUUGCGCGUUCUUCUCAACACAGUCUCUCAAAAUGAUAACCAGUUGGUUGACCACAAAAGUGAGGUGUUGAAAUCCCAUCCUGAAAUUAUUGGUGAGGAAUUUUCAAUUUAUGUGUUGGAAUAUAAUAAAUUUUGUAUUAUUAAUUUCAGACACUGCUGUAUUAAUUAUUUACGACUUAAUAUGUCUUUAGGAUAAAAUCACACAUCAGAUCGAGGCAUAGUUGGGUGGCAAUAAAGGAAGCACGUGAAGUGUGUGUGCAAAAAAACAGAAAAAGAAAAAAAUAGAGGCUGCACAAAUGGCAGCUAGCAAGAAAAAAAUGGAAAAAAAAAGGAGGCUACUUGAAGGAUAAGUAAGGAGCGGGUAAAUAAGUGGGAGAGACGAAAGAUAAAAGGAGACGAAUCAGGAGGGAAGAGAGUAUUGAGGAAGCUAUGGGGAGAGCGAAUCAGAAAGAGGGGAAUGAGGUGACGAGUAGAGAAGAGAAGAGAGCAGUCAACACGGGAUCAGAAGAUCCUACCCAAUUGUGCGACCAACCGCUCCAUGACGGAGUAAUGAUGUAACCGUGGGUUUGCCCAGGCCCAAGAUAUCUGGCGUUUGUAGACGAGCCACCCCAUUGAAAACGACAUCACUAUUCGUUCUCUACUAUUCACGGUUUCCAUAAAAAAAUAUGGAGUUGAAUUGGGCUCCAAAUUUUGGAGAAGAACUGAAGCCGUCGGCUUUGAGAGGACACCCGGACGGAUACAAUUCCACCCAUUUUUUGAAACAUAUUUCAUUUCAAAUCAUUAUCCCUUAGCACCAAAACAUUUUCCUUGAGGAUAAACAUAAGCCCCCAACAACAGCCUAUUUGGGUUGUUGCGGCGGAACACCAGUGGUGUUCGAAUUCAAGAAUUAGCUUGUUGACCCAAAUUUCAAGGGUUUCCUAGCGAGUUGUAGCUUUUUCGAGGUGGUUUUGUGGUCCCGAAUUGGACUCGGCCUCGUUUUCAGGGUAUGAGAUAAUUUUCUCCCCCUUAUUGGAGGCAACUUCUUUUAAUCCUCCGUUGUGGAAUAUUUUGAAGAAUUUUUGAGAAAAUCAGUUUGACCUGUUAUUCUGAGGCACCCUAUCCGUGGAGAGAGACGGUAAUGAGACCAGAUGCUGAGUGGCUGGCGGCGCGUUGGUGUGGCGGGCGUAAGCCAGAGACCUUGACGACUGACCUUUUUACACUAUUGGAUACCUCUAUUAUUCCAUAAUGUGAUUUGUUUCUAGAGUAUGUGGCGAAAUCUAUCAUAUGACUACUAGUGAUAGAUAUAUAAAAGACGAAGACGAGCCACAUUAUGGACAUAAACAACUUUAGUUGAACUUCGAUCAUAGUUGAGAAAAAUCUGUACACAAACAAAUUUAAUAUGUUAUAGAGGUAAUAUUAGAUUGUUAUUGAAAGGAACAUAAAAGAACUAUAAAACGAUUCAGUGAGAGUUCCAUCGUAUGGAUCUUUCCAAUAAUAUUAGGAUUUGAAAUAAUAGAAUAUUGUAUAAUUUCAAAACUCAUUAACUUACGCUAAUAACCAAAUAUGUGAUAUACUAAACCGUGUUCAUUCAAUAAUAUUUCUCACUUUAAUGGGAUCCUUUCAAUAAAAAGAUUUUUCAAAUAUCGACCGAAAUACGAAGAUAUAAUUACACUUUGUACUGGUGUGUUGAUGGUAAGUACUGCGAAAUCCGAGUCAGUAAUGAGUGAGUUUAGUAUGAUUGUCUGUAUUAAAUGAGUAAAUAUUAAAUAUAUGUUGUAAUAUUAAGAGUUAUGGAAGAUCCGAUUAAUUCAUUCCAGAUAUAUUUUGAGACGAGAGGUAUUCCUGUUGACGGAAUCUGAGAUUUAUGAUGAGUUGUGGUCCCGUUCAAUUGACGUGUGAGUCAUGACUUUUGGCUACUACAAUUAAAAAUUUCUCACUUUAAUGGGAAUCUGUCUCGCAAAUUGAGUUCUGAUCUACUGAUUGAGGUUACACCAGAAGAUUAAGGUGAGAAGUCUUUUAUGUGGUUACCUGCAUACUAUGGAUCAGCAGAGUGAAAACUUGAAUAGAAGUGUGAUAAUAGGAAGGUUAUUACCUGUAUAAAUAUUGUUCCUAAUAUUUCGUAUUCACACCUUGCUGAAUAGUUGUACUGUGUAUUUAUAAAUAGAAUUUCUUUGAAAUGUAUUUUUAAUAUAUUAGAACCUCAUAAGAUCUAUGUUUAUUAACACAAUGAUUUUGGAGCUUGAUGUAUAGAUGAGUGAAUGUGAGUAAUUGUGUUUAUGGUUAAUCGCUUUAAUAGUAAUGUGUAAUGAAUAAAAAUAAUAGAAUAAAUAUGAUUUUGAAAAUUAGAGAAAUAUAUAAUAAUCACCUAUUAAUAAUUAUAGUAGUUUCAUUAUUGUGUAGAAUAUUUUUAAUAUGCUUGUUUGAUUUAAUAACACAUAAUAAGUUAUGGAGGCGAUGAGGAAUAAAGAUUGAUAGUCGUAAAGUGUGGCUACGUUGUAUAAUCGAGCGGGUUGAGGUAGUGGUAGGUUGAAGUGGUCCAGAAUCGUACCAUUCGAAUUCCGUUGAGGUGUAUGUGUCCGGAAUCUCCUUCUAUCUCUUGCGAUUUUUCGCUGUUGAGUUCGAAUUGUCUAGAAUCAAGUACCCUAGAGGUUGGAUAAAUACAGUUGUAGUCUUGGCUCUUAUAGAUCCUAGUAUAAUUUUAUUUAGUCCAAGGCUCAGUAUCUUUACGAAGAAAGUAGGAAAAUAAAUCUGAGCUCUAAAUUGUGUGCUAAUAUUAGCUUCUGUUCUUUAGUAUAGAUAUUAUGUUGAAUAACUGGUCUUCGAAGAAUACUUGUGAAAUUGAAAUUAAGAAAGCGAUUGUACGUUUGGGUGUGACUCCUUCGAGAUUUUCUACGAUUCGAUUAUGAUUUUCAUAACUACAAUGAUAAUAUAAGCAAAGAUUAUCUAAAUGAAUGACCUGUUUAUUCAAUCUUCUGACUCGACCGAAUCUAAAAGUUAAUUAAUAGUGGCCAACCGAAAUAGUGAAAAUAGGUUUUGUGACUUCUUGAGAUUAUCUAAAUAUAGGAUGUUAUAAAUGCUUUGGUGAACUGAGCGUAUAAUCAUAGAUUGGACAGUAAUGAUUAUAAAUGUUUGGAGAGUUGGCAGCAGACUAUGCAUUACCCCAUAGGUUGGGUUUGUUAUGUUAGGGACACCUGCAGUCUAGGAAAUUUAAUGCUUGUCAGUGGCAUUCUAAACUCUAAAUGUUUGACUUAGAAGGAACUGCAAUAUAUUUGUUUCCAUUAUUACGGCUUGACACCCGCCUACAGCCCAUUCUUGUGAAUAUUGGGAAAUAAUGUAGAGCUAUGUGCCGAGGCGCACGAACUACCGAUCGCUUGAUCCUGUUGAGGUACGUAGGCACAGUCUAAGAGAGGCUCGUAGAAGUAUGCCACACAUAAAAGUAUAAGCAACAACAAACUUGGCAAAAUUAUUUACGUCCAAGUAGGUACACUGAAAUAUCCAUUGAUUUAUUGUUAAUGUAGCCAUAUCGAAAUAAAAGGUCAACUUAGAGAGUAUAAGCGAUUCAAGAAUUGAAUUAACGAAGCAAUUAGAGUUUGACCUUUGAGUCAAGCCGUAUCCGAUCUGUCUCGAGAUGCUCAAAUGUCUGGGAUCGCGGCGUGACCGAAGGUAGUCUGGUAUUGUGUGCCCCGGCCCCCAUCCCCGCAGUUCUCUGUAUCUGCUAAAAUCGCCAUUAUCGACGAUACCAGGAAAGACAGAUUGAAGCUUUGGUCGAAGCUCUCAAAAGCACGAAGACAUAAACAUAAGAAAUGUGAUAUCCACACAUUUUUUUUUAUUUUUCACACAUCUCUUAUUAAUUUCUAUCAUUUGAUCUUAUUCAAUUCAUUCGAUUUGACAACCGAAAAUUAAGAACGUAUGUGAGAAGUAAAAAAAAAUAUGUGGAUAGCACACCCCAAACUUGGAAUAGGAUCCUCUUUGGAUCUUCUUUAAGGGGAUUUGAAUGAUCAAUCAAUCGUGUCCAUUCAUUAUACUUUGUAUGAUUAUAAAUAGUACUUAACGUAAACUGAUCACACGAUAUACGAUAAAUAAACACGAUUGAUUGAUUUUUAAAUCCCCACAAAGAGAAUCUGAAUCCUUGUCCCCCAAACUUAAACUCAACUUAGUUGUCAACUCAUGUGAGCCCAUUAACCCUCUCUUCCCUACGCUACUGAUGUCAGUCAUCCGCCACUUGCUUAUUUGUUGUCAUUCUGAAUUAUGAUUGUAAACUAUGUUUAUUAGCACCUUAAUCUAAUUGUUGAUUGAAAAAGUUUAUUGGCCACUUGCUAACAUAGUCCUUAGGCCAUCUCCAACCGAAGGGUCCAGAAGGCCAGAGAGCCGAAAAUAGCCCUAAAACCGUCUCCAACCGAGGGCUAGGCCAGAGGGCUCGGGAAUCUGGAAGGGCCCCACGGGAUCGGAGAGGGCUGGAGGGCUGGAGGGCUGGCUGCUUUCGGCCAGCCAGCCAGCCUCGGGCUGGCUAUUUUUUUUUUAAUGUUUCUCAAUAUAUAUUAUUUCUGUCGGUUACAACCGACAGAAAUAACAAUUUGAAUUCAAACUUCCAACGGCUAGCGCCACUAGCCGUUGUAAAUCCUUUUUUUUUUUUUUUAUGAAUUUAAACCUUUUUUUUUCUUUUUUUUUCUAUAACUUCCUAUAACUUCUAUUUUACAAAAUUUGUUUCAAUUUUUUUUUUAAUUCUAUUUUUUUUCCUAUAACUUAUAUUUUACAAAAUUUGGUUCAUAUUUUUUUCAUAUAACUUCUAUUUUACAAAAUUUGUUUCAUAUUUUUUUUUAAAUUCCAUUUUUCCUAUAAACUUCUAUUUCACAAAAUUUGUUUCAUAUUUUUUUUAAAUUCUAUUUUUUUCCUAUAACUUCCUAAGCCAUUAUACAACAUUAAAUUAAAUUAAGUAACAUGAAACAACAUUAAACAAUAUGAAACAACAUUAAAUAACAUUAACCGACAUAAAAAUUAUAUAACACUAACCAACAUGAUUUUUAAAUAAAAUUAAGUUGUAGUUUUUAAAUAAUAAAUUAUGUUUGGCCCUAUGGCCCUUUGGCCCUCGGUUGGAGACGGAGGCAAAUAUGGUCAUGUACUGUUCAUUAAAAUAUUAAUAUCUUGAAGAAUCUUGGAGGGCCAGAGGGCUAAAACGAGCCCUCUGGCUAGCCAUCGGUUGGAGAUGGCCUUAGUUCACUUGCUGGCGUAGGUCUUUGUUCAGGCCCUUAAUUUAAAGGGAUUCCAAUUUUUUGAUAGGUGAUAAGGGAGAUUAAAUUUAGAGAUAAAAUUUUAAAAAAUAAAGAAAAUAGAAGUUGAUAAUUGGUUUAUUACUUAAAUGUAUGUAUUCAUUAUUAUUUGUGACACAUCAUUUAGUUUGAAAAUUUUGUUUUUAAAUUUAGUCUUCCUAGCAUUUUUUUUUUUGGAUAGAAAUGGGGACUAGUUGUCACAUCCUAGCCCGGGCCUCCACCACAUCCCGGGCUCGACUCUGCCGUAGCACGAUAUUAUCCGUUUUGGGCCCCGACCACGCCUUCACGAUUUUGUUUCUAGGAACUCACGAAAACUUCCUAGUGGGUCACCCAUCAUGAGAUUGCUCUCCAGCGAACUCGCUUAACUUCGGAGUUCCGAUGGAACCCGAAGCUAAUGAGCUCCCAAAAGGCCUCAUGCUAGGUAGAGAUGGGAAUAUACAUAUAAGGCUUACAUGAUCCACACCCCUGGGCGAUGUGAGAUGUUACACUAAUUGUGUGGCUCACUCCAUAUCGAACUUCAACAUUCAACCAUCUAUCUAAUUGUUUUUUUGUAAAGAUGGUCAAUGAAUGAAGACUUAUAAAAUAGGCAUAGUUCAAAUCGUUAAAGUUCAAAGUAAAAUGAGCCCUACAAAUAGUCUAAUUUUUUUAUAAAAAAAAAUAUAAAUCACAUUGGAUAAAGACUUUGGGUCUUUGUUUAUGGUUAUUAGUUGCUUGGUGACGAGCGAUUUUUUAGUAUGUUCGGAACACAGGCGCAAACGCCGUAUAUUAUUAAACAAGUAAAGGGACAUUUGAAAUUAGAAAAUACAUAAGAAAAAUGAGUUAUGAAUAAAGGUGGCUGGAAGGAAGGGACAAAGAAGAUUGAAAAUUAAUCUAAACGGGUUUCAAUUAUUUUUAUAGAAUAGAUACUAGUUGUGGGGUUCAGUCCACAUCAAAUUUCAACAUUCAAACCAUCUAUUUUUCAAAUUGCAUUUUAUAGAUCAUCCUUACAAAAUAUUAGUCAAAUCAAAAAUAUUUUAGGUAUCUAAUUGAUUUUUUGUUAGAAUGAUCUAUAAAUGAAGACUUAAAAAAUAGACAUGGUUCGAAUCGUUACAAUUCGAAGUAGAGUGAGCCCCAUAAUUAGUACAAAUUUUUAUAAAUAAAAAAAAUCGCUUUGGAUAAAGGCUCUGGGUCUUUGUGUAUGGUUAUUAGUCGCUUGCUGACUAGAGAUUUUUUAGUGUGUUAGGAACAUGAGCACAAACGCCUGUUAUUAAACAAGCGGAGGGACACUUGAAAUAAAAAUCUUCUCUCUACUUGUAUAAUGACAAAUGAUAUACCACCUCAUAUUUCAGGCACACUGAAAAAUAUAUCCUGGAUGUGAUAGGUGAUAGAUCUUUGUUUAUGUUUAUUAGCCACAAGGUGAGAUAGGUGAAAGUUCUUUGUUUAUGCUUGUCAGCCAUUUGCUGGCAUAGGUCUUAGUUUAUUAGCAAUCUUAAUUGUUGAUUGAAAAUGUUAACAUGAUUGUAAACUAUCUAAUUUGUUUUAUAUGUUGUAGUUUUUAUAUAUUUUUUUUGCUUUUGAAAUUAAAAAAAAUACAUAAGAAAAAUGAGUUAUGAAAAGAGGUGGGGGAAAAGAAGGGACAAAGAAGUUUGAAAAUUAAUCCAAUAAUUUGUAAAAGUCAAACCAUCUUUGCAAUAAAGAAAGCUUAAUUUAGUACAAUUUGGUAAAUUGAGAGAGCUUAAAACAAGGGAGAGAGAGAGAUAGAAACAGAGAUAUCUGGCAAGACGGAAAAAGUCCACAAAAGUGACAAAAUCAAGAAACGAUUAUACAAAGUCGACAACAUCUUUGUUCAAUGAUGCAUCCAAAUGAUGUAAUCAAGAAACAACAAUACAGGAGUUAAGAAAUAUUAAAGAGUGAAAAACGAACUGUUUAAAUUAUAUUUUAAAUGAACACUUUAUUUCUGUUGGUUCGUACUAAUAUUAAGGGCGAUUCUAAGAUAACUUUUUAGUCGUUUUAUUUCAAUUUUGACUAAAAAAUAGAAAGCAAGACUGAAACACGCUUCAAGCACGUUCCUAUUGAUCGCCUGCAUCCCUUUGGGCCUAUUAAGGUUGGAAAUGAACCAGCAAUGACAAAUUCAAUUUAAGGAUUAAAGAGUUAGUAUUUCAAAGGUAAUGGUAGGAAGAUUAAAUUUGUAGACAAAAUUUUAGAAACUAAAUAACAUGAAAGUUGAUGAUUGAUUUAUUACUUAAACGUUGAUAAACGCUCGUUACUAUUGGUGACACAUAAUUUAGUUUGUAAAUUUUGUCUCUCUAACUUUACCCUUUUUCAAAAUUUCCUUAAAUUUAAAAUAUUUAAAACAACGUCGUUUUAAGAAAAUUCGGUUCGAUUUCCAGAUCUGUGUUGGCUUUUGAAUUUGUAGGAUGCCUCGGUAACGGGAUGCCUGUCAUCCGCGGCUUGCUCACUUGUUGGGAUUGAAAACUAUGUUUAUUAGCAACCUUAAUUGUUGCUUAAAAUUGUUUAUUAGCCACUUGCUCACGUAGGUCUUAGCUUGCUGGCUGACUAGGUCUUAGCUUAUUAGCCACUUGUUGACGGAACUGGAUCCUCUCCGAGGCAAACCCUCGGGAUCCUGCUGAGCGACAAACAAGGGCCGUUGAAUUUAGAUCUAACAGCUACAAACAUGGGACUCAUCUUAAAGUUAUAAUAAUUGUAGCCGUUGGAUCUAAAUCCAAUGGUCAAUGUUUGUCGCUCAGCAGGAUCCCGAGGGUUUGCCUCGGAGGGGAUCCAGUUCCCCUGUUGACAUAUAGGUCUUUGUUUAUUAGCCACUUGUUUAUGUUCAUUAGCUUGCUGACAUGGGCGAUAAGUGUUUGUUUAUGUUUAUUAGCCACUUGCUGAUAUAGGUCUUAGUUUAUUAGCAACCUUAAUUGUUGCUUGAAAAUGUUAACAUGAUUGAACUAUGUAAUUUGUUUUAUUUUUAUUUUUUACAGGUCUUAGUUUAUUAGUACAACUUGGUAAAUUUCUUUCAAGUCAAUUUUAGAGAACGUGGACUACUGCAUCUAUAUAUCUACUUAAAAUUGACAUUUGAGUUAUAGAAAUUUGAGACCUCAAAUUUGGUUUUCCAAUUGGAUUUGCUACUUUGUCUGCAAAAUUCUAAAGUUCUAGCUCCAAGAUUCAGUUUCUAUUUUCUGCCGAAAAAAGAAAAGUAAGUUUGAGUAAUUCUUUUUUUUGUUUUUUUUCUUUUUUAUCAAAAUGUGUGUCAGCAGGAGUUCUAUGAUUGUUUUUUUGGUGCAACCGGAAUGCCGAAACACUUAUGACAAUCAGAUUUGAUGAACGAUCAACAAAUUUCAAUCGCUAGACCAAAUCCGAGGCAUAAGUGCUCCGACACAGUGUCUUGAGAAAUUUCAGUUGUUUUGAGGACAACUACUAAUUAUAUUUGUUGUGUUUGUCCAGUAAUUCUAUUUCAAAUCCAAAAGCCAUGCCGCCUGAAGAUAAAUUAAGUUGCAUCUGGAGAAAAAAUCAUACUGAAGUGUCUUUCUAUCGAAAGUACUGGUGGAAUAAUAUAUUCAUUGCAUCGUGCUUGUGUUCCCUUUUUGUGGAUCCAUUAUUCCUCUACGUUCCUAUUCUUAAGGAUGAUUUCAAGUGCCUUAUGUUAGACCCAAAGUUGAAGAUAAUCGUUCUUCUUUUAAGAUCACUCACAGAUUUUUUCUAUUUAAUGGACAUUAUUAUUCGAAUUUAUAGAUCUGAUUCGGGUUCAAUCGUGAACCGCGGACAACACCGGAUGGAUUUUAGUUUUGUACUGAAAUCUUGUGUCCCAAGAAUAGUCAAGACAAUAUGGGCGUCAAAUGAUAUCAUAAUUGACAUUGUAGCUCUUCUUCCUUUUCCACAGGUAAGAAAUUAAUUCCCUUUGUUGGAGUAAUUGUUUUUCUUAUUUGCUUAGUGUGCGGGCCAAAGCGAAUAUUUUCGUGUUAAAUACACAAAACUGACACACUAUGUAAUAACAUUUGGAUGUCACAUAUAUUUUUCUAGAGAAAUUGUUAAUUUUGUGUUUUAGACAACGUUGUUAUUGAUCUAUCGAUUUUCACUGUUGGUACCCAGGUGGCAGUUUUUAUUUUCUUCUCAAAAAUGUGUGACUUGAGAUCUUUGACUCCAAUAAGGAUGGUUCUUACGAACGUUUUUGCUGUGUUGCAAUAUGUGCCACGAGUUCUUCGCAUCUACCUCUCAUCUAAUGAACUUAAAAAGAAUCUUGAAAAAGAUGUUACAAAGACUCCCAUAUGGAUUAAAGGUGUACUCAAUUUCUGUAUGUACACUAUUGCUAGUCAUGUAAGUUUCAAUUUAUAUCCUUAUUUAUUUUUGUUUGUCAAAUCAAUUCUUAUUAUCCUUGUCUUAAUUAUUAGAAGGAGCAUGAAAUGACCAUUUUGAAAUAACAAUAACAUCUAAAAUAUUAAUGAUGUUGUAUAUUUCCUCCACUUUUACUGUUUGUUUGUUGAUUUUUCAGGUAAUCGGAGCUUUGUGGUAUUUUUUUGCUAUUCAACGAAUGAUGAUUUGUUGGCAUUUUGCAUGUCGAAAAGAUGAUGGAUGUGAUAACAGAAUUUUUGGUUGUCAUGAUCACCAUGCAUUUAGAAAUACCACAAUUCUAAAUGAUUUAUGUCCUGUCAAUGUCAGUGUCAAUUCAUCAGACACAAUGCUCUUCGAUUUUGGUAUAUUUGCUACUGUGCUUCAAUAUGGUAUUGUAGGAUCAACCAAUUAUUUCAAAAAGCUCUUGAACUGUUUCUGGUGGGGUUUACGAAAUUUAAGGUUUGUACAUUUUUAUAUUUGUUUGUUAGGAAAUUUAGGUUUAAUGCUCUUUUUAAGAUCUUUGAUUUAUUUGCUAUUUACAUUCAUUUUUCCUGUUGAAAGUAUGAAUCUCUCAUUGAAAGAUUAAAGCAUUACUUCUACGAAAUAGAGUCGAGCAUAAGGACUCGGAGAAAUAAAAAAUCAAGUUGAGACUAAAAUAUUAUCUUGGUUAAAUUUUAGGAAGAAUGAACCAUAGAACCAAAUAAGCCCUUUGAAAAAUGGUUGUAAAUUUGUGAGUUUAUAACUUGAAACUGGUUAUCACAUAUAUUGAUCCAUUAAUUUGAUUUUCGCAGUUCCCUUGGUUCAAAUCUUCAGCCCAGUGCAGAUGGAUGGGAGAACCUGUAUACGAUUUUUAUUUCUAUAACUGGCUUGCUCCUGUUUUUAUAUCUGAUUGGAAAUUUGCAGGUUUGUUUAUAAAACUUUUCUUACACUUAUCAUUUAGUGCUAGUUAAUCACUCCAACUAACAUAAACUUGAUCAGUGAAGAUUUUCAUAUCCAUUAAAUUCACUCUAAUUAACCUUAUAUGUUAAGUAUUCUUGAAUACUUAUAUGUCAAGAAUGAUUUUUUUUCCUGACUAAAUUUGAACGCCAUUUAUAAGAAAUUUUUACAUGUAACAGAAAAACUUGUCACAUAACGUAUUAUUCUACGUGUUAUCAUAAGUAGAUGACAUAGAUGAUAUUCCCAUUUUAGGAUAUAAAUAAAAAAACAAAUUUGCGUGUCACCAUGUGACCGUUUUCUAGUUCUAGCUACAUAGAAAUUUUUGGUCAUGUAUGUUAGAUUUUAAUUGUGGUCCUUUGAUUAGGUGCAUUAUUAUGCAAUUUAGUGUAUAGGUAUAAUAAGAUACCUACAUAUGUUCAUGAUAUUGUAUUCCAUCAAAAUAAUAGAUUCAAAAGCAGCUAGCUUUUUCAAACCUCUUGUAACUCAAGAAAAUGGACAAACCAACUCACUCGAAUUAUUUUUGAGCUCAGAUCUUCUGCACCCAAAUUUGUCUAUAGCUUUUCAGCGACUUAAUCAGCUUUUGACACGUUUCCACAACUAAUUCAAUUUCAAACGGCGUAAACUUUGCGGGAAAAAUAUAUAGAAAAGGACGAAGAACCCGGAAUCCUCAAUCUCCCACCCACAGAUGUGAUUGAUGCGCUGGGCGACGUUCUUUUGUUCGAGCGGCGCCGGGCCCAAACGGAUCGACUCGGCAUCGGCUGGAGACGCCGCAACGCGGUCCCGACGCAAGAUGGUGGGGGCGGAGGUUGGACCAGGAUGUUCUAUUAUACGCCGCAUCACGGAUCGUCUUAUCAUGCGCACCAGUACCAUCAUAGUUUGGCGCCAUACCACCUGACUGUCUACGUGCAGCAGGUAUCCUCUUAAUUUUUUUUUGCUCUCACCCAGAUGUGGUUGAUGCACUGGGUGUUGGGGUUACCCUGCACUUGCAAGUGCAAGACGGAUCGAUCGAAGGGAGACGUCAAGUUAAUUGUCGGAGGACUGUCGAUUCAGGCCGUGGACGUCGUAGCCUUUAUCGGGGGACCUUGUGUUGCUCCAGAGGAUCAGUGGCGCAGCCGUUGGGGGGUUUGUGGAUUCUGAUCUGGCGGUGUCUGUUGCUACCGUGGAGUGGGUGUGGCGGAAUCAGGGUUCUCGAAGGAGACGACGGGAUUUUUUCCCACACCAUUCUUCUUCUAAUGGGCGUCUCUGAUUCUUUUACGGUUUUUUUCCUUCGAAGCCGUUUAUUAUCAUUCAACUGAGUUGAGUUCAAUUGGAUUAAUAGUAUUUCAACCUACCCAAUUCAUUUAUAGAACAGGUGGUCGAUUUUGUACCCAAAAAUAAGUGUUUAAUGUUUCGAACCCAACCCAUAUCAUUUGAGUUUGUCGGUUUAGUCGGUAGACCCACCAAAUGGCCACCCCAACUUGCUAGUAUUUAUGUCUUUUUCUUAUUUAUUUGUCCUUUUUUGGUUACAAUAGUAGUAUUUCCUUUUCUUUUCUUUUUUCUCUUUUUUUUUUUUUUUUUUUUUGUAAUAUAGAAAAAAAGAUUAAACUCAAAAUCAAAUAUAAUGAUGACAUUCAGCUUCAUUUGAAAAAAAAAAAAAAAAAAUCUUAUCCAAAUGUUGAUAAUCUAAUUCUUAUCGAUCUCUUACUUGUUGAAUAGACAUAUAUGCAACUUGAGUCUACAAGAACAGAGAAUCACAUGCAAUUGAGACAGAAGAUGAAAGGAAAAGAUGACGAAAUAGAAUUGUGGUUAUUCAAAAAGGGCAUUCCCACCAGGUUGAUUAAGGAUUUCAAGUUGCAGAUUUUGGAAAAGGUAAAACAAGCAGCUCAAGAGGAUACGGAUACUAAUUUGGAUAAUAUUCUCCCUCUUCUUCCUUCGGAAGUUCAAAGCCACAUAAAAGAGCCUUUUGACAAGUUGAAGCAAGUAAUUACUCACCUUGAUAAUCAUAUAAAAGGAGGAUUGUAUCUCUUUAUCUUUUUAAUAAGAAUUUAAUUAAGUCUUCCUAUGGGUUUUCUUGCUUUCUCUCUGAUAGUUUACCAACAUGAAUUCCAGGUGCCAAUGCUUCGAGAGAUAGAUGAAGAUGUGUUGAAAAUAAUCUGUCAGGAACUCGAGCCCGUGAGGUAUACUGAGAACGACGAUAUUAUUCAAAAGGAUAAACCACUUGCCAAGAUUCUCUUCAUUGUAGACGGAGAUGUAUCCAUUGAAGAGGGAUCUUCUGAUGAUUCAAAACGAGGUGCAGGACAAUUAUGUGGAGAAGAACUUCUACGUUGGCCAUUCUACUCUUACUUCCCUGACAAAACACCGUUGGCAACUAAAUCUGUCAAGGCAAUUGGUGUUGUUGAAGCCCUUGCUCUCAACGCACAGGACUUGCAAAGUGUAAGCUCUUAAUCAAAUGCACAUUUCCCAUAUUACAAUUGAGCAUCCAUAGUAAAAUUAAUUGGGAUAAGAGAGAGAUCCAAGAAGUACCUUUACUUAAACUGUCGGAUAAGACUUUCAUGUUUUCAAUGCAACCCUUCACGUGCAGGGCCAUGUAAGCCUAAUGUGUGGAGUGAACAACAAAUAUUGAGUGACACAAAGCACGUAGAUAGCCUCAUCUAACACCAUAUUAAAAUUGAGCAUCCAUCUUAGUUAAAACCAUUGGCAAUAGAAGGGAGAGGGUCCAAAAUUAUUUAAAUUAUUAGGCAAAAUUUUAGUUACUCUGACAACUUCAGUAAGCCUAUAAGCUAUAAGAAACUCUAACAACCUCAAUUUGAUUGUAAUUUAGCUAAAUUUUCGUUUACUUGAACUAAUGAACUCUAACAACCUUUUUGUUGUUGUGGAUUAAUAGAAAUAUGAUCAAUCAGACAUUGCAAUAAAAGAGACGUCUAGACAAAGAGGAAUGAUGAAAAAGGAGAUGGAAACAAAUAUAGAUGGGUUGAUACAUAGAAAAGAAAUUCCUGAAUGGUUUAAUCAAAGUGUAAAGUCACGGAUCAUGGAAAAAAUAGAAGAACAAGUUCAAAAUAAUGCUCUUUAUUGGGAUAAGCUUGAUUGGGAUUGGGAUCAUCUCGUUUCUCAUCUUCCCCUGGAUUUUCAAAACGAGAUCAAAAGGUGUAUGGCAUUGACUAAGUUGAAGAAGGUAAAGUUUCUUCAAAUCCAUGAAUCCACGGCUUUUAUUUUGAACAGAGAAUUUGAGGCAUUUAUUUAUUUAUAGCUCUCUUCCCAAUAUUUCAUGCAUGCGCAUGUGAUAUUACAACUCCCAUGCAUUUAAAUACAGCAUAACUAACGUAUACUAUACCAACCCCAACCUAGGGCCUAGGCUACAUAACAAUCUAGUCCCUGCCCAUGAUAAGGUGGAGCGUAAGUACAUGAGACAGAAAAAAAAACAAACAAAAGAAAAAAUUAAGAUGUCAAAUAGAAGAAUUCGCCUGCCAAUAAAGACUAUCAACUUAGAACUUUCUAACCCUACCCUUUCACACCAAUAAAUUUUAAAAGGAAAACCAUCCAUUUGGAUACUUUUGUAUAUUACUUGAAGCAUGUGAACAUUCAUAGUUAUAAGGGUUUUUAUUACAAAUGGUCCUUAAAAUUGACCCACCCAAUCAAGAUGAUCCUUGAAAUUGGAUGUCGCAAAUCAAUGUAGUCCUUGAAAUUGAACUUUCUAACCCCUACCCUUCCGUCACAACUUUGUUAAAAAUUAUGUUAUGUGCUGAUGUGGCACAUAAUUGGGUUCCAUAAUAUAAUAAAAUAUUGUCAGGUAGAUAAAAAAUAUUUAAAUAAUAAUUAAAAAACCUAUGCUAUAAAAAUGGUAAUUAACUAAAAUCAGGAAAAAAAAUGCUAUAAAAAAGUGAGUGGUAGAAAUAGAAAAACGUGAUACUUAUAGGGUUGCAAUAAUGUCACUGAUAGCAAAAGGAUUAUCUUUUGGAUAAUCUUUGGAUACUGAACAGUCGGCAUCGAAAAUUUACUGACCUCUAAUAAAACAAAGACACCUGUCCAUUUUCAAGUCUCCAUUCACACAACCAAACACCCUGGUUUUGUAUACCAAACAUCCUUCUUCUACCUUUCUCUGCCCACAGUCCCCUUCAGAAAUGCAAAAACAUUACAAAUUCUUUCACGAAAGCUAUUAUCCACUCUCUGGAUUGAUGACGAUAGGUCGCAAUCAUCGUCGUCGGCCAUAACGGAGGAUGACAAUCACAUUCGUUGUAGAAGAAAUGGAUGGGGUGGGUGGCAGAAAAGAGGGAUUGGGGUCAUCGGAGAAGAGAGGGUUUGCAACUAGGGAUGGGCAAAUACCCAUCGAUUAUGGGUAACCGCGGUUACCCGCUCAUUUAAAUUUCACGGUUACGAUUAUGGGUAACCGUUUAGAUAAAUAAACGGUUAUGGGUAUAACCAUUUACCCGCGAAAUUUAAAUGGGCGGUUAUGAGUAUUAACCGCGAUUAUAAACGGGUAACCAUUUACUCAUUUAUUUUAUAUAUGUAAAAUUAACACAAAUUAUGUUCCCUAUCAGACAAAACUUAGAUCAAUGCUAUUGACUAUAGUGCAUGAUUUCUAUAGCUAAUAUAAUAUAACUUUCCUUAACCACUUUAAAUUUCAUGGUCGAUUAUAUAUAUUAUGUUAAUAUUUUACAUUCCGAGUUAAAUAACCCAAGAAUAUUGUCUUUUAACAGUUUUCGUAACCCAAGAAUACUUAGCAAAUUUUAUAUUACCUUCAUUGCUAACAGUUAAAAAUAUCGUCUGUAAAAUAUUAUUUCAAUUGUUGGAAUGGUAUAAGUAAGGACUUAAAAAAUUAAAAUACCGAAAUAUAUGAUGAAUGUACCUAUAACAGUGUUUAAUUGUUAGAAAAAGAAAAUUAUGACAAAUUUUCCUUUUUUAAUUUUCAAGUUGUUAAAAAAACACGUAGAUGGGUGAAAAAGGAGUAAAUGGUAAAAAAGAUAGGAUAAACGGGUUUAAAAAUGAUAAAUGGGUAAACGGAUACUAAACGGUUACGGUUAAGUGGAUACACGAUUAUGGGUAUGGUUAACCGUUUAUAAACGGUUAUAUGUAUGGGUAUAACCGUUUAGACAAUUACCCAACGGGUAAAUAGUUAUGUGGGUAUGAGAAUAAACGGUUAUGGAUAAAUAAUCGCAAUUAUCCGUUUGCCAUAACCGUUGUCCAUCCCUAAUUGCGACUUGUGAGUGGGUUGCCGGAGAAUAGAGCGAAUUCAGUGUUCGAUGAGGGUUUGGUUGUGUGUUUAGAGACUAGAAAAUGGACAGUUGUCUUUAUUGUAUUGGACUACUAGAGGUCAGUAAAUUUUGAUAUUGAACACGCCGUACCCAAGUAUUAUUAAGAAUUUAAGUCAUUGUUGAGGAUUGUAUCUCUUUUAUCUUUUUAAUGAGAAUUUCUUCCUAUGAAUUCCAGGUGCCAAUGCUUCGACGGAUAGAUGAAGAUGUGUUGAAAAUAAUCUGUCAGAAACUCGAGCCUGUGAGGUAUACUGAUAACAACUUGAUUAUUCAAAAGGGUGAACAACUGGACAAGAUGGUCUACAUUGAAGACGGAUUUGUAUCCAUUGAAGAGAGAUCUUCUAAUAAUUUGAGACUAGGUGCAGGGGAAUUCUGUGGACAAGAACUUCUACGUUGGCCUUUCUCCACUGACUUCCCUAACAGAAAACCGUUGGCAACUGAAUCUGUCAAGGCAAUUGGUGUUGUUGAAGCCCUUGCUCUCAACGCACAGGACUUGCUAAGUGUAAGCUCUUAAUCAAAUGCACAUUUCCCUUAUUACAAUUGAGCAUCCAUAGUAAAAUUAAUUGGGAUAAGAGAGAGAUCAAAGAAUUACCAGUAUUUAAACUAUCAAACAAGACUUUCAUGCUUUCAACCAAAUCCUUCACGUGCGGGGUCAUUUAAGCCUAUUGCGUGGAGUAAACAAAACAUAUUGAGUGAUGCAUAGCACGUAUAUAGUCUCUCCUAAUACCAUAUUAAAAUUGAGCAUCAAUCUUAGCUAAAACCAUUGGGAAUAGGAGGGUGAGGGUCCAAAAUUAUUUAAAUUAUUAGGCAAAAUUUUAUUUCCCUAAUAUGAGAUUCAUACAGUCUGACAACUUCAAUAAGCCUAUAAGAAACUCUUAACAACCUCAAUUUGAUUGUAAUUUGGCUAUAUAUUCUUUUACUGUAAGUAACGAUCUCUAACGACCUUUUUGUUGUUGUGGAUUAAUAGAUGUAUCUUGAGUCAAACAUUAAAGGAAAAGAGGAGCCUAGACACAGAAGAAUGAUGAAAGAGGAGAUUGAGCGAAAUAUAGAUGGAUUGAUACGUAGAAAUGGGAUUCCUGAAAGGUUAAAUCAUAAUGUAAAGUCACGGAUCAUGGAAAAUGUAGAAGAAAAUUUUCAACAAUAUGAUCAUUAUUGGGAUUUGCUCGAUUGGGAUCACCUCGUUCCUGGUCUUCCCUUGGAUUUUCAAAAAGAGAUCAUAAGUUACAUGCCAUUGACAAAGUUGAAGCAGGUAAGGUUUCUUCAAAUCCAUGAAUCCAUGGCUUUAAUUUUGAACAUAGAGUUUGAGGCAUUUAUUUAUUUAUAGCUCUCAUCCCAAUAUCCCAUGCAUGCGCAUGUGAUAUUAUAGCUCCCGGGCAUUUAAAUACAGCAUAACGAACAUAUACUAUACCAAUCCCAACCUAGGGCCUAGGCUACAUAACAAUCUAGCUCUUGCCCAUGAUAAGGUGGAGCAUAAGUACAUGAGACAGAAAAAAACAAACAAAAGAAAAAAAAAGCUGUCAAAUAGAAGAGUUCGCGGGCCAGUAAAGACCAUCCACUUGGUACUUUCUAAUCCUUGUCUUUCACACCAAUAAAUUUUGGAAUGUGCUAUCUACACAUCUUAUUUUACUUCUCACACACUCUUUGAUAAUUUAUGUCCAUUGAUCUUCUUCAAUUCAUCCAAUCCGACGGCCGAAAAUUAAAAAGGGGUGUGAAGUAAAAUGGGGUUUGUGGAUAUUACAUCCCUAAAUUUUAAAAGGAAAACCAUCCACUUGGAUACUUUUUUAUAUUACUUGAAGCAUGUGAACAUUUGUAGUUAUAAUCAUCCGAAUAACCCAACAAUGGUAAUUAACUAAAACCAGAAAGAAAAGAAAAAUUAAAAAUAUGCUAUAAAAAAGUGAGUGGUAGAAACAGAAAAACGUGAUACUUAUGGGGUUGCAAUAAUGUCAUUGAUAGCAAAAAAAUAAAAUAAAAGAGUCAUUAAUGACGUUUUUAUUGUCACAAUUCAUUUAAGAAAAAUACUAUGAGGUGAUUUAAAAAAACAAUCAUUAACCGUCGUAUUUUAUGAUCUACAAAGUAUAAUUUAAAUAGAUCUAAAGCCACAAUACAUCAUUGCAACCGAGCAACAAUCACCUUUCACAUUUACAUGGCCACCUUUUCUUGUAGUGAGCAAACACAAGAACGGUCCCAGGGCUGCAGAUUUUAAUUAUAUUUUAAUAAAAACGUUGGAGAUUAAUGAUGGAUGGAAAGUUUUUAAAAUUCAUGAGUUAGUUAUAGCUAUAUAAUUAUGUAUUAGAUUUUUUUAAUAUGUCAAUUAAGUUACUUACAUGUUAUAAAAUGUAGAUGCCAGCAUUCCAGUACAUGAAUGAUGAAGUGAUGAAAGAAAUUUGUAGCCAUCUUCGGCCCAUGAAGUAUAAUCGUACCGAUAACAUUAUUGAUAAGGGUAACCCAAUUCAAAUGUUGUUGAUUGUGGAAGGAAGCAUAGGCCAAGAAGGUUGGGUAAAAGAUGCAGGAGAAAUCUAUGGAGAAGAACUUCUGGUUUGGCCAUUCUCGACCUCUUUCCCUAACAAAGUACCUACAGCAGCUGAGUCUCCUUUUGUAAGUACGGAUGUUGUUGAAGCCCUUGUUCUGACGGCCAGUGACAUGGAGAGUGUAGCCACUAAAUUCCGGAAACAUUUCAUAAAAAAUUACGGCAAAUUCGUACGCAUGGAGAGUGCAUUCCCUUACGACUAUUCUGAAGGGGAUAUUAAGAAGGCCACAACAAACUACACGUGUUUGAACAAUCCAAAUGAAGGAGGCUAUGGAACAGUCUACCACCCAGAAUUAAAUGGAAGAUCUGUUGCCAUAAAAACGUGCAACAGUACUACUGGUGACCCGUUCAUCCAGAGUCAACGUCUGGUUCAUGAGGCAUUUGUUCUUUCUCAAAUCGAUCACGAAAAUGUGGAGAAGCUGUUAGGUUGUUGUUUAGAGACAACAUGGCCUAUAAUGGUUUAUGACCGCACCAAUGCUUUGACUUUUGUUGAGCACUUUCACAGAAACAAAUCAAAACUCUCGUUGGAAUCACGAAUGACGAUAGCAGCGGAAACUGCAGGAGCUCUAGCACACAUGCACUCCAGCUCAGUCAUACACCGAGAUGUGAAGACAGCGAAUAUAUUAAUAGAUCAUACAACUCACACUGUACAAGUUACCGGUUUUGGAGCUUCACGAUUGCUUGAUGAAGAUGAAGGUGAAAUGGAAGAUCGAGUGUCAACUUUGCCAAGGACAUUGGGAUACUUAGACCCCGAGUAUCUUGAAUCACACAUGCUAACAAAGAAGAGCGACGUCUAUAGCUUCGGAGUUGUUCUAGUGGAGCUACUAACACGUCAAGAGUCAGUUUCUUCUAACGGGUCUGAAACAUCCCUAGCAAACGACUUUGUUCGUUCAGUGCAUGAGGAUCGCUUGGGCCAAAUUCUCGAUGGUGAAAUAAACACAGACAAGUUUAGUUAUGAGAUGGCCAAAAAAGUGAGCGAGCUUGCCGUGACAUGUUUGAGGUCAAGGGGAGAGGAAAGGCCUUCCAUGGAAAAAGUAGCUGAGGAGCUUGAGGGAGUAGUGCAAGCUAUUAUGAACAGGGUAGAGCAUUCUACGGUGGACGAUAAUAUAUCUUCCGCUUCUAGAACUUCCGAGUGAAGUAUUGAUGUGAACCCGUGCGGCUGGUUUCAGUUUGAGUCUGUGCUUGUGAAAUAAUUGACAAGUAAGAUGCAUUUGGUAGUUUGAGUAAACCGUGGAAUUUGGAAUUAGUAUCAAAUAUUGUAACCUUAUAUAUUUUUGCCCCUUUCAUUUAUCUUUGCACUUCUCUUGGCUCAAACCUGGAAUUAUCUAUUGGCCCCCACAGAAAUCCAUAACUCUAAAAAGAGAUGGCCGAAAUUCAGAACUAGAGAACCAUAAAUAGAAUCCACUAGAAAUUGUGUCUCGUUGUUGUAGGAUUGAAAAUGAGAUGCAACAAACGUAACUUCAUUUCAAUAGCAAAAAAGAAAACUGACAUUUGGUUCAAAAAUAUUAGAGGAAGUAUAGGUCGUAAUGUGUGACAUGCAAAGGUGCUACUAAUUCAAAUUUCCAACAUGCUCAGCAAAUUUCUAACUUUUCAGAAGUAAUUAAAUUGAAACUAAUAGAUGUUUCUUCUGCAUACUGAUUAUUGAAGAUUCGUUGAGAAGAAUGAAUCCGUAACUUACUUAGGUUUCAAAGUGGACUACACCAUCCAUUAAUCUAAACAGAACUGUCUCAGCAAAGCAAACAAUUUAAUCUCAUUCCUCUAGAAAUGGCAUGUUUUAUUACUUCACAAAGCUAAUUUCUUCCGAAAGAUUCAAAGCAAGUUGUUUUUAACAUUAAAAUACCACAACAUGAUUAACACAUUAAACAAACAGUUUCUCCAAUUACUAAACAGUUUUAUUAAUAUAGAUUAUUUUCUUGUACAGAAUUGAUGUAUCAAAGCAAGUGGUAAUUAUCAAAAUGAAUAUGUUAACAUACUCUUAUAAGCAUAAUCCAAUAACCUAAAUAUAGUGUUUUAAUCGAUAUCAACAAUAAAAAACAACGCAAUUGUAAACAUAAAUUUAGGUGCUUUAAUGGUUAAAAACCAUGUAAACCGCCUAGACAUGAAAAAAUAAAAAAUAUAUGAAAAUUAAGGACGGACUUGAGCUCGGAGUUCACAUAGAACUUUUAAGAGUAGCAAAUGCUCUAUUGGAUUGGGUUCCUUGUAAUGAGAUAUCUCCUCUGCACAAACAACACAAUGGCAAAAAUGUUAGUCUAUUUAAAAAAUGAAAACAAAUUAAAUACAGUAAACGAUGCUAAGAUGAAUAAAACUGAAACCCCAGACAACAAAUUAAUAGCUGGGAAGAAAGGGGAAAAAAACACACAUGAAUAAAAUUUCUAAUUUUCGACCACCCCUAAUUUAUCAUUAAGCUAAGUAAAUACACGACAAGCUCAACACAAUCAUAACAAUAAGAAUUUUCAAAUAGUUAAAUAAAUAUCAACUACCCUACACAGGAAUUGAACAUUAUUAUCACUACCAUGUAUUCAGUUUCAUUUCAAGCUACUAUCUAAUAAAACCUUUCAGUCAAGGUUUCUGUAAAUUAAUUUCAAUUUGAAUAACAAAACUAUUUUUAGUAAAUUUCUUUACAUCUUAUUACAAAUUAUUACAUCUACUCGGAUUUUUAUACACUGAAGAUAAAGUUAAAGUCCUUACGUCACAAUCUGAAUUGAGAUCUAGCUCAUUGAAUCACUAUUCAAUGCAAGGAGAGGUUACACCGCUCUUGUGGUCCUCCCUUCAGGGGAUUGAUCGUGCCUCCUCCCAUUGAAUACUGGUGGUGAAGCCCUACAACGCUUAAGGCUUUGGCUGUUAUGAGGACUCCUCAAUCUUCUCUCCAAACUCCUUUCUCUCCUCACGGGUGAUCGGGAACAAUUGCACAUUAGAAAAAAAUAAUCGAGUUUCAGCAAAAUACCCAGACAAAUGAUAUGCAUACAUAGAAAUUCGAUGUGAAGAACAAAGUGUCAGCUGUCGACUACCUGACACUCUCCCCCUCCUCCUUUUUCCAGCCUUGGGACCAGCAGCGUACAGUUUCAUAUGAAUCCAUAACUUGUACCUGUGUCUGAUCGCGUAAAUAAUCUCCGAUGAUAUUACCUCUCUCAAGUCUUUGGUGGUAUUACAAAACCAAUAUCAUCAUCUAUGGCAGUCUGUUGUAGUCAAAGUGUCGCAGUAGUUUCUUAGCCACGCAGAAGCAGAUUUGAGGAUAUGAUGUUCACCAUUGAGGAGAUCCUGAGCCAUUUGCCUCCGGAUAAAAAGUCUUUCACAUGUAACUGGAGAGCUUACGGGUCCCAAAGACUAUGCACGCACUCAAGAAGCACAAAAAGGAGUUACUACAUUUGUAGUCAGAUGCAACAUCAUGUAAACCAUAGAAAUGAUUAUAUUAAAAUUCCACUCUCUUCAUAUGUUUAUUACUGCUUCCCAAACGCCUACGACUUCUCCAGUUAUAAAAUUCCUCAACUUCAUUAAUAUCUCAACCAAAAUGAGUAUGUUACUGCAACACUUCAACUGAUUAAAUAUGGGUAUGCUUAAGAAUUCCUUCAUUCAAAAGAACCGUAAUUGGUGUAUGCUUUCGGAAUUAAUGCAUUAUCAUAGAAAAUAAUGAACUCUUGCUUAGCUUAGCUUAGACAAGUUCUGUAAACGAAGGGGGUAAAAAGUUAUCAUGUUCUGCAGCUUCAAUCUCUCUGCUGCUGUUUGUUAAGGGACAUCAAGCCAAUCGACCACCAUGUUCUGCAGCUUCUUUGGCCAGGUCACUAAGUUUUGAAUAUUAAGAAACAAUCAAUAAACUAUUUGCAGAUGAGUCAUAAGGUUAAAUGAGCUCAGAAGCAUAUUAAGCAAUGCAUGCGAGUAAGUUAACAUGAAGAGAAACACACCUUGAGGAGAGGCGCAACAUAGAACACGAGCAAAAGCACCAAGUGACUGAGGAAUUCCUCUCCCUUUUCGGCUACCGGACCUAACUUCCCUAUGUCAUCAUACGAUUAUUGUAAUCAGUAAAAGAUUUUCAUCACAAGAUAUCAAGUCAUCACACGGAUAACUGCAUUAGUUAAACAAGACUGGAAAUGGAACAAAAGAAACAGAAUAUUUGACUUCACAGAGUACCACUAGAUACGGGGGAGAAAGGCCAUCAUGUAGGCAAAGGAACAAAAAGAAGGGAAAAAAGGAAAUAAAAGAGAUACAGUGCAUCACUACCAACUUGAUAGUGAAAGAAUCCAUUGAAGAGUCGAAACCAUUGACAUCAUUACUGAUUGGUCUGUGAUGUCUCUUCAAAAGUUCCCACUCCAUUUCACGAAGGCAUCCUUAACAUUUACAGAUUACAUAUAACAAAACCAUCAUCCAGAACGUGUAUUCAGUAACUUACUAAUUGACACAGGAGUCUUCAAGCAAACUUACUGAACAAAGAGAUUAUAAAUACUCAACUAACUGCAAUUACUAUGCUCCCAUGAAAGACAUCCAACUUAUCAAAGAGGUUUUUAAGCAAGCGCUAGAUCAAAAGUAGUCUUGUUCUUCGAGUCAAAGAGAGAAUAGUUUUGUUACCAAAAACAAACUUCUAGUCAAAGUGUUAAAUCAAAGUAAGAAGUGUGAAUUAAGCAACAGAAACAUUUUCCCAACACAACAAAGCAAUCAUUGUGACUAUAGUGAACUGAAAUCCAAGACUGACCCGGUCGUGGAUGUUGUAUGAAAGUGUAAACCCAAAGUCCAGAAGCAGGGUAGCAUUUGAAAAUUUUCCGUAUCUUAUCAAUACCUAUACAAAUAUACAAAUUGAAGUCCAGAGUUACAACUUUAAACAACUACUUCUGCAACGUAACCAUAGUCACGAACUGCCGCAGAGGAUGUUUCCGUGUACCAUCCAUUCAUACUAAUAAUAGGAAACCCCAAACUUCCAGUAAUUUCUAAAUAUUAAUUCCACAGCAUAUCUCAAGUAAUAUUGUGCUUUUUACUCUAACAUAGACCCCGUGUUCAUGUGUUGUGAUCCGUUAUCUGUUAACAUACCCAUUCAACCGUAACCUCAUACUCAUUUACCUAUUUACCCAUUUACCCUUUUUUACUCAUUUACCCUUUUUUUUUACCCAUCUACACUUUUUUUUUACCCAUUUAUAGGUACAUUUAACAUGCAUUUCCGUAUUUCAAUUUUUUAAGUCCUCGUACCAUUCCAAUAAUUGAAAUUAUAGUUUACGGACGAUAUUUUUAGCUAUUAUUAAUGAACGUAAUAUAAUAUAUUUGGUAAGAAUUUAUACUAAGUUUUCAUGAAACUUUAAUGUCCCUCAUUCAAACACAUAAUGUUAAGAGUAUUUUUCACUCUUUGCUGAUUAAUUUUGAGUUUGAUGUUCGCAUUCUAACAGUAGUUAAUAAGGAUUUUUUUUUUAAUGCAACUCGGGGUAAUUUUUUUCUCUUUGUUUGUGUGUAAAGAUGUGGAGUUUAUACUGUUAUUUUUUUUAACAAAAUUUAUUGAUUCGGGCCUAGCCCCAAAACAAUAUAUAUUGUUACUGUAUAACAAACCUCAUCAAGCGGAAUUGUGCAUGCUCGCAGCUAGCUUGACAUAUAUUAAAUAAACGGUUAAAUGAGAACCCGUUUAUAACGGCUAGUAAUAUACAUAACCACUUAUUUAAAUUUACUUGUAAACUGUUAUACGCAUAACCGUUUAUUUAUUUUUUAAACGGUUACUAACAACUGUAAUAAUGAAUUUUAAAUAGACAGGUAAUCGCGGUUACUCAUAUUCGUGAGUAUUUUGCUCAUCUUUAGGUGUGAAUAGUGCUUUUGUGUCAUUGUAAUGGAUCGGGUAUGGGCCAAAUUGAAUAAUAGAGUACAAAUUUUUGGGUUGUUAUGGCCAUUUCAAGUGGAAGGACAUGGGCUGAUUUCAAGUGGAAGGACACGGGCCCUUUUCACCUUUCUAUUUUUUGUGUUUUUUUUAGUCUUAUUUUAUUUUAUUUUCUAUGAAAAUGGUGACAGCUGGCAAGAGUGGUGGUGAGAGUUGAUUGUUAUGGCCACUGGAAAGGUAAGAUGGUUUUAAGCUGGAAAGUGAUUUGUUAGGUGAAUAAUUGAAGAAAUGGGUCCCAGUUUUGAGAUGCCCAAUUAGCGCGUGUUUGUGAGUAUUCAACCUGAUUUAAUCUUAUUUGACCAAUAAAAAUACAUGAUUUAAUCUUUGUUUUAAACGAGAGAUUUUUCUGUAACUGGUAUACGAGGUGAUACACCACGUGUCGCUAUUCAAAUGGUGUGAUAUAUGUGCUAAAAAGUUAAUAACUUUAAAAUAAAAUUUCUCAUCAUUCCUAUUAAAAUACAUGGUAUACUACUUGUAUUCCGGUCACAACGAAAAAUUUCUCAUUUUAUAUUGAGCUUCUCCUUCAUAAUUGACUUUUCCUCAUCCCAAAUAUAGAUUUGACGGAUGAGGAUCUUUUCCCAAUCCUUUUGCGAAGAUCUUAGUGAUCUUCACAUUUUAAGUUCUUUUUAGAUAUUAUUUGUGUUUAAUUUUAAAUAAAAAAAUUUAAAAUAUUUAUAAUCGCACGAUAUAUAAUGAACAGCUAGGAUGUGAGGAUUUAUAUGACUCUCACAAUUUGGAUCUGGGAUUUGAGUCCUGGUACUGAUAUUUCCAGUUAAAAAAAAUGAUUUGAGUAAUUAAACUAGCGUUCCCUAAUAUUUCUUGCCUGCUACUUUUUAUAAAACUAUAAAAAAAUUCAAGCUAUUCUUUAUUGUGCAAUAUAUACCUGGCGAAAACAUUCACACAAAACUUGUGAUGUACCUUUGCAAACAGUAAUUUGCGCAAUUGAAAAUAAAAUCAUACGAAAAUAUUGUUUAUUAAUCUAUAUUUUAUAUUAGUAUGAUAAAUACUAUUUAUAAGUUCGUACGUGAUGUUUACAUCGAAUAAAAAAUUUGGAAACAACGACAUUUUACCAAACUUGGAAGAAAAUGCCACCUAAAACCACCAAAACCUAUCAUGUCAGUCACCUUUGGUUACAACGUAUUAAUUUUAGAACCAAAGUAAAGCAUCUAAUUAAAUUAAUUGUAAAACACAAAAAACAAAGGUCAAUUCUUUAUUAUUGGAAAUUCAUAACGAAGCUUGCAGGAAAGGGCCACUGAAAGAUGACAACAUGGGCGGCAAGUUGCGGAACACGUCAGUGCAAGCGAUCCGCACAAUGCGAUUACGAGUGGGGAGGCAGAUUGUCUGCCUCCCGGGUAUCCUUCAUAUCUCUUUCUAUUUGUACGGUCACAGUUAAGUCAUGUUAAUAUUUUAUAUUCUUAUUACUUUUUGUCUUAUUAUCUCUAAAAAAUUAAUAUAAAAUGUUGACGUGACUUAAUCGUGACCGUACAAAAUAGGAGAGGAUGGAAAGGGUAUUCAAAUAAGAAAGCAGACAAUUUGCCUCCUUACGAGUGUAUACACGUAAGAGAUUAGUUUCUUCUUUUCACAUUGUAAUAUUUUAAACGACUUCAAUUUACAAAUGUAGCACACUUCUUUAGCUAAAUGAUGUCUGUAAAAAAAGCAUCGAGGGAAUAUGGUUGGAUCAAUUAGUUUAAUUGCAAUAAAACAAAUACAUUGUUAUAACUAGACCCGACUUGCAUCCAUGUACAACUCGAACUUACAAGUUUUGGACCGAAUUCGUUGCAGUUCAAGAUUACACUGUCUUAUCCAAAAAAAUUCUGUGUUAAAAGAGUGGACAAAAGAGUGACAUUAGAUUAAACAGUUGGAUAUCAAACUUGACACACUGCUUAAACCAACUGACCGAAUAACGACGGAUGAUCUAAGCAAAAAUUAACUGAAUUUACAUAUAAUUAGACCGCAAUUAUAGAAAAAAAGCACAACCCUAGGCGGCUGGCAAUUUAAUGGAACGUAGUGGGGACCCACCACCUUGGAUUUGAUUAGAUUCUCUCCUUCCUCUUUCUCUCGCUCUCUUUCUCUCUCUCUCUCUUUCUCCCCCCUUUCCCUCUCUCCCUCCCUUGCUUUUCUCUCUCAAUCUUCAAUCACCUCCUUCUCAAACUUUCACACCUUUGAUCAAGCCAAAGCUCCUUCAAACUCUCUCCCAGCAGGUAAUUCCUCCUCAUUUUCCUGCAACUUUCGCACCUUUGAUCGGAUUUCGUUACUUUCGUCAACGCGUUUGCGAUUUGAAUUCAGAACUUUGAUUUCAGGUAUUUUCCUGGAAGCUUCUGGACUGGUUUCAAUUUCGCGUAUUUUGAUUUCUUUUCCGUCGAAUUUAGUAGAUCUGGUUGAAUGGAUUCGACCCCAUCGGUUUCAUUGGCGGCUUUUGGCUUUUGGAAAAUGUUUGAUUGUUUUUUUUAUCAGAGUGAAAGUGCUUAUUUAUGAAGCCGAAAACUUUCUCUUUUUAUAUGGAUCGUUCGGACUUGUUUCGUUUGAAUUGAAACGCUACGGGCAAUUCGUUUUUUGGGUUUUAGUUAUUACAGCAUAAACAGCACGGAUAAAGGGUCUCUCUUUCUGCUUAUGCUUUUGGGAAAAGUGUUUGUUUUGUGGGAUCUAUUAGGGUUUUAAUUUGGUGUUUAGAUUGUAGCUUGGUUACUUAAUUAUUCUAGAAAAUGAUCUUAGAGUUGGAAAAUUGGUUUGAGUGUAGUUUUCAUAUUAUAUCAAUAUAUAUUUGUUAGUAUUAUUUUGCAAGUUAUAUUGCAUAAUUGCAUCUGUUCACACAAUAUGUAAAACUUCUUCCUUUUUUUCUCACUUGUCGUUUUUCAAUUUGCCGAUCAGCCAUGAUGUGUUCUUUACUUGUCUACAGAUAGUCUAUUUCGUUGACUUAGAGUUUGCUGUUUUAUCUUCGAUUUCCUUUACAUGUGCUAUUGGGUUCUCUUGCUAAUGUAUAUCUUUGAUUUUUGUUAUGGUUGUGUGCAGGAUAUUGAAAUUGGUAGUGUGAUAGCUAGAAGAAGUGGAGAAAUUGCACGGUCGUAUUAGCUAACUAAAUUUGGUUUUUAGAAAAAUAGUGUAGCUGCAUAAUUAUCAUAGUGGUGGUCUUGAAAGUGACUUCAGAACGAAUUCAGGGUCCUGCUAAUUGCUAUUGACUUUGAUUUAUAGACGAGAAGGGGUAAUAUAAGAUUGCAAAAUCUUGGAAUCAUGCCGGUAUCGGGAAAUGAAGAGGUGUUUAUUUCCUUUCUGAAAACUGCUAACUGAGAUCAGAGUCUCCUUUAAAUUUAUUGUUUUUUCUGAUUAUUGAUCAAUUAAAUCUUUUGUUGGCAGACUGGGGUUAAACCCGUCACCCGGAAAUCUAGUGAUUAUAGUGCAGGUGUUCCUAUCAAGAAAAGGAGGUUUUUCAUGAGGCCUCCUUCACCUCCUCCUGAAGAACCAAUUUUGUUUCCGAAAGAAGAACCAUCUUCUUUUCCAGCAAAAAUUAAUUCAGUACACGAGGAAUCUCGGGGGUCGACUCCUUCAUAUGUUAGUAUCACCAGUUCUGGACUUUCUGAUGCAAACAAGAUUCCUGAAUCCGAUUAUGGAAAAGGAAACUCUGGCGUUGCAAAUGUUAGUGUGGCUCGAGGAAAUGAUAAUAUCUUUAGAGUCAAACUUGAAGAACCUAGCCUGACGAUUCACUCGAGUUCUUUGGAUGACAUGCAGGGGAAGGGGAAGCUUGUCUUGUCUGAUAAUCCUACACCUGAGUUGACUUUAAGGAAAAGUGAAUUGACUUUAGCACCAAAUGAAGCUCUUGCAUCUAAUGUAGGUACGGAGAUUUUGCAGAGCCAAAGUAAAGUAGAAGUGAAGUGCAAAGAAGAAAUGCCUGCUGUUGCUGAGAGUACUGAAUUAUCAUUAGGUUUAAGAGAACAUCUUGCUCCAGCUUUGACAGGACGGGUUAUUGGUGAUGACAGGAGUUACCGGAAUCAGGGUAACUUGGAGCCUAUGUCACUGGAUUUGUCUUUAAGUAAAGAAAAAACCAGCAGCCAAUGCGACAGUAGUGGGAAAGGUUUGAAUUCCCUUGGUGCUGAUAUGAGUGCAUGUCGAGCAAACUGGGAUUUGAAUACACCAAUGGAUGCAUGGACAGAUACUGUUAGCGAUUCUUCCGUAUUCUUUUAUGGGAGUAAUGCAACUGGUGGGGUGAAUUGCACAACUGGGUUGGUUGGAGCUGGUGUUAACAAAGAAAAACUGUCCAUUGUUCAGACUCAGAACAGAGGUAAUGAGCCCGUCUUAUCCACACUUGCUAACCAGUACAAGCCCAAUGACUCCCUUCUUUUGCGCCUUAGUUCAUCUUGCUCGCAGUUAAACCAGUGCCAAAACCCUUCUAGUUCAUCCAGUAAACUGGAUUUACAUAGGGUGAUAUCUGCUACAAACGUACCUAGAUUGUUUGGGCCAAUUAGAAAUUUGAACUUGGGUAAUCAUAAAACUGUGAAAUCAGAACCAUUUGACGAGGGUGUCAAACUAGAUGUUAAUGUAUCUAAACUGGAUGUUAACGUAUCUAAACCCAGUAACACAGGAUUAGUAGAUAGUAGUAGAGCAGUGAAGUGUGGAGUCGUUGAGCAGGGGAAUCUUGGAGCUGUUAAGUCUUCAAAUACGAGCACCCGACAUUCAGUCGAUGCUAGACCCAUAAAAUCUGAACCAACUCAUGUGGAUCCUCAAGAAACCAUCAAGUCAAUUGAAGGCACCUCAGUUCAACUGGAUAAACAUUUGAUACAAGGUCUGGAUAAUCGUUCUUGUGACAUGACAUUGCCUAUGACUUCAGAGGUGUCUUGCCGUGUUGGAAAGCCUUGUUCAACGGAGUUGACUAUGAGCAGGGAUGUGAUAAAGCAUUCUGGAAACGUUAUUGCAUAUGCGCCUAUGGAAGCUUGUCAAAGCAAAGAUCAGGUUGCUGUAUCUCAGGGUCCUGAUACUAAGGGAAACAAUACGAGAACAGAAGAUGGUAAUGUUGACAGCGAGAGUUGUAAAUUGAAGUUUAUGAAUGAUCAGUCACUUGAUUCACGGGGAAGUGGUGAGGGUUCUGCCAGUGAUGAGGAAAAGAUUAAUAUAUCUGGGGAUAUGCUGGAAGAUUCUUAUGGUUCUGAUUGUGAAUCAGAUGGUGCUCAUGCUUUAGAUACAACCAUGGAUACUGAACAAGAUGGUAAACGUGAUGAUUAUGAAGACGGUGAGGUCCGAGAGUCAGUGGAGCUUACUGCGGUAGAGGAACCUAUAUGUAUGGCAAGAGAAGUGGAACAUGACGAUAAUGAUGAUUUUGAUAAUAAAAGGACAGAGCUUGUGGGACCUAUUAACAAUGUUCAGCCUACAUCAUUCUAUUAUGAGGCAAAAGACAACAAAGACAAUCUUGCUGAAACAAGUAACAAUAAUUAUAAAGAAUCUUUCCAGGUAGUUUGUAAUGAUAAAUCUGAUACGUGCUCUGAUGAAGAUAUGAGUUUGCAUGAAGAACCAUUAGCUGUUGAAAAUCUAACAAUCGGGGCUGGUGUGGAAGGGUCAACAGAACCUGAUGAUCAAGCAGUGAAGAUGGAUGCCCAGAAAUGUCAGGAUGCAGAGUUCUCCGGGCAAGUCAUUAGUGGAAAUCAAGGAACUGUAGUGGAAAGUGGUCAGGGUAAAGAGCUGCACGUAAAUAACACUGACCUGGCACCAAUGGGUGACUCAAAUUUGCCCAAAACAUCCGGUAGUGGUGAUAAUGCUGCUAAGGAUACCAGUUAUGGAGGACAACGGAGCAGGAUAAUAACUUUGCCUCGAUCUUCAACUGUUUCUCCGAGUAAAUCAAUAUCUAUUUCAGGACAGCCUUUGCCGUCAAGAGUUGGAAGAGAAAUAUUAACUGAUGUAGAAAUGGAGGAAGAGAAUAUACAUUCUCGAGGGAGGUGAUUAUUUUCCCUUGUUUUGUAUUUUGACUUUUGUUUGAUUUUGAGGGUUAAUAGUUGUAUUCUAAUCUAAAUCUUUUCCCUUUUGCCAUUUUUUCCAGAGGUGAACCAUAUGUUAACAGAAACCCGGGAUUUUCAAGGGAGCGAUACCAAGAUCAAUCACUGAGAUAUCCUAGAUUAGGUUCUGGACGUGGUAGAGGGAGGAUGCAUAGUCGUGGCAAUUGGGGUUCUGAUCGUAACUAUGCUUCGGAGCUUUAUAAUAAUCAAACAAACUAUCGUGUCCCCAGACAUAAAUAUGCACCUAAUGUUUCUGAUGCUGACCUUGAAUAUAACACUUACAAUAUGCCUCCAGAUAGUGCAUUUUAUGGUACAGGUCGUGGAGGAAGGAAGCUUUCAAAUGAUGGACCACUUAACUACCGUAUACCCUCAAGGAGGCGGUCUCCUGUUGGAGUGCACACCAUUUACAUGCCUCGCCGAAAUCCAAGAAAUAUUAGCCCAACCAGAUUCAACGGUGAAGAUGCUCCAAAUUUGGUUGGAAUGAGGCAUAAUGAGAAGUUUAUGAGGGGUUUCCAUGAUGAUAGUGCAGACCCCAUGUUCACUCGUAGCCAACCUUCAUAUGAGGGAGUGCAUGGUCAAUUUGGACGAGGCAAUCGGAACUUUUCUUUUGCACAGAGGAGAGGGAUUCCCAGAGUUAGCUCAAAAUCGCCAAUAAGGUCCAGGACUCGCUCUCCUGGGCCAUGGUCUUCUCCUAGAAGAAGAUCCCCAGAUGGAUUUGGUGGGCCUAGAGAACUGACUCAUCGAAGGUCUCCACCAGUUUACAGGAUGGAGAGGUUUAGAUCCCCUGAUGACCCAUGUUUUCCCGGAGAGAUGGUGGUUAGAAGGAAUCCGUCAAAUGAUUUGAGGAAUAUGGAUCCUGGAAGAGACCACGGCCCUCCAAGGUCUGUUAUUCCCAAUGGGAGUCCUUCAAGCCGGAGUUUAGUCAGAAACAGGAGAUUUGAUGUCAUGGAUCCUCGAGAGAGGCCAAAUAAUGGCAAUUACUUUGGGGGGGCCAUGCAUUCUAGCCGUUUGCAUGAGCUUGGUGGUGAUGGAAGUGGUGAUGAGAGAAGAAGAUUUGCUGAGAGACGUGGACCCGUCCGUUCAUUUAGACCUUAUAAUGGUGUUGGUGGUGAGACAUUUCAUCUUAACGGAGAGGAUGGCCCUAGGCCUUUGAGGUUCUGCCCAGAUGAUAAUACCGAGUUUCAAGAAAGAGGCAAUUUGAGGGAAAGGGACUUUGACAGAAGGAUUAAGAAUCGGCCAGGAAAUGCUCCUAGAAGAAUGAGAGGGAUUGAAGACCAAGAAGCUAAUUGCGGACAUGGUGAACAGCCUUGGCAUGAUGGUGUGUUUGAUGAUACGUCACAAGUGAAGAGAAAAAGAUUUUGAAUUUGCUUCUGUCAUGACCUUGAAUUCGGGAUUGGUUGUUCAUGUCCGGCACACAGAAUUAGUCACUUUUCUGGGACAUUCUGUUGACUCAAAGCAUUAAAAAAAGUGCCAUUCUGUUUGCAUAGGAUGUUCUGUGGGCCUUCUCCAGUUCCAAGCUUUGCUUAUGAUUCUGUGGUUUCAGGACUGGAUGCAAAUACAGCCUUGCUUAAUUGUCUCCCAUGUAAAUAGUUUGCAUCUGGUACUGGUACUAUGGUGGUUACUGGUUAGUUCUUCUCGAUGCUCAUAUUACAGUAAUUAUGGGUUUUACAUGUAGUGCCUAAAUUUCAUUAGCAAUAUGUGUACUUGCCAUAGGUCUUGGUUGCACAUCACAUCUCGUAAGGUCAUUAUCGUGGAGUUAGCCAUUUAAAUGCUUAUGCGAAGAUUCUCCCUAGUUUCUGAGUUAUGUUUCUGCAUUGGUUUUGAUGCUUGGUGAGCCAGGGCAGGUAUCCUACAAGGAGCUGUCAUCACUCUUAACUAGUAUUUAGGCCACAAAAGCUCCAAUUAUAACUGCGUCUCAUCACUUUCUUCACGUCCAUCUUCCUGUCGCACCUUGUGUGACCUCAGAUGAGAAGCCCAUCGGUACUGUUUGAUCUUCGAUUUGAAAAUUUUCUUCGUUCCUGGUUAUGCGAUCUGCAGCAAUCGGCAGAGAAGCAGAUCAUGUACAAGCUUUCAGUAUAGAACAUCUUAUUGGUUGGAGGUUGUAAUGAAUAAUGAUAUGCAGAAAUGUUGGAAACUGAUGUGAAGGAGAAGUUUGCUCCGUUACUUGUUAUGUAUGAAUAAUGGAACGGGCUUUGUCAGCAAGUUCUGGAUCGGCUGCUAAGCUUACUGGUACUGAAGUACACAGGUGAAUAAUGCUGUGUAGGAGGUUGUUUAUAUCUGUUGAUCUGUUCUUUGUUUUCUUGACUGUUGGGUAGCUGACAUGCUAUUAGGGAAUUUAGAAACAUAUUUGUCUGAACUUCCUGGAGCUGUCAUGCAACGCUUUGUGCGCUUCUUAGUUCUCAUGCGCAGUUAAAUGCCGACUGGAAUCGGCCACAAAACGGGGAAUGUUGGGUGUAUAAUCCGUUAUGUUGUGGAGACAGUUAUCCCCCUGGAAAUUUAGUACAUCGAGAUUUGUCAAAACUUGAAAAAGUUGGUUGGUUUUUGAGUCGUACUUUGAACUUCUUGGAUCUGUUUUUGUAGUAGGUCUGGGCAAUGAAGGUGUCGGGAAGUCUUAGAACUAGUCUUUGUGUUUCCUGUGCUACUUUCCUUCCUCAUUAGAUCAGCAGCAAGGUUGAGAAGUUGGAUCCGGUUACCGGCCAAACUUGAUCCGGUUGCCGGCCAAACUUGCCGUAAGACCCGGUUGCCGGCAAGACUUGUCGUAAGACUCGGAACUGGCCUCUGCAUCUAAAUAUAACCUAAAAAUCUAUUAAUAAGUGUGAGGUUGCAGAUGAGUAAGGGGUAAAGUGAAUUUACAAUUUCGACCGCGCAUUCCACUUGUGGCAUGGAAUUACUUCUAUGAGUGGGGGCAUUUAUGGAAUUUUAUUGAGUUGAUUUCCAAUUUUGUGUUGGUAUUUACAUUGUUGAAUGCCAGAAAAUGACAACCUUGUUUGCGUAUGGAUGGGUUGGUUGUGUUGGACCAAAAUUAAACAUUUUGAGUGUGACGUGAUUAAGAAUAAUUUUGGAUUAAUGCAAACUUAAUUGAUAGUUUUAUUGAAAUUGUAAAGAACUAGCAUUGUUUGACACGACCAAUGAUUCAAGUGCGAUACAAAGUGGGCACUCUCUAACUUGACUUGCUGUGAAGGAUGAAUUUUUGCUCAUUUGGUAUGCGUAUUGUCAAAUUCUCAUAAUCACUUCUCAUAAUCACUUUUGGGAAGUACGGAAGCGGUGCGUUUUUGUAAAAUCACUUAGAGAGGCACAUUAGAGGUGUUUUUGUAUAAAAUCAAGUCAUUUUUCAUGUGAUUUUAUAGAGAAGCACUUCUCAUGUGCUUCUUUCAUUUCCAAACAGGAAUUAUAUGAAAAUCGCCAAUAUUAUUACAAAAAUAAAAUUAGUUAAAUUAAAGGCUACCAAAAUUAAAAAUCUAAGCAAAAGCACGGAAAUGUUCCUUUUAUUGGAAAAUUCCUUGGGGUUCAUUUGGUCUUAUAGCCAAUGUGAGAGACUCUUUAUCAAACUUCAACCAUGUCUUCCUUCUUAAGUCUUUUUAUUGUUAAUCCAUUUUUUUUUUGCCCUCCAGAGAAAGAAAAAAACUAGAAAAAAAUAGAAUUAUUAUUUUCACCCAGAAAAAAUAAAAAAUCGUUCAUGCAUUUCUUUUUUUCACUAAAGAGGAGUGUACGGUCAUUUUAUAAUAGUGCUAAAAACAAUUCUCAAUAUAAUACAAUCCCCAACUUUUAUUGGGAAGUGUUAUUGAAACUCUAAAAAUCUCAUUCUACACUCCUCACAAGUGUAUUUUUCUUUCUAAAUAUAGAAAGUUUGGAGUGUAGAAUAAGAAUUUUGGAGUGCCAAUAACAAUUUCUUUUUCACUAACAAAGCCCACUAAACUCCCCCAUUCUGAUUUUCACAUCCCUACCAUCCAAGUUUGGACCCGAAAAAAAAAAAAAAAACCAAGUACGAUCCAAUUCAUCAUUGAUUAUGAACACGGGACAAGAUAAGUUGAAGAAGAAGACCAUAUCUAUCAUAACAAUUCAUAACUUGGAAAAAAAAAAAACGAUCUUUUUGAAAUUUAUCAGUAACACGCUUGCAAUUACACUUGGACUAUGUUUGAGUAAAGAAUUUCAAAUCUUAAGUAUUGAUGUCAAGAUAUCAAGGAAUGGAUAAAAAAAUGUAAAUACACCAUAUAAGCAUUACAAAGACAUGUAGAAGAAAUUCGUAAACCUUUCUCACAUAUCUUUGUUAUGCUUAUGUGGACCAUUUUUAAUCCUUUUACUAUAUUGAUGAUCCAUGUUUUACUUAAUAAAACAAAGUUUAUAACGGUUAUUAAUAAGAGCAAUCCUAUCACUAUUGUAAAUUUGUAAUUAAAAAAAUUCGUUGGGUACUAUUAUUCCCACACGCCUAUUGGUGAAAAAAUGUUCAUGGCAAAUGGAUACAAGUCGAGUGAAAAUAUGAAAAAUUCUCACUCUCCUCCUCAUAAAGCCCUGAGGAAAAACGGAAUACUAGCAUGAUCAAUCUUAAUCAUGCCUGUUCAAGAGAAGUUAUAACUUUCCCGGUAGGAUAAAAUUGUUGAGUUAUAUCAUACAUAUUCUUUCAAUAUAGGCUUCUUCGUAUGAGCACACCAAUUUUACGGUGUACUUUCAAUCUUUCACACAUGAUUACACUCAUUGUGAAAAAAACCAUGUCAUUAUAAAUCAUAUUCCAACUGGCACACCCUCUCCCUCCACCACUAGCGACCUAGUAAUGAAAUCUCCUUUUUCCCUAACACCAACAGGUGAGACCAAUAAGAUCACUAACCUCUAUUUGAAAUUUAUCAGUAACACGCUUACAACAUAUAAGCAUUACAAAGACAUGUAGAAGAAAUUCGUAAACCUUUCUCACAUAUCUUUGUUAUGCUUAUGUGGACCAUUUUUAAUCCUUUUACUAUAUUUAUGAUCCAUGUUUUACUUAAUAAAACAAAGUUAAUAACGGUUAUUAAUAAGGGCAAUCCUAUCCCUAUUGUAAAUUUGUAAUUAAAAAAAAUUCUUUGGGUAUUAUUAUUCCCACACGCCUAUUAGUGAAAAAAUGUUCAUGGCAAAUGGAUAUAAGUCGAGUGAAAAUAUGAAAAAUUCUCACUCUGCUCCUCAUAAAGCCUUGAGGAAAAACGGAAUACUAGCUUGAUCGGUCUUAAUCAUAUAUGUUCAAGAGAAGUUACAACUUUUCCUGCAGAAUAAAACUGUUCAGUUAUAUCAUACAUAUUCUUUCAAUAUAGGCUUCUUCGUAUCAGCACACCAAUUUUACGGUGUACUUUCAAUCCUUCACACAUGAUUACACUCAUUGUGAAAAAAAACCAUGUCAUUAUAAAUCAUAUUCCAACAGGCACACCCUCUCCCUCCACCACUAGCGACCUAGUAAUGAAAUCUCCUUUUUUUCCUAACACCAACAGGCGAGACCAGUAAGAUCACUAAUCUCUCUUGGUGCCAAUAAAAAUGUGAGGGAGAAUAGGAGAGUCGCAAGAGAUCAGGGGAGGAGGCGUCAACAAAUUUUUUUCCUAUUAUAUUUUGAAUUGAGUAAGACACUUGCAGGUGGUGCUUUAAUAAAAGAAAGAAAUAAUUGUUCGCAGGUGGUGCUUUAUCACAAUGGUGGAAAAUAAUAAUGUCUGUGUACCAAGAUACGGGUUUGAUCUCCACUAAGUUAUUUUCCCCAUGACAACCAACUAUUUAACCUACUAACGUUAUUGUUUGUAAAAAAAAAAAAUGUUGAGCUUAAAAGGACAAACCUGGCAUCAAAUUUGUAAAUAAAAUUUGGGAUUCAACUUCAAUAGUACGUAACAUUGAGUCAUAUAAAUUUUCAGUAAGAUUAACUAUUACGAAUUUCAUUAGAUCCAUGUAUCUAAUAUCUAAUCGUUACUCAGGUACGAAUAGAAAACCCCAAUUUAUUUAUUUUGUCACAAUGGUGGAAAACUAGACUUGGCAAACGGUUGUGUUCAUUUCGUGGUCGUGUCAUAUCUGUUAUUUUAACAUAUAAAAAUGUUAUCUUAAUAAAUUAUUAACAUGUGACUCUGUAGCGACUCGACUCGUUAAUGAGUCAUAUGGUUUUGUAUCAGGUUAAUGACUCAUGGAAGAAUUGUUAUGCUUAAUGUCUAGAUGACAAACAAGUCAUAUUCGUAUCAUUUACGUGUAUACUCGUUAUCUUAACAAGUUUUUAACGUGUGACUUGAUAACAAUCUGAAUCAUGUUAAUAAAAAAUUUAUAAUUUUUAAGAAAAACUAAUGAAAAUAACUUGAAAACUUUGAGUUUUAACCAUAAGGAAAAAAAUAAAACUUAAAAUAAAUAGUACCAAGAUUGAUUUUUUACUGUAAAAAUAUAAUUUUUCGUUAAAAUAAACAGGAUGGAGCUUUCCUUCCUUAUUUUUAUUUUUUAUGCUGUCUUGGUCAACCGCCAAACACCAAGUCCUCCUCCUAAACCCGCAAACACGACCCAACCUAGACCCCCGGUCGUUGAACCUCAAACCCUCCCUCCCUCCCUCCCUCCUCCUUUCUCUCCGCAUAUCUAUAUCGCUGUUCUCGCCAAUCUGCCCCUAAUAAUUUUUAUUAAUUUUUCGUGCUUUUUAUAAAUUUCAUUCGUGCUAUUUGGUAUUGAUAAUUAGGUUUUUUCAAUCCAAAUUCUUGUUUUUUAUUGCUUCUUCUUGCUCGUUCUUGUUGUUGAUCUCAAUCUGUUUUCUGGGUUUUUCUCCGCCCUCCGAUUCCAUUUAUCAGCUUUCGCGUAAGUCAAACUGCGUUUCGUGGUUGAUGCCCUGCGUUUUGUUUGAAGGUACCGAUAUUAAUUGGCAAUCAAUUAGGGUUUUGGAUUCUUGUUAUCGAAGAUUUUUGGGAUUUUUACUGUGGAUUGUGUAGUAUGUUUGAUUAUUUUGUUUGUUUGGUUCAUUUUUGUUUUGAUUUUGUUGUAGCAGGAUGCUAAAGAUAUGAUGAAUCAAGGAGGUAAUGCUGAGACGAUAGCUCCACUGGACCCGAAUUCGCUUGAGGUGAUUACUACUAAGCCCACUUCUCUGUUACGUUUUUUGUAUUAAAUUCUGAUUGACAGCAGGAGAUUUCAAUUUCAAACAGAUUUUGUUGCCAUAUAGAAUGUGAUUUAAUAAAGCAUAGCCUCGCCCGCAUUUGGUAGUUUAGCUGUAAUAAACUUAGUUUUUUUAGUAUAGCUCAAAGGAUUAUCUGGGUGUUGUUCUCUUAGGCAAAUAAUUAUCUUACCAAAUGGCCUGUACUGCUCGUCUAUAGUGGAUGCUAAGCUUGUUGUCUCUGAUUUUCCAUUUGUUAUAUUCCGUUCAGUUUACUUGACACGUCUACCAAUUUUAUGAUAGCCAUUUUUUAGUUGACUCUGUAUAAUUUUUCAUAUAUAUAUAUAUAUAUAUUAAUACUAAUUGAUUAUUGCUUUUUGAAUGGCAAUAAUGAUUAACACAAUUUUGCAUUUAUUUGUGUUUUAGAAUCGGUAUAAUAUUAAUGCAAACCAAGGACAGACGCCUUCAUAUCCUCCUCUUUCAACAGCUGGUUCAGAAGCCUCGUCCUGGAACGUUCAUAGGACGGACAAUAGCUCGACAGAUAAUGGGGUUCAUUCCCAUUCAACCUAUCAAUACGAUCAGCAACCACAGCCGCCUGGGAGUAGUACAUCGAGUUUGGGAACAGUAAAUGCACCACAAGAUUACAAUAGCUAUGCUUCAUACCAACAUUCUUCAGAUACAUAUGGUUAUGGAAGCGCAGGGUACCCAGGUUACUAUAACAACUAUCAGCAGCAGUCCAACACUUCCUACUCACAGCCUGUAGGAGCAUAUCAAAAUACAGGUGCUCCUUAUCAGCCUCUUUCCUCAUUUCAGAAUACAGGGUCUUAUGCUGGGUCUGCAAGUUAUUCAAGCACUUACUACAAUCCUGCUGAUUAUCAGACAGCUGGAGGUUACUCAAGUAGCAGCUACAAUAAUCAGACUACCGCUUGGAGUGACGGAAAUUAUGCAAAUUAUACGCCUCAUCAAUAUUCACAGUACACCCCGGAUACCACUGCUGCAUAUAGUUCUAUUACUGCGACUUCAACUUCACAAAAUUAUGAGCAGCACUACAAGCAAUGGGCAGAUUAUUACAGUCAAACAGAAGUCAGCUGUGCUCCCGGUACUGAGAACAUUUCUGUUACAAGUACACCCAAUGCAGGAUGUCCGGUUCCAGGUGCUACCACCGGGUAUCAAACCUCGGACAGCCAGCUACCCCCACCACCACCACUACCUUCAUAUGCUCCUUCUUGGAGGCCAGAACCCAGUCCAUCUGAAUUGCCAUCAGUGCAGGUUUGAAUUUCCUUCCGCGGAGGGUUUUUGAAAACGUUCCAUGCCCUCAUAUGCCAGCUCUUCUUGAUAUGGUGCAUUGUUCAAAUCUAUUAAUGAUCCAAGUCUUAGUAUUCAUAUGAUUGAAACUGUCAUUAAUGAGUGAUAUUGUCAUCAAAGAUUAUUGCUGGUGUACAUUGUAGUUAUACUUCAGAUUUGUGCAUCAUCACAUAUAUAGCCUUUAUUUUUGUUUUAUGUUUUGUUUUAGCUUACAGUUAAUCUUUACAUUUUAAACCAAUCAUUAGAUAGAGUUCCAUGAUAUUUCUGACAACUACAGUUGAUGGUUUAUCUAAUGAUAUUGAUCUGAUUUUAAAUUCGAAUAUCUCUAUAGUCAUGACUAUGCUGUUGAAAUAUGUUUGGUUAGUAAAAUUCUUCUUGUUAUUUUUUGGCUUCUCAGUCUGGUGCUGUAGUUAUUGGUGCUCAUGAUGGUUACUGGAAUCAUGGGGCUCCAACUUCUCAAUCUCAAGUUCACCACAAUAGUUCCAUGCAACAACACAUCCAAAAGCCUAUGGAUGAAAAGGCUUCUUAUGAUAGCUUUCAGGAUCACCAGAAAACUGCAUUUUCUCAAGCACCCAACAUGCAGUAUCCUGCUUCUCAGCCGGUUCCCCAUGCGUCUCAUACUUACCAAUCACCCUUGCAACCUGUUCGAUCCCAUGCGUCUCAUACUUACCAAUCACCCUCACAACCUGUUCCAUCCCAUGCGUCUCAUACUUAUCAAUCACUGUCCCAACCUGUUCCAUCCCAUGUGUCUCAUACUUAUCAGUCACCCUUGCAACCUGUUCCAUCCCAUGCGUCUCAUACUUACCAAUCACCCUCCAAACCUGCUCCACCUAUAGGUACACAAAGAGAUAAUAAACUGCAGAUUCCAACAAACCCUAGAAUCACUUCAAAUCCAACCUUUGGGUUACCAAAAACUGACAAGGAUAGCUGUACAACCACUGCAGCAGCAAAACCUGCUUAUAUCAGUGUUUCACUGCCAAAGCCGGUUGACAAGGUGACAUCCAGUGCCACUGCUGAUUCUCUACUUAAGGUAUGUCUUCUGCUUUGAUGAUUGUUGCUUUUUUUUAAGCAUCAAUACCCAGUUAUUUCUUUCCAGACUGACUACUAAAAUAAUAAAGAUAUGAUGGUCAUUGCUUCUCAUCUUUUCUUCCAGAAAUAUCUUUGGAGUGGAAGUUUGUUACCUCUUAAGAUACUCUUCUUAGGUUGCGAGUGUGCUAUUCUGCUAUGUUAAUCAUACAUGGUUCUUAAAUUGUAACAUAACAUAAAUUGCCAUCCCUUUUACUAACCCUUUUUAAAUGCAAGCAUACUGACAUUCUACUACUUUUAAGAAAACAAAAUGUUGAUAGCGCUGGGGCAGCAUAUAGUCCUACAAUGAAUAAGCAAUUAAUUAAGAAGUUGGCUUUGGAAUGGGCGUGCUUUUUUGAAGGGAAAAGUGAGGCAGUUGGCUUAAAAUUUAGAAUAAAAAGGGAAGAUUUUGUCACUUCAACAUUUAUUUGAAUACUUGUUUUUCUAGUAGGAUAUCUGGAAUAAUAAGUGGAGAAGAAUGGGGGAAUUCUUUCCUGCAACUUCGUAUAAAAAGGAACUCUCUUUUCUCUGAAACUUUUUAAUUGAAGAGUUCAUUCCAAACAUAUAAAUAACAUGAGAUGAACCUACGCCUCUAAAUAUGAGGAUGAUUACCUCUAGAGUGAUUUGAAAUUUGCCAGGGCUUGCCUUAUGAUAUGGUUUUGAUACAAAUUGAUAGUAAUGAAAUAAAGUGUCAUUCCUCUCUUAAAGUCCAAGAACUGAUGCAAAAUCUAGUGAACAGUUAUAAUUAAGCUAUAGGUACUCGACUCUGAUUGUGGUUGAUAGGUGCACCGCAUGUUUUUAGCAUCUUAAUUCAUUUUGAAUACUUAAUUGUUUAAAUUGAUAAAUCAAUGUGUUUGGAGAUUUCUGCAGCAUCCUACCAACAUGGUUUCCUAUAAUGUGUUUUUACUGUUUUGGGUGUUAUGCAUGUCUUUGUCCUCUUCCCGUAUGUCAUAACAUUACGCAGAGAAUGGUAUGUAGUUCAUGACUCAAUAAUCUAUAUGCUGUAGCUAAUGAAUAUGAAUUUAUUUAUAUAUGCAUCUUUUUUCGUUUUCAGCCUGGUAUGUUUCCCAAGUCGCUGUGUGGUUAUGUCGAAAGGGCUUUGGCUCGCUAUAAAGAUGAUAGGCAAAAGGCUGCAUGUCAGUCUGUCAUGACGGAGGUAAGCCAAAUUGGUUGGAAGUUUUUCUCUGCCAACUGUGAAAUCAUACAUGUUGAUGGACUCUUGCAAACUCCACUUUUUGGCAUGACUUUUGGAUUUUUUUAUCAAUUGUAGCCGCCCUUAGUAACUGUUAUCUAAUAGGUUGUGAUGAUAAUAAAACCACUAUAUACGUUAUUGCGAAGAGUUGAGUCUUGAGGUCUUUGCAAAAUGCAAUGAUUUUCCAUGACCCAAAACCUCCUGCAUGUUCUAUGACUUACCUGCCACAUAUUUAUCUGAAGAACUAUUACCUAUAUAUGAACAUCAGUUUAUCAUUAAAUGUCAUGUUGCGUCUUCCACAAAUGUUCAUCUGAUGGUACACAUUUUUUUUUUUUUUUGAGAAGAAACAAUUUUAUUAAAGAAUAGAGAAAUACACAGAAGUGGAUAAGAAGUCCACCAACAAAUUAGAAAGGAAAAUCCCAAUAGGAUUUGGCUACAGCAGCCAAUUCUAGACCUAGCUCACUUAACUGCUGCUAACAAAUCCCACAAUAUUUGAGAUAGAGAGCAAUUAUUAAACUCUUUAGUAACCGAAGCCCAAAAAGAUGCCCAAUAUUUUACUCUCCCCCAAAGUACUUCUGCCCCCACUCCAGUAUAGUCUUCAAAAAUCCUUUUGUUGCGUUCCAGCCAUAUAUUCCAAAAAAUUGCCGAUACCAGGCAACCCCACAAAGCUUUGGAUUUUUUCCCUUUUCCAAGUGCCUUAAAAUUGGUGCUUAGUAGCUCAAAACACCCUUUAGGAAUGACCCAACUUACUUUAACCUCCUGAAACAGUUUCCACCACAGUUGGAUCGAGUAGGAGCAAUGAAGAAAGAUGUGAUUUACACUCUCCUCCUUAGCUUUGCAUAAACUACACCAAUGUGGGGAUAAACACAUCAGAGGGUUUCUCCUUUGAAUUUUGUCGCAAGUGUUGAGACUCCCAGUGGCCACAAGCCAUACAAGUAUUUUAACCUUCGGAGGAGCUUUUGAUUUCCAAAUCUGAGAGUAGGGUGGAUAAUAGUGCCCAAUCCCAUUGUUGCUCAGUAAUGAACGAUAGGAUUUGCAUGUGAACAAACCUGAAUGUUCUAGGUUCCACCUUCUAUUAUCCAUUUUUGAUGGAGACAAGUGAACCACUUCCACUUUCUGUAAUAAGCUGGCCGCCUCUUCUAUCUCCAUCUCAUUCAGAUUUCUCCUAAAAUCAAAGUUCCAACUCAAGGAACUUGACGAAACUUCCACAAAGCUGGAGAUGUUAUGAUUAUGCUUCCUCGAUAAUAGGAAUAAUCUGGGGAAUUGCUCCUUCAGCGGUCCCCCUGCUAACCACCCAUCCUCCCAAAACCUCACCCUCUCUCCAUUGCCCACCUCAAACUUGCAACAUCUAAGAAACUGAUGAGCACCACUCGAAAUGUCUUUCCAUGGGCUACGACUUGAAACCCUCCUUGGAGGAAGU